rnacentral:lncRNA from 1 species
UCAGCUGGUCAGCACGUUGUGAGCUCUGCUCUGUUUCGAAAAUAAAUCAGAACAUAAAAAAUUUUGUGCCCAGGCCAAACUGACAAAAUUGGAAAACUGAACUGACUUUUAUUGAUUAUCUCUAUUACAAACAUUGAUUUUGUGCCGAGGCCAAACACUUAUUAUAGAAGCUUGUAGUUGAGACAGGAAUAGAAACAGAGACAAACAAAAACACACAAACACAAAAAAAAAAAAAAAAAAAUUCCAGCAGCAACAACUCCAGCAUCAAUUCCAGCACCAAUAACACUUUCAGCAAAAAAAAUUCCAGUAACACUUCCAGCAAAAAAAUUCCAGCAGCAACAACCUGGCUAAGGGGAGCCGUGGUGUGGCGCUUUGUGAGUGGAUGAGGAGAUGAGAAGGGAGAGAGGUUGCCCCAGUUUGACCCACGAACCCGACCCGCGAACGUGACCCGGUUGGAUUUCACGAUCCCGGCCACUCUACCGGCCAAUCAAGGUAUUGAUCUGAAGCUUGGAAGCCAGCCCUCGUUUCCCUGCCAUCCUUGCCGCCGAAAACCAACAAGAACGCCGUCGAUUUAGCUCAAAAACCGCGAACCCGACCCGACCCACGAACGUGACCCAGUUGGAUUUCAUGAUCCCGGCAACUCCACCGGCCGAUCAAGGUAUUGAUCUGAAGCUUGGAAGCCGACCGUCGUUUCCCUACCAUCCUCGCCGACGAAAACCAACAGGAACGCCGACCUUUUAGCUCGAAAGAACCACGGCUCCAACACACCACCGCGUGAGUUCUACUCCCUCGAUCACGUGAUGGUUGUGGUCCGUCGUCUGUGGGCUCGUCCGUCGUAUGUGGUUUGUCAAACGGAAAGUAAGAGUGCGUGGCUGAUUGUUGAUUGUGGGUGUGAUUCUGUGGUUUGUCAGAAGGGAAGUAAAGAGUGCGUGCGUGAGUGAGUUUGUGGUUUCUAUUCCAGCUAAAAGGGAGGUGAGAGAGAAAAAAAAAUUCUUGUUAAUGCUUUAUUGGCUCACGCAUUAUGUUUAAUUUAAUUUUUUAAAUUGAUUGUGGGACUAACUUAAAAUUCACGCAUGCUCAUUUUCUAAAGAGAGAGGAUAGGAAACGACAGCAUGUGCUGCCGUUUCUGUCUUCCUUUUGUCGUCCCUGAGUCUCAAUAUAAGCACUCUAUUUCAUUCGUCCAAUUUAAAAAAAAAACUAAUAAUAAAAUAUUUCACCAACACAUAAUACACGCCCAAUUUAAAAAAAAAACUAAUAAUAAAAUAUUUCAUUCGUCCUAUGUUGAGUCGUCAAAAACCACUGGAAGAUGGAUUCUAACACGCGGUAUAUGGGUUAACAAGUCCCAAUAUUGUCCUCCAUCCUUUCUGCACUUCUCUUCUAUCAACGGACAUUCGUCGAUGUAUAAUCGCAAAAGUGAGGAAGGCAGGCCCUUCUCCGAAAAGUAUUUGAGCUUGGGACAAUCAUAGAGUUGCAAGUAUUUGAGGUUUUGAAGAUCAACAAUUGAAGAAGAUAGGCGUUCCAGAUUUGGAAAAUCUCCAAUCGUCAGGGAUGCUAGAGAGGCAGGAAGAGGAAGCGUGGUCCCCAAUCUUCUGUCCUCUGGUGGGAAUGACACCAUGUCGUCAUCACAUCCUUCGAUUGUAAGAUGUCGCAGAGAGGAGAAUUUGUGAAAUCCCCGCUCAAUCAUUGACUUCCAAAUCUCCAUAUUACGCUCAAUCUUCAGAAAAUGAAGGUUGGUGGGAAGGCCAUCUUCUUCAAGGCUUGGAAGCUUACCUCCUAUUCUUAAUUUUUUAAGAGACUUCAGAUUGUGCAAUCCCUUGGGUAAGGCCUCUAGUCUCUCACACCUAUAGAUCCCGAGCUUACUCAGUUUCGCACAAGGCAAUCCCCCUUCGGGAAAGGACACCAGAUUUUCACAUCCCCAUAAUUGGAUCUCUUGAAGCUGGCGGAGAUUAUGUAAACCACUCGGUAAAAAUUUCAGAUUUUCACACCAUAAAAUACUGAUCAUUUCAAGAGAUGUGUUGUUGUCCAACCUUUCUGCUAUUGACUCCAGCUUUGAACAACUCCAAACAUUAAGGCUCUUAAGAGACGGAGGUAGAUUGCCAACUUCAAGGGACUCAAGCGUGGCAGGUAACUCGUUUUUUGAAAAUAUACAUGUCAGUGAUGGACAAUCCCAAAUUUCCAACUUCUCGAGAAGAUAUGAGGUGUACCUUCUGCUGCUACUCUGGAUGCCGUCUUCCACUGUCAAAGUCCUUAUAUUAUCGCAAUGGCUGAUGUCCAACCUCUUAAGGCUCGGUGGUAGCUGGACUCUAGCAAUAUAUGGCAACGAAUGGCAACUCCAAAUCUUCAAGAUCUCGAGAGAUGAAUUGGUGCCGCACAUCCAUGCCUCUGGUAACGAUUUCAGUGCAUCACAUUCUCUAAUCUCAAUUUUCUUCAACUUGGAAGGCAGAGCAACCUCAGGAAAGGAAACAAGGGAAUGACAACGGCAGAUUUCUAUCUCUCUCAAGGAACUGAGGCUGAGAGAUGAUUGUGGCAGCUUCACAAGGCCUUUGCAAUAUCUCAAUAUUAGAUAUUCGAGUCUGCAUGACAACUCGCAGAGCUGCUGUUGUUGGUCUUUCUCUUCCUCCGCCACCAAGGAUUGAAGUUUGGGACAGCUGUCAAUCGUCAAUCUUUUGAGAGAGCAAAUGUCUUGUAGUAAUCCGUCAUGACUCUUCCAUAUAUAUGUUUGCUCUUUUGUCGACAAAAUUAAUUCUUCCAAUUUCUGUAGUUGUGGCUUCAAUGGCCCCGCAAGAAACACUUGAUUUGAUGUAUCUCUACAAACCACUGAAUUCUGUGAUCCGAGAUGAUCAGUUGCACUUCUCCACACAACCUUUUUACAUCCACCAAUCUGUAAUUUGCAAAGAGCUGGAAGACUCGAAACUGAAACUGACAAUUCUUCACAUCCUUUAAUAACAAGCUUCUCCAAUGCAGGAAGGUGCUCUGGAAAUGUUCCUUGCAGCUUAGAACAUCUUAAAAUGUGAAGCUCUCUCAAUUUAGGAAACCCUUCAACUCCUUGACCGGAUCCAUGAGGAAUCCAGUCUUCCCAUUCUUCCAUGUCUUCAAAACGAAGAGUCUCCAAGUAUGGAAAAGGAAUUGAAGCAUCCUUCCCAUAGAACUCUGGAUCUAAUCUCCUUACGCUGCUCAUUCCACAUACUACGAGAUGCUUUAGAGAGGGUAGUUGCCCGACUGACGGAAGGGCCGUACAUAUGCCACAAUUUUCAAAUUUUAAGGUCACUAAAUUUGAGAACAAGGAAUCUCCCAACCAAGUUGGAAAUUUCAUACCUCCAUAGCCUUUGAUACAAAAUUGCUCCAGAUUUGCAUGAGGUUUUAGCACGUCAAGCACGCCCAUUUCAGUUUCUGCCUCCCUUGAAGAUGAACCAUCGGUACUGCAAGUCCAAUUAAGCGAUAAUUCUUUCAGAUUCUUCUUUCCAUCCAUUUGAGCCUCCAUGGCAUCACCAACGCAUUUUACAUUCUCCAAUUUUGAAAUUUUAAGUGUCCUCUCAAGAUGCGUCAACGACUUCAGCUCUCUUAACCCGGAACCACUGUCUUUUGCCACAACAAAAUUACACAACGUUUGAAGACAAGUCAGCCUGACAAUUCCUAGUGGCAUUUCCUCCAAGGAAUCUGUAUUUGAAUUUUUAAGAUGAUGCAAUUUGAUGAGGUUUCCCAUGUCUGCACACAACUUCUUCAGCCGAUCACAAUCUUCCAACAAAAGACUAUGCAAAUUGUAAAGCUUGUUGACUGAUUCAGGCAGAGAUCUAAUCACAGCUCCAGACAGGUUAAGGUACCUUAAAUACCUCAAAUCACCAACUGAAUCCGGCAGCUCAGGGAUGCAGUAUCCACGCAAAGAGAAGACCCUCAAGCGUUGGAGUUUGAGCAACUUAGGAAGAAUGCUAGGAGCCAAGUAGCAAGGCCCACUAUUUGUCAACAUUACUGGUAAAAAAGUUCUCAAAUGUUGGAUAUCAUACAAGUCCCCAAACCUUUGAACGCCAUCAUAAUCUCCACGAAUGUAUGAUAGAUGACGAAGAUUUCUGGAAAAACAUUGUCGCUUGUUAACCUCAGAGGUAUACUCCAGUGUGAAGUAUGUCUCCCCCCCUGCAGCCCAACGGGCAAGGCCGUUGAUAAGAUCGUGCAUAACAAAUCGUGAUGCAUCGGUGGCCGAUUGCUGGAAAAAAGAUCUUGAACGUAGCUCUUGAAAGAACUUUCGACCUAGAUCUUCGUUAGGAUUCCCACUCUCUUUAUGAUCCAAGAAACCCGAGGCACACCAUAACAAAAUUAUCUCCUCCUCGUCAAAUUCAUAAUCCUUCGGAAACAACGAGCAGUAUGCAAAGCAUUGUUUCAAAAUUGGAGGAAGAUAAUAAUAGCUCACUGCAAGAGCUGGUAUAAUGGGACAUCUAUCUUCUGGUAAUUCCCAUAUCUUGCUACUGAGCACGCCUUUCCACUCACGUUUGUAAGGUUUUCCAUGUAAAAGUCCUCCCAGUGUUUUUGCUGCCAAGGGCAAGCCGUUGCAUUUGAUCACUAUCUCCUUGCCAAUUUCCUCCAAUGACUUGUGUGAACUGAAAUCUGUUGUCUCCAAAGAGUGCUGAGCGAGUACAGACAGACAGUCCUCAGUUGACAAGCUUUUGAGUUCAUAAGCUUGAUCCAGGCUCAUGAUUUUGGCAACCUCUUCAUUGCGAGUAGUGACAACAAUCUUACUUCCCUGUGCGCCAGCUUGAAAUGGAAGGCUGAGGCGAGCCCAAUCAGUGUAAUUCUCAUUCCAAACGUCAUCUAAAACAAGCAAAAAUUUCUUUCGAGACAACUGCUUCUUUAGCUCCUCUUGAAGAAAAUUUAAAUCAUUAUUAUCAACAGUCUGCUUAGUAAUGGAGCUUAGAAUUGUUCUUGUUAGCCCCUUAACGUCGAAAUCCUCAGAGACACAAGUCCAUGCCUUGAGAUCAAAGUGAUCCUGCACUCGCUUAUCAUUGUAGACAAGCUGAGCAAGAGUGGUUUUACCCAGCCCGCCCAUACCUAUAAUAGGAAUAACUGCGAAUCCACCAUCAUUUCUUGAAUCAUCCUUCAACAACAAUUCAACAAUUUCCUUCUUUUCUGUUUCCCUGCCAUAAACUUUGGCCUCCACCAAAGAAGUUGUAUCUCGCCUUUGCCUGGCUUUUUUGGACCCCCCAGCUGAACUUUUUAUCAAAUUCAGCGGGCCUAUUCCUUCUUCAAUAUCUUGAAAUCUGUCGUUGAUCUUUUUGAUUUUGGACAUCAUGGCGUAAUCGAACUGAAUCGACCGUGGAGUUAAAGUGGUGCAGCAAGUAGGAAUGAGCUUCCGAAACUUACUCUUCGUGCUUGUACGACUGCUGCUGGCUUGAUCAUGAGCAGCAGCUGGUUCUCCAUUUCCAAGCAGCAACUUCCUCCGGAAAGCCUCAGUUUGGAACUCAUCCAACAAGUCUUCAACGUCAUAAACCAAGUUCUGAAGCUCGCCAAGCCACAACUUCACAGCAUCAUUAGUCGUCUUCUUCUCCUCAGCAUCAUCAAGCACCGCCUUGAUCGUCACCAACUUAUUCUUCCACUUCACUAGAUCUGCUUGGAUUCGACCUUGGCGUGCAAACAACCGAAUCCCCUCUGAAGCUAAUUUAUUGAUCAGCAUCUCAACGGACGCCGUAAGGAUUGCCUCUCCGAUGAUCGACAUUUUUUCUUUUUUCUUUUUUUGGGUUUUUUUGGACAGAGAAAGAAACUGAAUUAUGAGUUUGUGGAAAGCAAAAUGAGAAAAGUGAAUAAGCGGAAUGUGUUUGUGAUUGUGUCUAGCAAGCCUAGAAAUCAAGAAAAACCCACUGUAAAAGUGAAAAGUAAAACGGAUCCCACCACAAAUAUAAAAUCAGAGGAGCACAGAAAUUAUAAAAAAAAAAAUCAAACAUGUAAUGAUUUGUAAAGUUAUUAGCGAUUUGUAAAAAUCAAACACGCGUCUUCUUCCUCUGAUUGUAUUUUUUAUUUUUUCUUUUUCAAAAGAGAUGGUGGGGUUGGGUUGUUUGCAAAGUUAAUUGCGUGGGUCUAUUUGUUUUUUUUUUUAACUUUAUUAAUUAAUUAGUGAAGCAUGUAAUGAUUUGUAAAGAUCACGGGCAUCAAAUUAUUGAGAGGUAUUGCGCUUAGUAUUCACAAUUUCUUGUAAGAUGAAUUUGUAAGACUUAUUAAUUUUGAUGAAAAUAUAUCGUUAUUAAGUUAUUAUUUAAUUCAUUAAGUUAACUUGAGGUAUUAAUAUUCAUUAAUUGUGGUGCACUGGUGCUGGUGAAUUUACUUAAUUUGUCAUUAUUUAUAAUUAAAGAAUGAGGUUCAAUCAAUUUAUUGGAGAAAAUUUGAUUUUAAUUCUUAGGAUUUGAUUUCACUCUCUUUUAUUUUUUGACGUUGCUAAAGAUGCAGUAACAAACUUGCUAAAUGUCAUCAAAUGCUUGUAUCUUAUCUCACAAAUUGGCAAUAUUUGUUUGGUAUUUCAUCUCAACGGGACGCCGUAAGGAUUGCCUCUCCGAUGAUUGACAUUUUUUUUUUCUUUUUUCCAGCACAGAAAGAAACAGAAUUUUGAGUUUUAAAGCAAAAUCAGAAAAUUGAGCAAAAUGCAGGUAGCAAGUCUUCCGCUUGUUUAUUCCAGUAAAGUGAAAAUAAAAACAGAGCCCACCACCCAUUGAUAAUUGGAAAAUGAUAAACGAACGAAAGCGCAACGAAGGGACGACAGAAAACGCGUUUCCUCAUCCAAUUUUAUUCUUACCGAUAAUAAAUAAUAAAAUAUUUUUUUAUGGGACCGACAACAAAUAGUAAAAUAAAGAACCAAAAAAAAAAGAUAGUGUGAACGAACGGAAGCACAACGAAGGAACGACAGAAAACGCGUUCGCGCAUCAAAAUUUUCUUUUAUGGGACCGAUAAUAAAUAAUAAAAUAUUUUUUUGUGGGACCGAUUAUAAUAGUAAAAUAAAGAAUAAAAAAUGAAAAAAAGGAUAGUGUGCAAUUUUUCUUUUAAUAAUUUGGCAAUUCACCAAUCACCAGUCACCACCACUUGUUACCAGAUUCAAUGAACGUAAAAUCGCACCUCGACAUUUGUAGGGUCAAGCAACAUUAAUCCAGUUGUCCGGGUAAAUGCUGAAUAAAGUGGAAACUGGGAUGUAUCUACUACGAACCUUCCCUUUACAAAUCUUCAAACUGAUAAGCCAGAGGCAGCCCCCACCACCAUCAAUAAUUCAGCAAGUUUCACAUGCUUGUGCUUGUCUGCUUGACGAACCGGAAAUGGGUGGACCAGGCACCAUUGAAUAAUUGGAAAAAAAAUGAAAAAUAAAAAUCCGUGUCCAGCAAAAAGAAUGCAUCUUCAUGUGUUGCUUCCUAUUCAGUACCUCUAGUCAUCUACCUAGCAUUUAAAAAAAUGGAAGUAGUAAUUAAAUCUGACUUUUUUAGAUAUGGCUCAUAUAUAUUACAAGUAUCAAGAUUUAAUUAGAGUACACGUAUUUACAAUGCGUCUAGUUUUAAUUGAGAGAUAAACUAAUCAUUAAUAAUCAGGUUUUUCUAAAUGAUUGAAUAAUGAUAUUAAUUAUUGAUAUUUAUAAAAUUUCUAAGAAGUGAUAACUAAUACGUUGGGGAUAUGUAUUUGUGCGGAAUGGUAAAUAUAAAGAAUAGCAAUAAAAAUGGUGGAACUUUAAUAUGAUAAAAAAAGUAAACUGUAGAAAAUUAAUAUGUAAUUUAAGGCACGUUAUAAAUAUCACUUUUCUUAAGACAUUAUUUACCCCUACCAAUUGAGUGAUGCACAUGAGUUAAACAAAUAUACCUCUAGGAUAUAAUGAAAUGCUUCUUUAUUUGCUUGCGUUGUGCAUCGAAGAAAGUAAACCUGAAUACUCUUGAAUGUUGCAAGCCUGCUAGGAAUCAAUAUGUUGAUUCUGUUAAAAAAACAAUGUAUUGGAUAUUUGAUGCAUAAAAAAUAGAUGUUAUUUGAUGAAAUUCAUUUUAAGAAAUAGGGGUAAGAAAAGAGUAGUGCAUGAUUAUCUUAUUCAUAUCUAAAAUUCUAAAUAUAUGGAUUUAUUUAUUAUGGAGACAUAAUAGUAAUUGUAAAUUAAAAAUAAAUUUAUUAAUAAAAAUAAGGGUUAUAUAUCUUUUUUAAAAUGUUAAGAAGUUUAAUAUCCUUUUUUAGAUUAAAUUUUCUAUUUCAUAUUAAGCAAAACCCACGUCAAAAGUGAAAAGGAUAAACAGAGCCCACAAAACAGAGCGCAUUACAAAUAUAAAAUCGGAGGAGCUCAUGGUCAUGCCUUUUGCUUUACCUACUAAAUUAAAUAAAAGCCAAACCAAAAUCUUACCUUUGCUUAACAUGAUUAAUUAGGCACUGCAUCAGAGAGAACACGAAGGCAAUGAACCAUUUUGUUAAUCUUAAAUGUCAGGAGUAUAAUUAGCUUGGAAUAAAGUUGCAUUCUUCUCCUCUGACCGUCUCUUCAGGUUCAUUUCAAAAGUUUGAAGAGAGUUUCAAUUCUUCUACACUUUAGAUUUUCUAUUUUUUAAUUGUACAGAAAAUGGGACUAAUUUUCAAAUAUUUUCAAAUUCACUUAUUAACAAAAGCUGUACAAAAUGAUUUCCUUUUUAUUUUGAAAUAUUAUACGGAAUCAAAUAACAGUGAUUGAAAGAGUGUAAAGUGGUAAUUUUCUGAUCGUAUUUUCUCUCUUUUUUAAAAGGAGAUGGUGGGGUUUGGUUGUUUUGCAAAAUUAUUGGUGUGAGGGUCUAUUUGUUUUUGUUUUCACUUUAUUAAUUAAUUACGAAGCAAACAUGUAAUCAUUUGUAAAGGGGCAACUAGCAUCGGAUCAUGUAAGAUGAAUUACUUAUUAAUUUCGAUGAAAAUGGAGCAUUAUUAAGUUAUUAAUUCAUUAACUUGAGGUACUAAUAUUUACUAAUUGUGGUGAUUAAUUUAUUUAACUUUGUCAUAAUUUUCAAUUGAGAAUGAAGUUCAAUCAAUGUAUAAAAAGAUAAUUUUUUUAGAUUUUUAAUUCCUAUGAUUUAAUUUCUCUCUGUUUCGAUUAUUGACGUGUUAAAAGCUUGUAGAAUAUCAUGAAAUGCUUGUAUCUCACCUCACAAAUUGACAAAUAUUGGUUGGUUUCUCCAAAGGCUCCCUUGACGAAUUGAAAGUAAAAACAACCACCAUUGAAAAUUAAAUUUUAAAAAUCUUUUUUACUUGAAAUUUUUUAAAAGAAAAAUUAAGUAAAUUAGAUUACAGAUAUCAAUCUUAAUAUUUUGUUGAUGAAAAUUAAUUAAUUAAUCCCAGUACUUUCUUAAUUUUGUGUUGUGCACCGCAUUGGCCACUUCUGAUUGUGUUGCACAUUUGUUAAUUCAAAAAAAUAGAACUUUUGUAUUGAUCAAACUUAUUUUAUUAGUAUUAUUCAUCAUAUGGUUAAUGGCUUAGCCAAUGAAGGAGAAGGGGUCAGCCAAAACAAAUAAAGUACUUUCUCAUGCAUUAACCUUUAUUAAAAAGCUUUAUUAACUGUUGUAGUUAAAAUAAUUUUAAAACAAGUUAAAACAGUUCCAACUCAAAAUCAGUAGGCUGCAAUUGGGUUGUUACACAUAUUUCUAAAUUUCAGUCUAAUUUAAUUGUGUAUGGACAAACUAAGAAAUAAAGUUUCCACCACCGUACCAGUAUGUCGAUUUGCGAAUACAUUCAUUCAAAUAUUAAACGUUCAGAGAAGAAAGCAAACCGUGGCAGGAUAGCAAAACCUGCGAAUGGUCAUUCCCAACACGAACCCCUAUGGCUGUUUUCCUUUUAAUUUUCUUCUUUGAAUUCUCCUUUUAUUAAUAAUUAGAAAAACUCCCUUUUUUUUUAAAUCACGUGUUAUUAACAUUUACAUGGUUAAUGUCAUCGAAAUCAAAUGGUUUUUAUCUACGAAAAGAAAAUUGCUAGAAAUUUUGUUAGUCCCAUUGCAACAAUAUAUUGUUAUAAAUUGCAUUGUGUCCCAUAUAACAAAUAUAAUAAAAUCUCAAUAAAUUAAUAAUUUUGGGAACCAUAAAAAAAUUUAUUAAAAUUUAACAAAUAUCAAUUAAUCAGUAAAUUAAUAAAUUAUUAAUUUAUGAAAAUAUUCAUUAUUUUGGAAAAACAUGAUCACGUUUUUAAUAUUGAUUUACCUUGAGUUAAUAUCUAUUAUGUUUUAUUUGUCUAUUAGUUUUAUCUUGGGAAGAUUUUUCAAGAGUUAGCUGCUUUAUAUUAAGUUAUUAACAGUAAUAAAAUUAUUAGUUGAUACAGGCGAAUUUUCUGACCAAAAUCGUACAAAGAAGUUGAAAGUGUUUAUUUUUGUUAUUUCAAGACAUUCUAACAAACUAUAAGGGGUCACAAAAAGGUUGAUACCCCUACUUGUUCUUUUUUUCCUCAAGAGUCAAGCAAAAUACGACAUAAAAUGUGGCAAGUCUUCCCACUUGUUGUUCUUUGCAGCUAAGAAAAGAAAAACAGAUUCCGCAAUGGAGUCCCCUUAAGUGGCUUGACUGGGUUUGCUCCCCAGUUCGAGUCGCAAGGAAGUCGCCUUUGUUGGGAGAACCUGUGUCCCCCAGUUCGAGCGGGGACUUCUAGUCUAGGUUAUGGUACGGGUUUAAAAGUGCCUCACACAGUUGGGACCUCCCCAGGAUACCUCGUGGUUAAAAAAAAAAAACAAGAAAAACAGAGCCCGCCACCCAUUAAUAAUUUAGCAAUUCACCAAUCACCACAAAAUUCCAUUAGAUAUUCGUCGAUCAAGUAGUUAAUCCAGUGUCUGUUACGUAGAGCCUUCACUUUACAAAUCUUCAACUCAUAAACCAAGUUAAAUCAAGACGUUUCUCUGUAUAUAUAUAUAUAUAUAUUAACUCCUAAAACGUUUCUUUUUAGGAAUAUUUUACUUUAUUCAUCUAAUAUGUUAUCUAACAAAUAGACACAGAUGAAAUCACUCUAAAGUGAAGAUGAAAAGGGAGAAAAAAACAUUCCAACCACCAAUAAUUUAGCAAGCUUCACUUUUAUUCCACCAAAGUGUAAAUAAAGCCAGCCCCCACCACCAUCAAUAAUUUAGCAAGCUUCACACGCUUGUUGUCUUCUCCUUGACGAACUGGACGGGGUGGACCAAGAAUCAAUGAAUGAAUUUUAAAAAUAAUAAUAAAAGAAAAACAUAAACAUUUUGGACUCAGAGUAGAACCGUAAUUAAUGCUAAAAUUUAUUCCGCUAACGUUUUCAAAAUAUUGUUCUUUAUAAUUGUACAGCAAAUAAGACUAAGUUUUGGACAUUUUCAUAUUCACUUACUUUCAAAAGCAGUAUUUCGAAACAUUUUACAGAAUCAAGUAACAGUUAUAUAACGAGAAAAGUGCAAAGUUGUGUAAUUCUAAUGUUUUUUUUUUAUCACAGACACUCAGAUAAUUUUUUAUUUGGGUCGCCAACUCGCCAAUGAACCCAUGAUUGAAUGAGUGUUUAGAAAGAAAAUCAAUAAAAAACAGUUUAUUUUUUGUCGUCGAAAUAUAGUAAGUGAGAAAGAUUAUUCUGUUUUUUUGUUAAUUAGGCUAGUAUUUAUGAUUGAGUGACUCAGAACUAUAUUUUAGAUUGAGAAUCAAUGGUUCUCCCACACUGAGAGGCUGUAAGUUUAAGAUUGUCGUUUGCUAUUUCAUCGACAAGAGAGCACUCGAUUUUAUUAAAUGGAGAAAGUCUUCCUUUUUACUUGAAAAUUUAAUAUACAAAAACUUACUAAUAAAUGACAUAUUAUACAUAAAUUAUUAAUUCAUUUGAUAGUUGAUUAUCGAAUGACAUGUGACCCAUGGGAGCAUGCAGUCUAUAAAAUAAUUCUUCUUUUUUUUUUAAACAAAAAAUCGGUGAUGUUGAAAAGCAUUUCUGUAUAUUAUUAUUACUCUAAUUGGGGUGAACAUUUCAUAAAAAGAAUGCCGUAUGAAACUAAAUUAUUAAUUCAUUUGAUAGUUGGUUAUCGAAUGACAUGUGACCCACAACAAGACAAACUUAAAGCAACGCAGAGGUUUUCCUUCGAAAUACAUAAACAGUUCGAAUAUGAAAUUUCAAUAUCACAAUAAUAUUGAUCAUGAUUCAAUUUCUUUUUCUUGUUUCUUUUUUUGAUUUCCAAUCUUUACCAAAAGAAAAAAUUUAUUGAUCCCUUUUAUCAACUUGCUUUUAUUGACUUUCUUCCAAUAAUAGAAGUGAAAAAGAGAAACCAAUAAUUUAGUACAUGUAUAUAUAGAUAUACACAUGCACAUGCAGCACAUCUAUCUAAAAUUUAAAAAAACUGAAUUAGAAACCUUCUUGAAUAAAUGAAUAGGAAUAGAAAUACUCUCUAAUAAUACUUCCUAAAAUAAUUAACCCUAAAUAAUUUGUCCUGCAUCAUCGAACUCCAGAUCUUAUAAAGUAUAACAGACAAAUUUGAGUUUUUUUUUAAUUAAAAAAAGGAUUGGAAAAAUAAACAAAUAAUGAAGACAGAAGUUAAGCAGACAGAGGAAAAUGAAUUACAUACUGUCCUUGAGAACUCAAUUCUUUAAUAAACUCAAAUUUUUAAAUGUAUAUUUUUUUUUUGGGUAAACUCAUGUCAUAUACUAUAGUCUUUAAUUCGGGCUUUGUUGUAUCAAUUUUUUGGUGGUUAUCUUGUUUUAUUUAUUUUUUAUGCAAUAUUUUUGGUAGAAAUACAUCAGGAAUAAAAGUGAAAUCUCAAUUUUAAAAUUUAGGGGAAACGAAAUACGAUAUAUUUUUUUUAUGAAUAAAAAAAAUUAAUUUUUUUUAAUUCUACCAGGAAAAACUAUUAAUUUAUCAACCCAUCAAGUUAUUGGUUUCAUUUUACAACUGACAGUCGGUUUCUUAGUUUCAUUCCUUAAUUAUCUUUUAAAAGAUAUUACAAUGCUCUGGCCAUUUGGUAAUUACAAAUUAGAAAAGUCAAAUAUUUCUGGCCAAAGACACUAGUGGAAGAGAUUUUGAUUCAUUUUUGUGUACACGCACAACACAAUUAUUUAAACGUCAAAUAAUUGUGAAAUAUAAAUGACAGUUUAUUUAAACGUCAAAUAAUUGUGACGUUUUAUCAAAUAAGUGACAAAUAUAUUACAUAUUUAUUGAAUCAUUAUCAUUUACCUUUUCCUUUUAUUGACUAAGAAAAAAAAAACAAAAAACUUGCUAUACCGCUUCUGUUUUCGUUCUUGGAACAGAUUAGUUUCUUUUGAGAAAAGUCAAACUCAUUCCCAUUACUUUCUUUUCAAUAAUCACCUCUCAGUUUUACAUCAGUCACUCAAUUUCGAAUUUCAUCUCCAUUCUCUUUCAAAGAAGAACACACGAAGAAUUUUAGCUUGCUUUACCUGCUUCUCAAAUUUCAGGUAUUGUUUCCUUUAAUUUUGAUUUUUUUUUUUUACCUCUCUGUUUCUAGUUUGAUAAUUUAGGGUUAUACUUGAAUUAAUUGUAUUUUUAAUCAUCCUAGGUUGAUUUAAUUGAUUCCAAGUCUCAAUUUCCUGUUCAACAAACAAGGAACGCACGAGUAAUUUUCAUUUUCAUUCUCAAUUUUGAAAGAAUCAAUUUAUUUUAUGUGUUCAAUUUUUGUUUAUUUAACUUAGGAUAUCUUUUUCAUUCUUUUCUUCAAGCAGAUUAUAGCGUUGCUCCUCCCAUUGAUCAUAUUGAGAACAGUGCUUUCUCCUUAAUUCCGCCAAGAACAACUUUGAUUUCAGGUGAUAAUUGAAUGUGUAAUAUUUUCAAUUGAAAUUAAUUGAGUCUCGUAAUAAUAAUAGUGAUUUGAGAUUUACAUCCUGUUGAAAUGAUUUUAGAGUGUUCUGCUAUUUGAAUGCGCAUUAAUUGUUUGAUUAAAUGUCUCUUUAAAAGAUUAUUUUUGUUUUUUAGCAAACAUCUUACUGAGAUGCCUCUCGUAAUAGUAUUUACCGUAAUGCACUUUGCUUCAAUUUGGUCAGUUUACACAUUUUAACAAGGGAAAAUUACAGAACUGCAACAGUUUUCAAAUUGAUUGCAGAUUAGAAGCAACAUGUGGCAUUCAACAUUCCUGCAAUGCCAUUUCUUGUUAUGGCAGCGGCAUUCUUGGUCAUGGCAUCACAAGCAAAUGCUUUGACUUGAAGACUUGCUUGGCUAUGAAAAAUAAGGAGAGCAAAGGUAAUUAAUCUUGGUGUGAUCAAUAUUUUUAUGGGGGUACUAAGAAAAAUAAAGAUAAUAUAAGGAAUGUUGUUGAGGAGUAUUUUGAUAUUUACAAAAGUGUUUAAAGUAAAAAUUGAUUUCUUAAAACUCAUUAGCUAGGGCACAUAAUAAUGGGGAGUAAAUUUUAGACUACGAAUAAUCCCACCCAUUUAAUAAUAUUCUUCAAUCAAUUAUGUUUACUUCAAAAAAAAAAAAAAACCCAUCUCUUUAUUACUUUCUAACUAUUCAUAUUAAUGUGUUAAUAAUUAUGAAGAACCGGUGUAAUUUAUAUGAUGUAGGAAGCACUUUAGGCAAAAUCAUCUGAAUCUCAAAAUUUCGUGAUAUUGUGCCAAAUAUCCAAAACAGAGCUUCCUACAUUGCUAUAGCAGUUUUUAAAAGUUGAGGACUCCAAAUAUCCAAUAACUGAUAAAUUGUGUAAAGAAAUAUAAAUAUUAAUGGUGAUGACACAUAUGCAUGGAAUUCCUCUGUUUUGAGUUUGACUAAAACAACCUGAAUAAUUUCAAACAAUCCAUCAGCCCAAAGUCCUUGAGAGAUCGAACUGGAUUUCAGUGCAUCACAUUCUGAAAUUGAAACUAACAUUAAUUAGAAAGGCAGAACAACCUCUGUUUUUUACUAUAAUACAAAAGGGGAAGUCAAACCAAUUCAAGGAACUCUCCUAUUUUUGACUGAAACAUACAUAAUCCGAACAAUUUACAAUUAAAUAAAUCGUUCAAAAUCUCGAACCCCCAUUUCCAUGGUUUAAUAGAAUAUCAUAAAGGUGCCCAAUACAGUGAAAUUAACGUUCAGCUCAUGAAGUUGCCGUUAUAUAUAUUGAAAAAGAAAUCAAUAAAAGAAACUGAAAACCAAUUGACACUGGAUCACGUAAGAUUGUUCGUUGUUAACUAUGAUGGGAAUAUAUACUUGGUCUAUUACUUAUCAUCUAGCUAAUGCAUGUGCACUUUCAUUUGUGUCUAUCACUGAAGAGUAGAGUUACUUGAUUGAAUAGUAUCAUAUCACAUAAACUCAAAACUUAAUUUCAUGGAAAAUGCUUGGUGUAGAGAAGCACAAGAGAAAGAUGAGAGAAACAAUGAAGAAAUGGGUAGAGAGAGAGUGAGUGGGUAGAGAGAGAGAGAGCAAAAUUCUCUCGUCUUUCUCUCAUGCUUCUCUCUCUCUAGCACUACUCUAAUUUCAUUGCGCGAGCAUACCAGGCCAUAUGUAGCUCAAAAGUGCAAUAACAUUGAACAUUCAGCUAGCUAGCUUAUACUAAUUAAUUAAUACGACUACUAGUUCUUUAUGAUUAAUUAAAAGAGAAAAUAUUUGACAAUCACGAAACAUUGUACCAUCACUGAAGAGUAGAGCUUCCUACAUUGUUACCCAAGCUCUUUUAUAUCUCCCAAACAUUAUUAGAGUCCCACAUUUGUGGCACAUCAUUAAGUAAAAUGUGCCGAUUAGGAAGAACUAGCUUCUUUUUUCUGAUUUCUUGAAUGUGUUGCAACUUUUAAGUAUCACUCAAAAUUUUACACCAUCAACACAUGAAAAUUAUACAUAUUCUGUCAGCACUUGCAUAUGUUGCAAGUGCUGACAGAACUUUUCAUUUGAUUUGAUAAUUGGCUAAGGGUGAUUUCAAUAACAUUUCCAAAGAAGAUAUAGAACAUAGAUCAAAAAGAAAAAUAAGUAAUUUGAUCAGUCGAUGCAAAAAAUGAGCGAGCUUCGUAGUCUGACUAACAAGACAUGGCUUGGAGCAAGGAUCAAUGGACAAGUUUGAGGUUUAUGAAAUAUUGGGAUAAGAGAAAUAAUAAAGCCACUACAAGUUAAGCAGAUCAAAUAAACAGAACAGAGGAAAUAAGUGAUCAAUUUAUUACUUUGUGCAAUGGCCACAGACAGCGAAAAUAUGUCUACAUGACAACAUUAUCCGACUGGCAUGGUACUAUCACCGUGCAGCAUUACACUAACAUUUCCUUAUCAAUCAAUUUUGAUGGUAUGAUAUUAAAAACAUUGAUUUCAUAAUUUUAUGUAAUUCAUAGAAAAGAUAUAAUUGAUUUGAGUUAGCUUAACAUAUACGGAAAGAGUAAUGGGGAAUGAUGUCGAUGUGGCAUGUGAUGAGUAAAGAUAGACAACAAAUAUUGAUCGUGUCAUAAUGAAAUAUGUAUUUAUUGAAAAUAAAUUGACAAUUAAAAUUAAUAGAUAUAUAUCCAAUGCAUCGAGUUUAUUUUAUCACUUCGCUAACCAUUUUGUAACUACAUGUUAAUUAGAAGUUCAAUUAAUUUUGACCAAAGACUCUAGAGAAUAUCGAAAAGAGAUUUGAUUUUUGUCUUAAAAAAAAUUAGAAAUGAAAUAAGUCAAAAUCAAUCACAAAAACAACAAUAAGAGCAUAUUUUAUAAAACCACAAAUGCAUAAUAUAAAUUUAGUUUCGAAUUAGAUAAUUAUUAAUUUGUAUAGCAAAAGAGUCUUAUAGAAAAAUAAGAAUUUUUUUAAAGGAGAUUUGCUUAAGGAACAACUUUAGUUUGGUUUAAUUUGUGAAGACUCAACUAAUUGAAAGCAACGCAAUUGAAGGAAAUACAAGCUUUUGAUUUUGACAAAGUAAUCACUAAAAUAUUUGACAAGUUUGAGAUGUUAAAAAAGCUGGAAAAAUAGACAAAUAAUGAAGAUCCUACAAGCUGGCAGAGCAAAUAAACAGAGGAAAACAAAGCAAAUAUUUACUGUUAUACAUAUAUUUUUUUUUAUUUUUUUCCAAAAAAGAAUGUUGCGAUAUUUUUUCCCAAAAAGAAGCACAGUUUGCUAUUACUACCAUAGAACUUUAGCUACCAUUUAUAAGCACGUGUCUAAUUACCAAAUGAAUUCCACUAUAACAAAGAAUAAAAGCUAAUUUCAUUGAUGGCAUAUGUUGUGCUUUCUUUUAUUUUAUUUUUCUCCUUUUAGUUAUUGAAGUUACUUUGCAAACUGCUCCAAGCUAAAUACAAAACUUACUCUUACACUAGGAUCUUUGCAAUGGUCCAGCAAUUUGUAUUCCUUUCGGUGAGAUUGGUUUUUUUCUUUAAAUAAAAUUUCAGGGAUGAGAAAUCUUAUCCAUUGAACAUCAACUUUGAAUUUUAUUAAUAUUCAAACUUAGAAAGUACUGCAGGAACAAAGUGCAUUCAUAGCCGGUUACACUAUGUCUAGCUACAAUGCAAGUUUCACUUAAUUAAAUAUACAAAAUUAAAUCACACGAGCCUCUCGUUUCUGUUGAAAAUUGAUUAAAAAAAAGUUGAAAAGUCAAAUUCAAAGACAUCAUUUGAAUUCAAAUGGGAGGUGGCCGAGAACUUUGAAAAGUAAUUGGAAGUGGCCAAAACUAUUUUGAAUGUUGAAUGGUGGCUAUUGAAUGUUGAAAAAAUAGAUUGAUUUUAGGCAAAAUUUUGCCUAUAAAAGGAAGCUCUCAUUUGAGAGCUUGGCAUCCCAAAUCCCAGAGAAGCGAUCCAAGUUUUGGUGAGAAAUUGAGAGAGAGAAAUGUUCUUAAGCAUGUAGUUAUAUUGUAGGAGUAUUUGACUCCUCAAUAUAGGUGUUACGGGUUUGCUUUGUUAAAGGAUAUUUCUCAGGAUUAUGUAUUUGGGGAUUGGGUGAGAGAAAAUUAUUUCUCAGAGUGUGGUUGUAAUAAUUUUCCACAUAGUGAAUAUUUUUUCUCUGGUUGGCUUUUGACAACGGCCGUGGUUUUUCUCCAGAUUUGGAGUUUUCCACGUAAAUCUACUGUUGUGUGAUUGGUGUAUUCUCCAUUUAAUUUUUUCUGUUAAUUUGUUGCUUGACAAAUUGCUUAGAGUGAUCUUGGGAGGAAGCUCAAUUUCCUAACAGUUUCAUUAUACUUCAACUUAAAAUUAAAACGAAGAAUUGACAGUAUUGGAGUUUCAUAUUUAAUUUUGCUGCAGUUAUGGGGAAUCAGAUGGCCAUCCAUUUUGACGUCUAUUUUAUGGCCAUCCCCACUAAGUAGCUUGGUCAUAUACAAUAUGUGUGUGCGUGUGUGUGUGUGUGUAUUGGGAUGUCACAGGCGCUAAAAGAUAAAGCUGAACAUCAAUCCCAAAUCUAAAGUGAAAAACAGUAGCUAGAACAGAAUCUUUGUUUCGAUGUCUUAGUUUAUAAGCUGGAACAAUUGAUAGUAUACAAGAUGCAUGAUAGAACAGAGAACUCAUAUUUUAGCAAUAAUCCUCAGCUCACCGCCCCUUAGUUCAGAGUGGCAGUUCUUAUAACAAAUAAUUGAAGACUUGCUUGGCUAUUGAACCACACGAAGGCAAUUCGUGAACAGCCUUGAUAUUUCAUUUGGUUUUAUAUAAUUCUCUGUAAAGUUGUCUUGUGUGUAAAAUUUUUGUUAAAUGAAAUCGGUAGGUGAAGAGAAUUUUUAAAAGCAAACAUCAAAGUAACGAUCAAAUGGAUGAAAUCGGUAUAAAUAUUGAUUGUCUCAAGUUAGAUUAUACAAAGAUGAAAUAAUGCUAAUCUAGAAAAUCCAAUCAUUAUAAUUUGAUUUCCAUUAUAUUAAUUAUGUUCAAUCAGGCUAUUUUAAUGAAGAACACUCGAGCAUUUAUAUACAUUCAGCUUAUGAAAUUAAUUACAAAACGAUCUUUGACCAAGUCUGAUGAAAAGAUCAUCUUGCAAGUACAAAGUUAGACUUCCCGAUCAUGCAACUAUGCAUCAAAUUGUGUAUUGUGUUAUCAUUGAGCUCUUAGGAAGAUUCAGCUGCUGAGGAGAAACUAUCCAUCAAAUUGUGUAUUGUGUUAUCGUUGAGCUCUUAGGAAGAUUCAGCUGCUGAGGAGAAGAUAUAAUCUGUUUUUAUGUGACAAGCUAUGUACUCUGCUUUUAUGGUGUUUCUAGUUGUUGGACAAACUGUAAUAUGAAUUUCUAUCUAAGGGGUAUUUGUAGUUGGUUUUGGAUUGUUGAUUUACAAAUGAUGUUUGGUAUCCAAAAUUCAGAUGAUGAUAAUCUUGGCAGUACUUUUGUCAAAUUUUCUUUUAUGUUGGUGUUGUUUUAAUUAAAUAUCACAAAGGUGCAAAAUACGGUAAAAAUAACAUUGAGCUCAUGAGAUUGCCAUUAGAUAUAUUGAAAUAGAAAUUGAUACAAGGAACUGAAAAUUAGUUGUUAAUUAUGAUGGGAAUAUAAUCUUGGUAUUUUAAUUAUAUCUAUCUAACGCAUGUGCACUAAUCUCAUUUGUGUCUAUCACUGAAAAGCAGAGUGGCUCGAUUGAAUAGUAUCAUAUUACAUCACAGCAAUCACAGAAACUCACUCAACAUUCAACUAAUUUAUACUAAUUAAUUAAUACGACUAACAGGAAAAGUUGGAUCUCGUCUUUUCUUGGACAUAUCCAGUGACUUUGAGCUCUCCAGCCUCCCAGGUUCCGAAUGGGGUCCUAAAAUAUCUUGCCGGAAAUGUUCUUCCUUCAGAUUCGGUGGUUAUACGUGGCCUUGCUAAAAAUCAGGUGAUUGUUUUUCAUUAUUGCGGCUACUUGACUCAAUUAUGUUAUUGCAAGAGGAGAUUUCUAUUUGUCUGGUUUAAGCCAUAAGAUGGGUUUCAAGAUUCAUUCUGAUUGGUUAUCUGUUAGCUUUUUGUUUUAAGAACUUCUUAUUUACGAAAGCCGAAUUCUUCUUUCUAGGUUUAUUCAUAUUCAGAAGUUGCUUUUGUCAUAUCAGAAGAAUAGGCUACGACUGUUGAAGUACUAGAAGGGAACUUAACAAUGCCAUUUAUUUUUUUCCUCGUGUGACCUCUUCACAAUGCCAUUGAUUCCCAUAGUUCAUGUUGCUAGGUGAACUUAACAACAACCAUCUAUUAUGCCUUGUGGAUAACUGAGAAAAUUUAUUGCUUUUGACAAAUUGCUUUUUGAAAUAGAGUGCAAGUAGAUUGACCAAUAAUGAACUUAUUGUAUCAAGUUGUUACAUUUGAACAUAUUAAGGUCAUAUAAAUCAUACUUGUUAUACUUCUUUUUUUCUUUUUUUCCCUCCCCAUUUCCCUGUCUGGAGGGUUUCGUGGACGAUCAGUUUGGCUUCGGUCUAAUUGCUGGAGCAGUUAAGGAAUUACUGUUAUCAAAAUAAAGUUUCCUCUCACUCACUAGCCAGUUAAGCAGCUCGUCACCAGUCGGAUUCAUUGCCGAUUGUAGCCCAUCUCCAUUGCUCAUCACUGUUCGGAUUCGUCAGUUCUGUCAUGUCAGUUCAGUAGCUUGUCGCCGCAGUCAUGGUCGGCCUCUUUGUUGUCAUCGAAGAACCAAUCAAUAAUGAUAACGAUGAUGUUUUAUGACAAUAAUGAUGAUGAUUGAUGAUGAUGAUGAUUAUUACCAUUGUUGAUGAUUAAUAUUAUCGAUGAUGAUGAUGUAGAUGAUGUAAUUGCGGUGAGAUGAUGAAGAUGAAACUGAAUUGUGAUGUUGAUAAUGAAAUUGACAGAAGGAAGAAGAAGAUAAUUGUGGUGAUGAUGAUGAUGAUGUUGAUGGAGAAGAUGAAAUUGACAUGAUUGAUGAUGAAGUAACGAAGAAUUUGUAAAACAGAGAGAGAGAGAGAGAAAGGAGAAGAGGAUAAAAAAAAAAGAAAGAAAAACAGGAGAGAAAAUAAUAAUAAAAACAAGAGGAAAAUAAUUAUUAUUGUUAUUAUUAUUAUUAACAAUAACUUUCUUAAUAACCAUAAUCAUAUAAUAGAUAAUAAAUAUAGUGGUAAUAAUGAAUUUAAGGGUAUUUUAAUAAUUUAAAUAAUUCAUUGUAAUUUUAAGGUAAAGUAAAUACAUUAAUGAUAAUACAAUUUAUUUUAAUUUUGAUUCUUAUAGUUGAAGUAAAUAAUUUAUUUUAAUUUUUUUAUUUCACAUUUCAAUUUUAGUCCAUUCCGAAUUAGUAAACGUAUCAUAAAAUCAUGUGAUUCUACUCCUUUAAAUGUGAGAUUGAUUUUUUUCUUUAAGGCCUACGACAUCCCAAUACGUCUAUAUAUGACCAAGCUACUAAGUGAACGGCCAUAAAAAAGGCAUAAAAUUGGAUAGCCGUCUAAUUAAUUCCCCAUGACCUACAACAAAAAUUUAAGAAGGAACUCUGAUACCAUCAAUUAUGCAUUUUAAUUUGAAGUUGGAAAAUAGUGAAAACAGAAGGUUCGGGUGAUUUAUACAUAUUUAAUCAAGUAAAAAUGGCACCUGUUGUAAUUUGCACAUUUAUCUUUACUUUGAAUAAUAACAAAGUUCAAAUUUUGUAUUCAGUGAAAAAUCAAAUCUAAAGUGAAAAACACUAGCUAGAAAAAAAUCUAUGUUCUGAUGUCUUAGUUCAUAAGCUCAAACAAUGAACAGUUUACAUACAACGCAUGAUAGAACACAAAACUCAUGUAGAUUUUCAGUUUCGAAAUUCAUUUCAGAAAAUCUGUUCUGUUCAACAGGUUAAAGUAGAUUAUCAACUAAACUCUACCCACAUACUUGCGUACAAUUAGAGCACUAUGUCAACAAAGGAGCACAUCUUUCGGAAGAUAAUUGAAGACUUGUUUGGCAAUUUGAAGAUUACAUCUUUGCUCUGCCAUUGGAAGCAAGCAACUCAGCCACCCAAAGACCGCCAAGCCAUCAAGACAACACCAAGAUACAACAUCAAUAAUAAUAACAUCAAGAAUUACAUAGAGGCCGUCGCACGUUACACCCACCCCAACAAGAAACUAAUUAAUACCGUCUUAGCUCCUCUGUAAUUGUCCUCCAUCCUUUUGAGUACCUUUCUUCUACCAAGGGACAACCCGAGAUCUCUAAUCACAAAAGAGAGGGAGGCAGGGCCUUUUCUGGAAAGUAUUUGAGCUUCAGACAAUUACAGAGUUUCAAUUUGCUGAGGUUUUGAUGAUCAGCAAUUGAAGAAGACAGGCGUUAAUAAUUAUGAAGAACCGGUGUAAUUUAUAUCAUGUAGGAAGUCCUUCAGUUACUUCUUUGACCUUGCCCAAGCUCUUUUAAGGGCUAAUAUCAAAAUUUCGUGAUAUUGUGCCGAAAGAGCUUCAUACCUCAUUGUAACUGUUUCUAAAAGUUGAUGAGCCCAAAUAUCCAAUAAGUGAUACAGACGCAUGGAAAUCCCCCGUUUUGAGUUUAUGCUUGUUCUUGUCUGCUUGACAAAUAGGACAUCGGUGGACUAAGCAUCAUUGGAUAACUUGGGGGAAAAAUAGUGUCCAGCAAAAAGAAUCCAUCGUUAUGUGCCGCUUCCUAUUUAAUUACAUUUAUCUAACAUUUAAAAGAUGGAGGUAGAAAUUAAAACUCAGUUUUUCAGAUAUGGCUUAUAUACAUUAAUGCAAGUAUCAAGAUUUAAUUAGAGUUCACAUAUAUACAUGCGUCUAGUUCUUAUUGAGAGAUAAACCAAUCAUAAAUACUCAGUUGCUUCUAAAUGAUUGAAUAAUGAUAUUAUUGUUAUUUAUAAAUUUAUAAGGAUAAAUAACUAAUAGUCCAUCAUAAAUACCGAAAAGGGUCCCCAGCAUAACUUGAACAACUUUACUUGUGUUUGCUCAUUGAAUAAUGUUAUCAAAAAGAAAUACAUAUGUCAGAAGAUUCAUAGUAUAUUGGAGUGUUUUUUGUACUUGAAUGAGAAUGAAUGAAGGUAUGUUAAUUAUAUUUAAAUAAUUGUCUAAAAGGAAUAGAAAUGCUCUAUAACAUAUCAAAUACUACCUUAAUCAAAAUUUAGUUGACAAAAUUUUUUUAAAAAUGGAAUAAAACCCUAAUUAAAUAAUUGUCUUACAUCACCAAACUCUUUUUUUUUUUUUAAUUUUAAGGCAUCACCACACUCUGUAAAGCAUAAAAUAUAAUAGGCAAAUUUGAGUUAAAAAAAAAUGAAGUUAGGAAAAUGACUUGCAUACUGUCUUUGAUGAGCGCAUAAUUUUCUUGAAAAAAAAAGGAUUUUUGUGUGUUUUUUUUUUUUUGUAAAUUUAUGUCGUUUACUAGUCUUUUGGGUUUUGUUGUAUCAAUUCUUUGGAACGUGUUUAUCUUGCUUUUGUAUAUGUUAGGAAACGGAGUGAAAUCCCAAUCUUAAAAUAUGGAAAAAUGAUUUUUCAUGAAUAAAAUGAUUUAAUUUAUUUUUAUUUCUACAACAAAAAUUAUUAAGUUAUCAACAUAUUGAUUUCAUCUGUAAGUUCCAGUCAGUCAGUUUCUUACGUUCCAUUGUUAUCUUUUAAAAGAUACUGCAAUGCUUUAAGUGUGUUUGAUCACUUCACUAAUCAUUUGAUAUUUACAAAUUGAAAAAAUAAAUUAUUUCUGACCAAAGGUACUAGAGAAUGUCGAAAAGAGUUUGAUUAAUUUUUGUAUACGCACACAACACAAAAUUAAAUUACAUGGCAAUGUUGAUAGUGAGUCGUUUUUGGGAAUCCAUAAGUUCACAUGUGCACAGACGUCUGUUGCCUGCCAGCCCUUUCCUUUUUUUAUAUCUUCAAAACAUUUAUUAGAGUCCCAAAUUUAUCACACAUCAUUAAGUAAAAUGUGCCAAUUAGUAAGAGCCAGCUUCUUUCCUCUGUUUUCUUGCGUAUGCUGCAUUCAAGUAUCACUGAAAAUUUUAAUUAUACCGUCAACAGCUGCAGGAAAAUUAUAUACAUUCUAUCAACACCUGCAUGCUGCAAUCCUCAAUGACUGCCAAAUCUUCAUACCAUGAAUAUCAAGUAACUUCCAACUCUUCAUAUAGUGAAUCAGCAGGAUUCACGUCCGACCAACUCCACAGGCACGGCUAAAGCGAAAGAUUAUUUUUUCAGAUAUUAUCAAGAAAUUAAUUUAAGUGAAAUAAGCUAAGAGUGAUUUCGAUAAGGUUUUCAGAGAAGAUAUAGAAAGAAGAUAAAAUAAAUAAAUAAGUAAUUUCAGUCGAUGCAAAAAAUGGGCAUGUGUCUGACUAACAGGACAUGGCUUGGAGCAAAUAUCAAUGGAGGAAAUAUCAGCUUAUAAUUUUAUAAAAUAAGCAUCAAAAUAUUCGACAAGUUUGAGGUUUAUGAAAUAUUGGGAAAAUAGACAAAUAACAAAGACGCUCACACUACAAGUUAAGCAGAUCAAAUAAACAGAACAAAGGAAAUAACUGAUCAAUUUAAUUCUUUGUGCAAUGGCCACGGCAACAGCGAAAAUAUGUCUACAUGACUUUAAUGCUACUGGCGCGGAUGGUACCAUCACCGUGAUGAUAUGAGAUUAAAAGCAUUGAUUUCAUAAUUUUAUAAAAUUUCAUAUAGAAGAUAUAAUUGAUUUGAGUUAGUUUAACAUAGAAAGAAAGAAUAAUAAGGAAUGAUAUCGAUGUGGCGUGUAAUGAGAAUUGAUAGAGACAAAUAUUGAUCAUGUAAUAAUGAAAAAUUUAGUUACUGAAAAAUAUUUGGCAAUAAAAUGAUGCUAUAAAAAUUUAACAUUGUUUACCAGAAAAUAGUUUGCAAUUAAAAGAGAUAUAUAUGCAAUGCUUUGAGUUUAUUUUAUCAUUUCACUAACCAUUUUGUAACUACAUAUUAAAUAGAAGUUGAAUUAAUUCUGAUCUAAGACUCUAGAGAAUGUAGAAAAAUGAUUUGAUUAUGUAUACAAACAAUAUUAGAGAUGAGAUAUCAGAUAUGUCAAAAUCAAUGACAAGAACAAUAAAAAGAACAUAUUCUACAAAAGUUUUAAUUCAUAUAAUAUAAAUUUAGUUUCAAAUUACAAAAUUAUGAAUUUGUAUAGUAAAAGAGUCCAAUAGAAAAAUAGAAUUUUUUUAAAAAGAGAUUUGCUUAGGGAACAACUUUAGCUUGCUUUGGUUUGUGAAGGCUCAAGUAAUUGAAAGCAACGCAAUUGAAGGAAAUACAAACUUCCGCUUUUGACAAAGUAAUCGCAAAAAUGCUAAAAAUGUUGGGACAAUAGACAAAUAAUGAAGACCCUACAGGUUUGUGGAGCAAAUAAAUAGAGUAAAAUAGAGCAAAUAUUUACCAUUAUACAUAUAUUUUUUAUUUUUUAUUUCAAAAACGAUUGUUGCGAUUUUUUUAAGACAAAAAUGAAGCACAGUCUCCUAUUACUACUAUAGCAUGUUAGCUAUUAUAUAAGCGCGAGUCUAAUUAUCAAAUAAAUUCCACUUUAACAAAGAACAAAAGCUAAUUUCAUUGAUACUGCCUGUUGUGCUUUCUUUUAUUUUAUUUUCUUUUUGUUAUUGGAGUUGCCUUGCAAACUACUCCAAGCUGAUUACAAAAUUUCCUCUUGCUUUAGGAUCUUUUGAAUGGUCCUGCUAUUUGUAUUCGUUUAUGUGGGACUGGUUUUUUCUUUAAACAAAAUUUCAGCGAUGAGAAACCUUACCCAUUGAAUACCAACUUUGAAUUUUAUUCUUAUUCAAACUUAGAAAACUGCAGAAACAAAGUGCCUUCAUAACACCAGUUAAACUGUGUCUAGCUACCAUGCUGGUUCUACUUUUACUUUAUUAAUUAUAUACAGCAUUAAAUCACCUGAGCCUCCAGUUUCUCUAGUUUCCAACUUGAAAUUAAAACGUAGAAUUGAUGGUAAUGGAGUUCCUUAUUUAAUUUUGCUGUAGGUCAUGGGCAAUUAGACGGCCAUCCAUUUUUAUGUCUAUUUUAUGUACUAUUGGCCACUAAGUAGCUUGGAUAUUUUAUACGUAGUUUGAAAUAAGUCAAAAUCAAUUACUAGAACAACAAUAAAAGCAUAUUUUAUAAAGGCCAAAAAUACAUAAUAUAAAUUUAGUUUUGAAUUUUGUAAUUAUUAAUUCAUAUAUUAAGAGAGUCUUAUAGAAAAAUAGGAAUUUUUUGAAAGAGAUUUGCUAAAGUAAAAAAUUUCGUUUGGUUUAGUUUGUGAAGGCUCAAGUAAUUGAAAGCAAUGCAAGUGAAGGAUAUAUGAACUUGUAAUUUUUACAAAGUAAUUGCUAAAAUAUUUGACAAGCUUGAGAUUUUAAAAAGGCUGGGAAAAUAGAAAAACAAUGAAGACCCUACGAGUUGGCAGAGCAAAUAAACAGAGGAAAACAUGACAAAUAUUAUGUUGAUGCACAAUCUUAUUUUAUGUUGAUGCACAAUCCAACUUUUUAACAAAAAUAAUAUUUAAAUUGUCACAAAACGUAUUAUUCUUUAAAAAAAAUUCAUAUACAGUAGUUAAUUUUUCUUUACUCCAGGAUCCAACUACAUACCCCUCUUUUUUGUCGUUAUUCUGCUCAGUCGUUAGAUUUUAAUUACUGUAAAGAAUUGUGGAAAUGCUCAUAUAUUAUUUGUUGCUGUGUACAAGAUCCUUAUAUACAAAAAUACUAGAAUCAUCUAAGGCAAGUACCAAACGGUCAAAUAAUAGAAAAGGAAAGAAUAUAAAGGAGAAUGAAUAUUACAAUAUGCUAAGUUAGUGGCUAAGAUCAAGGACUGAUUGAUUCUUGUUCUAAUACUCCCCCUCAAGUUGGGAAGUGAAGAUCCGUAACUCCCAACUUGCCAAGAAGAUAUUGAAAUUGAUGUUUACCAAGAGCUUUGGUAAAAAUGUCAGCCAAUUGUUGUCGUGAAGGCACAUAAGUUAAGGAAAUGAUUUUGGCAUGAAGCUUUACACGAACAAGAUGGCAGUCUAUUUCUAUGUGCUUGGUACGCUCAUUGAAGAUGGGAUUGGCAGCGAUAUGAAGCGCAACUUGAUUGUCACAAUGUAAAGUUAUAGGCAUUGGAUGGGUCACAUGAAGAUCACGAAGUAGAGUUUUCAACCAAACCAAUUCACAUGUUGUUGUCGCCAUGGCUCGAUAUUCGGCUUCAGCGGAAGAGCGCGAUACAACUGGUUGCUUCUUGGUUUUCCAAUAAAUAGGACUAUUGCCAAGCAUGAUAAAAUAUCCAGUAGUGGAUCGACGGGUCAUGGGGCAACUUGCCCAAUCUGAAUCUGAGAAGGCAGAGAGUUCCAAAGAGUUAGUGGAGGACAAGAGGAUACCAGCGCCGGGAGAAAAUUUGAUGUAACGUAAGACACGCAGGGCAGCAUCAUAAUGUGGUCAUCUUGGAGUGUGCAUAAAUUGACUAAGUAUGUUCACAGCAUAUGUAAUUUAUGGCCGGGUGAUUGUCAAAUAGAUGAGACGUCCUACAAGUCGUCGGUAUUGGUCAGGAUUUUGACAAAGGGUUCCUUGAUCGUUAGAGAGCUUCAAGUUUUGUUCCAUUGGAAAAGAAGAUGGCCGUGUGCCUAAUUGUCCACUGUCUUGAAGUAUAUCUAAAGCAUAUUUCCUUUGAUUGAAGAAAAUCCCUUGCUUUGAGCGAGCCACUUCAAUUCCUAAAAAAGAUUUCAAAGUUCCCAAGUCUUUAAUAUGAAAUUGAGCCUGCAAAAACAUCUUCAAUGCAGUUAUAGUGUCAAGAUGGUUACCAGCAAUUAUUAUAUCACCAACAUACACAAGCACCAAUGUAAAAUGAGAAUCAUGCAUUUUAGUAAACAAACAAGAAUCAACAUAAAAUUGAAUGUAACCAAUUUGUUUAAGAGCGGAUGAGAAUUUUUCAAACCAAUUUCGAGAAGCUUGCUUGAGACCAUAAAGGGACUUGUUUAACUGACAAAAUUGAUAAGACUCCCCCUGUUUACAAACUCCUGGAGGUAAGGUCAUAUAAAUUUCCUCAUGCAAGUCACCAUGAAGAAAUGCAUUAUGAACAUCUAACUGAAAUAAUAACCACCCUCGAAUAGCUGCCAUUGCCAAUACACAUCUAACAGUCACAAGUUUUGCAACAGGUGCAAAUAUCUUAUGGUAAUCCAAACCUUCAGUUUGUGUGUAUCCUUUAGCAACAAGGCGUGCUUUGUAUCUCUCAAUAGAACCAUCAGCUUUUCUUUUAAUUUUGAACACCCAUUUACAACCAAUUGGUUUCUUGCCGGGAGGUAGAUCUUGUAUAGGGAUGGCAAAUUGGUCCAUCCAAAUUGGAUAUCCAUAUAUCCAAUCCAAUUGGAUUGGAUAAUAUCCAUCCAAAAUCUUCUUGGAUAUGGAUAUGGAUAUUUUUAAAAAUAUCCAAUUAGAUAUUGGAUGGGUAUGGAUAUUUAAUGGAUAUCCAAAAUCCAAUUAAUUUAUCCAUUUAAAGUUAAAAAAAUUUAUAUUGUUAAACUAAAAUAAAAAAAAAAAUCUAAUUUUCUCUUAUAUUAACUAGUGAAAAAUUUAAAUUUCUCUUAUAUUAAAAACUAAAGUUUUCAAAAUUACCCUUUAAUUUUUUAACUUAUUUAAUACUAUUUAUAAUUGUUAUUUUAUUUUAUUGAUUUAAUAUUAUAAAUGGAUUUCCACCGGAAAGUCACCGGACCACCACCGGAGUUCGCCGGACCACCGUCGGAUAUCGCUGGAAUUACCGCCGGACCUCGGCGGAAAGUCACCAGAAGACCGCCAGACCACCGUUGGCUUCACCGGAAGAUUGCCGGACCACCGCCGGAAUUCGCCGGAAGGUCGCCGGACUUUGCCGGAAAGUUGCCGGACCGCCACCACCGACCACCGGACCGCCAUUUUAUUAUAUAUAUAUAUUAUUACUAAUAUAAAUAGUUUAAUAGCCAAAUUUGAUAUUGAAAUUUUAACUAUUUUAUAUUAUUAUUUUUAUAUAAUUAAAAUAAAAUAUCCAUGGAUCUCCAUAAACUAUAUGGAUAAAAUCCAUAUCCAUGUCCAAUAUUAAAUAGUGGAUAUGGAUAUGGAUAUAUCCAUUAUGGAUAAUUAUGGAUUUAUGUUUAUCCAUCCAUCAUUGGAUAUUUGUCAUCCCUAAUCUUGUAUUGUCCAAGUGUUACUUUGCUCUAAAGCUUUAAUCUCUAUAUCCAUAGCAUUGCGCCAAUGAGCAUGUUGAACGGCUUGAGAAUAUGUAGUUGGUUCAACAUCGUGAGAUAUGGCUGAAAGAAAGGCUACAUGAUCACUAGAAAACUUGUCAUAUGAUAAAUACUUGGAUAAUGGAUAUAAAGAACUUACCAAUAGUGGAUGAUUAGUAAAAGUAUUAGAGUUGCCAAAUGUACCGUGAAGUGCAGUAGAGCAAAUAUAAUUCUGAAGAUAAUUUGGAUGACAAGACUGUCGUUGGGACCGUCGAAGAGGUGGAGAAGGGAGAACUACUGAAUCAGAUGUACCUUGGUGGAGUGGCUGCUCAUUGGAAGAAGUUGGAAGGAGCUGUGCAUUUUCAUUGGCAAGAAGUAUGAUAGGAAGAGGUAAAACAUUGUUAUUUUCUUGUUGAUUGGUGAUAGUUUUGAAUGGGAAUUCAGUUUCCACAAAAGUAACAUCACGAGAAAUAAAAGUCUUUUUGUUAAUGAUAUCAUAAACUUUGUAUCCGGGAUACCCAAAUGGGUAACCAACAAAUAUACACUUGGUAGCACGGGGAGCAAAUUUAUGAUGAUUAGCACUGUUGGUAUGAACAUAACAAAGACAACCAAAGACACGAAGACGAUCAUAGUGAGGUUUAGUCUUAAAAAGCAUUUCAUAAGGAGAUUGACCACCAAGAUUAGGAGUGGGUAUACGAUUAAUCAAAUGGGUUGCAGUUAAAACACAAUCUCCCCAGAAAGAUAAAGGUAAAUGUGCUUGAAAACAUAACGCACGUGCAACUUCUAAAAAAUAUGUCGGUGCUUGCGUUCUGCUACCUAAUUUUGUUGAGGUGUUUCAACACAAGUCCGUUCAUGCAAGAUGCCAUGCUCAUGAAAAAAAGAUUGCAUCUGAUUUGAUAAAAAUUCACGUCCUUGAUCAGUACGAAUUUUUUUAAUUUGUGACUGAAAUUGUGUUUUGAUCAAGAAGUAAAAGUUUUUUAAUAAUUGAAAAGCUUCAAACUUGUGCCGCAUGAGGUAAACCCAAGUACAACGAGUAUGGUCAUCAACAAUAGUAAGAAAAUAAUAUGAUCCCGUAUAUGUAGAUGUGCGAUGAGGUCCCCAAAUAUCACAAAAAAUUAAUUGAAAUGGCAUAUCAGAACGAUUUUUAUUCAAUUGAAAUGAACUUCUAGUGUUUUUUGAAAGUUGACAAAUUUCACAACAAGAAUUAAAUGAUGCAAUAUCAUAAAUAAAAGACAAACGCUGCAUUCGGUCUUUAGAAGGGUGACCGAGUCGCAAAUGCCAAAGAUUGGAAUUGGGUUCCUUUGCAACGUUCAUUACUGAAGGAAGGGAAGAAUGACCAUUGAUAUGCUCAUAAUAAUAUAGUACAUCCCGAACUUCACCCUUUCCAAUCAGCUUCUUCGUUGAAAGGUCCUGAAAAACACAAAAUGAAGGGAAAAAUAUAGCAGCACAGUUCAAAUCCUUGGUUAGCUUGCUUACAGAUAAUAGUUAAAAAUUAAAAUGAGGAACUAAUAAGGCAUUAUCUAAAGUCAAAGAGGAGGAUAAUUUAAUGGAUCCACAUUUUGUUGUAGGAACAGUUGUGACAUUUGGUAGUCUCACGGGUUUGACAUGAGACAUGGGCACAAAAUUUUUAAAGGAAGAAAUAUUAGGGUCAUGUGAUCAGAUGCCCCACUAUCAAUUAUCUAAGAAUUAUUAUAUGAGUUAAUAGCAGAAUUGCAAAAAGGAAUGAUUUUACCAGCUAAGUUUACAGUAGAUGGCUGCUUACUUGUUGAAAGUAUAGAUAAUAAAUGUUGAUAUUGUUCAGCCGUGAGACCGGGAAUUUGGAUAGUAGGCUGAGGUGAUGAAUUCUUGUCUUUUGGAAUGGGAUGAUCAUCUAGUUGUUGUGGCUUCGUGGUUGCAGGAGCAGCAACAUGCGAUCGAUUUGAAUGUUUCCAGUUUGGUGGGUAGCCAACAAUUUUGUAACAUUUGGCUUUUAUAUGCCCAUAUUUCUCGCAAUGAUCCCAUAAAGGUCUACCUCGUCCUUGUGUCUCUUGUACUCCAUGCAAUUGGCUAGGAUGUGAAUGAUUUUGACGGCUGGUCAUUUGAGUCUUAUUAUUGGCUGUCAAGGCUGUUGAUUCAAUAGAUGGUUGACUGGAAACAUGGAGAAGUCGUUGACGUUCUUCCUGAUGAAUAAUUGAAUAUGCUUUUCCAACAUUUGGAAGUGGUUCCAUGGCUAAGAUUUGACUUCAUACCGAAGAAUAUGAAUCAUUGAGACCCAUUAGGAAUUGAAACACCUUUUCAGUCUCCAGUAAUCCCUGUAAUUCAUUUGAAGUUUCACACUUGCAAGAAGAAAUAGUGGUUAAUGUGGACAAUUCAUCCCAAUAAAAUUUCAAAGUAUUAAAAUAAAUCACUAAUGAUUUUUGCUCUUGCUGGUGAUUGCAUAUGGCUCUCUUAAGUUCAUAAAUCCGUGGAUUAUUACUUUGUGAAAAACCUUCUUCCAACCCAAGCCAAAGAGAGCGUGGCGUAUCACAAUAGAUGAGGCCAUUGGCAAGAUUUUUCUCUAUUCCAUUGAGCAUCCAUGAAAGGACCAUGUCAUUGCAUCGCUCCCAAGUUUUUAAAUCUUGUGAGGUUGAUGAAGGUUUUUGUAUGCUUCCAUCAAUAAAACCCAAUUUGUUUUUGGCAUUUAAUGCCAUCUUCAUGGAUCUUUUCCAUGUUGAAUAAUUAUCACCCGUUAGCACAUUAGAUACAAGAAUGGCUCCAGGAUGAUCAGAUGAAUGAAGAAAGUAUGGUGAAGAAACAUCGGUAAUGAGGGAAUUUGAUGUUUCUAAUAUUGGAUUCAAACUACUAGACAUGAUUGUCAAAGAGAAAAGCAGAAAUGAGCAAAAUUUGCUCUGAUACCAUGUAAAGAAUUGUGGAAAUGCUCAUAUAUUAUUUGUUGUUGUGUACAAGAUUCUUAUAUACAAAAAUACUGGAAUCAUCUAAGGCAAGUACCAAACGGUCAAAUAAUAGAAAAGGAAAGAAUAUAAAGGAGAAUGAAUAUUACAAUAUGCUAAGUUAGUGGCUAAGAUCAAGGACUGAUUGAUUCUUGUUCUAAUAAUUACGUUGAUCUAACGGUUGGGAUUUGUAAAUGAAUAACGAAGUGGUGUUUUUGGCUACCGUCUGAACCCAUUGCAUCUAAUUGGUUUUGUGAUUUUUCGCUUUCUUCUCUGCAACGCUUGACUAGUUCUAGAAAUAUCGACAGCAAAUUUGGAGCAUGUAUUAUUUUUCAUUAAAAUAAGUUUCCACCACCGUACCAGUAUAUGGAUUUCUGAAUUAAUUAUUAAAAGAAGCAAACAAUACUGAGAAUAUAUUAAUUAUUAAUUUAUAUAAUAAUAUGUUUGCUUCAAAAUAUACUAUUUGAAUUUGAAAUAAUAUUUUUUUAAAAUUUUAAUAUCACAAUAAUAGUCAUGAUCCAAUUGGUUUGAUUUUUUUUUUUCAGAAAAAAUUUGGAAGAAUAGACAAAUAAUGAAGACACAACCUAAGGAGAGCCAAUAAACAGGGGAAAGUGAAUUGCGUACUGUCCUCGAGCUCUCAAUUAUCCAACAUUCUCAAAUUUCUAUGUACAUUUUCGUAAAUUCAUGUCAUAUACUAGAGCUAGUAUUUUGGGUUUUGUUGCAUUAGUUCUCUGGUGUUUAUCUUGUUUUAUUACCUUAUGAUGCAAGAUUCCUGGUAGCCAUACACCUCGAAUAAAACUAUUUUUAUUUUUUUGGCAUUUUUAUUAGCAAAAAUCAUUAUUAAUUAAUGAACCCAUCGAGAUAUUGGUUUCAUUUGUAACAACUUGCUAAUUGCUUAAUACAUUUUUGUAAUUCUAGUCAUGAAGUCAUAAAGAACCUGCAAAUAAAAUCAUAGAUGAGGUACAUUGUGAUGUGAUAAAUCUAAUUCAAAUCUAAACUAAGAGAUGAUUCCUAUACAGGUACAUAUAGAAUAAAGAUAUUUAAACAUAAGCAUUCAAUUUUAUGAUAAACCUAACUGUCAUUGGCUUAUUGCUAUUAAAGGAAGUGAACAGAAAUAGAUGUAGAAAGUCAGAAAUAUGAAUGAGUGGACUUGAUUUCUCGAAUAGAAAAUUAAAUUAAUAUCAUUUUUAAUAAAUGUGAGAUGAUUUAUACUCUAAAAUUUAUUUUGAACACUCAUAUUUUUAUUACAAAAAAUUUCAUAGUUCAAUUUAUUAGUAUGGACAAUUCAAUAUAAGUAAACAAAAUAAUAAUACUUUUGAAACUCAUCUAACCAUAGUGCGCACGCACCCAUAUAAACCUUAAACCAUAAUAAAACGUUCUUCCUCAACAUAAAGACUAAUUCAUUAUUUAAAAGCAUAUAUUAACAAAUUUGUACACACAGAUUCUAUGGUUCUAAUUUCUUUGACUUUAAUUUUUUACUUCUCCACCAAAGGAGGUUCUACACAAAUAAACAACAGCAGAAAAACAAAUAUAAAAUGUGAUUCGUGUGUAGAAGAUAUAUACUCAUCAUAACAAUAACUGAUAAAUUGUAUUAAGAAAUAAAAAUAUUAGUAGUGAUGACAUGAAAGAAGUCUGUUGUCUUCACUUUGACUAAAAAUAAUUUACAAUAAUCGACCAAGCGAAAUUCCUUAAGAAAUGAACUAGGUUGGGAAGGCAGAGCAGCCUCUGUUCUUUUUACUAUAAUGCUAAGAAUUGACUUCAAUUGGGAAGUCAGGCCAAUUGAAGAAGCUCCCCUGUUUUUCACUGAAUCAUAAUCCGAACAAUUUAUAAUUAAAUAAAUCAUUCAAAAUCUCCUUUAAUCGAACCCCCACUUCUGUGGUUUAAUGAAAUAUUAACGUUCAGCUCCUGAAGUUGCCAUUUUAUGUAUUGAAAAAGAAGAAAAUACAAGAAACUGAAAAUUAAUUGAUGCUGCAUCAUGUUGGAUUGUUAGUUGUUAUUAUGAUGGGGAUAUAAUCUUUGCCUUUUAAUUAUCAUCUAGCUAACGCAAGCCCACUAGUUUCAUUUGUGUCCAUCACUAAAAAGUAGAGUUGUUUAAUUCAAUAGUGUCACGUUACAUCACAUAAAGUCACUCAAUUUUCAUUGCCAUAUGUAGCUCAAAAGUGCAUGAACAUUGAACUUUCAACUAACUUAUAUUGAUUAAUUAAUACGACCAUCAGUUCUUAGUACCCAGCAACAUCCAUCAAUAAGAGCAAAAUCCCCAUUAAUUUCAUAAAUAAAAAUAAUAAUAAGUUACAAAGACAAUAUUUGACAAUCACGAAAACAACUAUAAUUCACUCCAAUAAACAACAUAACAGAUACAUUAUCAAUAUUGCAAGUCUUUUUAUGAUUUAAUUAAAAGAGAAAAUAUGAAGGACAUAUUUUUUAUAUAAUUGAAUGUUCUCCUUGAUAAUUAGACAAAAUAACACCAAUCUAACUACCUAAUUCAAUCAUCAUAAUGAUUCAAUUUUCAUUUUUUAAUUAUGUCCAAUCAUGCUAAUUUAAUAAAGAUUACUGAGCACUUAAAGUACCUAUAUCUUCAACAACUUUGGCUAAGUUAGAAAAGUGUUAGAGCUGCAUUUAUGCUUUGUGUUAUUAAGCAGGACAUGAUCAUAUUACGUUGCGUUUUUCCGAAAACUGAAAAUUAUUAAAAAAAAAAUCUGAAAAGAGAUGUUGAAUCGCGAGCUUAAACUGAGUUUUAGACAUGUUUGACUUGUCGGUUGAUAUCCCUGAUUGUGCAUGUGCUGUCGGUUUUUGGACGGAACACAAGAAUAUGACAGCUGUGUGUUGUCGUCUGGAUCACAUGUUCUUCACGUGAUUUCAUUUACCCUAUGCGGCACAUUUGGCAGUCGUUUUGGUCACUCAUUGAAGCACGAAUUAAGAACGUCAUUCAAGGUUGUUCAUUGACCUUUACAAGGCGGGAAAAUUCUGGGUUUGUUUUAACAAACCCAGAAUGCAGCUUGUGAGUGGGGGGAACUUUCUAGAUUCUUCAUGAUCUGUGUAUAUAGUCUUAGAGGCUACAGUUGAGGCAUAUGAAAAGCUUGUAACUUCUUCUUAAUGAUUGUAGUUUGAUCUCGGUGAUGGAGAUAAGAUUGCUGCCCUGUUCUUCACUUGAUAUAGGCUAUCUCCAAGCGGAACCACUUAAAUUGUGCCUCUGUUUUGCUUGUUUCGAGGUGUGUGAUUUGCUUGUCAUUUCUAAAUCAUCAAUUAGAGAGUUUAGUGAGAUCUUGGUGGUUUUAGAAUGAGUUUAAUCGAUCAAGAAUCAACAAGAUGUAAUGAAAGCAAAAUGAGAGACUAUUGCACGCACAUCAUAGCAAUGUUUCAUUCAUUUUCAAUCUAUAUAUACAAAACUUAUAUCUGGUGGUUUGUGUUUGUUUAAUCUAACGGCUAUAACAUGUAUAUUGUCAAAAGUUAGAGCGGCCAACUUUGUUUGUCCUCAUAGCAUCCUUGAUCUAAUAUCAUCCUGGUGAUUCUUGAGAGCUCUUCUCAUUCUCUCGUGUUGAGUCCCUUGCUGAGAUGAUAAAUACUUGAGGGUCCUUCCUUGAUAUAUUUCAGCAAACACUUGAUUCAUUCUAUCAAACAUUUGCAUCACUAAUCAUUAAAUGGUGUAAGAUAGUUCUGUUUUGAAAAAUCAAUAUAAAAUCAAUCACCUUAGAUUUUCUUAGUCUCAGAGCACAAUGGCUGAUGAUUUGAUGAGAAAUAUUAAUAUGCAUGCAUCCCCUGCAUUCGUUAGAGCUGCUCUCAACCUCUGUUUAAUAAGCUAGUCCUCUGCUGUAUCCUAGAAGGUGGAACAUUAUGCUUCCCAGCUGGCUCAAGAGGGAACUAUGCUUCUGCUGCCAAAUUUUUGAAAGCGAACAUCGUGGGAAGAGGUUGAUCUGAAGCCAUUGCAUCUGAUUGGUUUUGUGAUUUUUUGCUUUCUUCUCUGUAACGCUUGACUAGUUCUGGAAAUAUCGACCAUCAUCGAUGGCAAAUCUGGACCAUGUAUUUGCCCACUACUAAGAAAUAAAGUUUCCACCACCGUACCAGUAUGUCGAUUUACGAAUACAUUCAUUCAAAUAUUAAACGUACAGAGAAGAGAGCAAACUGUGGCAGGAUAGCAAAAACUGCGAAUGGUCAUUCCCAACACGAACGCUUAUGGCUGUUUUCCUUUUAAUUUUCUUCUUUGAAUUCUCCUUUUAUUAAUCAUUAGAAAAACUCCCUUUUUUUAAAUCAUGUGUUAUAAACAUUUACAUGGUUAAUGUCAUCGAAAUCAAAUGGUUGUUAUCUACGAAAAGAGAAUUGUUAGAAAUUUUGUAAGUCCCAUUGCAACAAUAUAUUGUUAUAAAUUGCAUUGUUUCCCAUAUAACAAAUAUAAUAAAAUCUCAAUAAAUUAAUAGUUUUGGGACCAUAAAAAAAUUUAUUAAAAUUUAACAAAUAUCAAUUAAUUGGCAAAUUAAUAAAUUAUUAAUUUAUGAAAAUAUUCAUUAUUUUAGAAAAACAUGAUCACGUUUUUAGUAUUGAUUUACCUUGAGUUAGUAUCUAUUAUGUUUUAUUUGUCUCUAUUAGUUUUCUCUUGGGAAGAUUUUUUAAGAGUUAGCUGCUUUAUAUUAACAGUAAUAAAAUUAUUGUAUGGUUUUGUUUUUCCAUGUUAAAGAUCGAUUAGUCCUCUGCUUCUCCUCAGAGUCAUCGAGCACCGCCUGAAUCAUCAACAGCGUGCUCUUCCACUUCAUCAGAUCGUCUUCGAUCUUCUCUUGGCGUGUGUUAAGGAAGUUAAGGAAGCUCAUAUUUGCAGUCAAGCAGAGGAUCACAGCAGCUUCUAUAAUCAGUUGCAAGUUGAUGACAUGUACUGCCAGCUGGCACCAGGUGGUUAUGUAGCUGCUUGUACUUAUACACGUGAUAAGUUUGUUAAUUAGUUUGUAAUUAGUUAGUUAGUUUUGUAACCAUCAGCUGAGAAGCAACACUUGUAUAUAUAUGCUUGUAAUCGUUCAGUAGCAUUUAAAAAAAAAGCUUGAGAAAAUAAAAGAAGAAAGUUUUCUAAAUCUCAGUUUAUUUUCUUAUUAGCCAAACACUCAUUUUCUGUUUUAUAACUUGGUAUCAGAGCCAGUCAUGGCAUCUCUGAAUAUUGCCUCAUCAAAUCACACUUCGAAUAUUCAUACAAACUCAACAAACUUCUCAUUCACAUUCAAUACCCCUGUGAAACUGGAUCAGGCAAACUAUCUGAUCUGGAGGUCCCAAGUUCUAGCUUCCAUACGCGGCAAUAGGCUAGAAAAGUUUAUUGAUGAAAAAUGUCACUCCUCCUCCAUCUCAUAUUGCUCAAAGGAUUGACGAUGAACUUAGAUCUGUUGAGAAUCCAGAUUCAUCAAGCUGGAAAGCACAAGGUCAAGUACUUCUUGGCUGGUUGUUGUCAUCGAUGAGUGAAGGUAUUAUAAGUCUGGUGUUUAAUUUGGAAACUUCUCUUGAGGUAUGGAAAGCUAUUGAAACUCAAUUUGGAUCACAGUCAAAAUCCAGACUCUUACAUUUGAGAUAUUUGAUGAAUUCAACUAGGAAAGAUGAUCUGAAAAUCAAUGAGUAUUUCAUUAAAAUGAAGAAUAUUGCUGAUAACAUGGCUGCGGCAGGAAGUGCCUUAAGCAGUGAUGAUUUAAUUUUGCAUGUACUCUCAGGACUAGGACCAGAUUAUAAUGCUGUUGCUACUUAUAUUACUGGUCAAAUAAGUGGUGAUAAAAUGAAUUUAAAUGAGGCUUAUGCUAUGUUGUUGACUCAAGAAGCUAGAAUUGAGCAACAAGCACAUAUGCUUUCUGGAAUGGAUGUUAAGCAUAAUUUUGAAGCUAAUUUUGCUCAGAACAGAGGUUUCAAGAAAGGAAAUUUCUCAGGUGGUAGAGGAUCUGGUAAUCAUGACUAUUUUACUGGAUUAGAUAAUGCUGGAAAUUUUGGAAAUAAUUACAGAAGUGGCUAUGGAAGAUCUGGUUUCUUUGGUAAUGGUUUUGGAAAUAAUCAUAAUAACCAAUUAAGAGGAUUUCAAAGUGAUAAUCAAAGGGGAUCAGGCUCAGGAAAUUGGAACAAUGGUGGGGGGUGGUAACAAUAACUCUAUCAGGCCUCAAAUGAAUCCAAAACCUCAGUGGAAUGCUUCUAAACCAACUUGUCAAAUCUACUUAAAAACUGGUCAUACUGCAAAUGUCUGCUGGAAGCUUGAAGAAUUCUUUACCUCUGGUGCUUGCAAACCUCCUCCAAACAGAAAUCCCAAAGCUGCAUAUCUAGCUGAUAUGGAUGGUGCAGUUGAUGCCAACUGGUAUCUGGAUAGUGGAGCUACACACCAUCUUACCAAUGACAUGAGGAAUAUGACUAUGGCAGAAUCCUUUGCAGGUAACUCUAAACUCAUCAUUGGAAAUAGUACUGGUUUACAUAUAACACAUGUUGGAAAUGCUGUGUUAAGAAUGCAUAACUCUUCUGCUCAUCAUAUACUCAAAUUAAACACAUGCUUCUUGUUCCACAAAUAUCCAAGAAUCUUAUUGGCAUAUCUCAGCUAACCAAAGAUAACAACAUUGUUAUUGAAUUUACUGAUAAAUCCUGUGUUGUGAAGGACAAGGUGAGGAAUUUGAUCAUACUGCAGGGCAAAGCUGAAAAAGGUUUAUACAGAUUGCUAUUGUUUCCCUCUAAUAAAGUCUCUUCUCAAUCAUGUCAAAGGUCUCUUGAAGCCACUCAAUCCAAAAUUUCAAAUGUUCCUAAUGUCUAUGUUUUCAGUUGUUCAGUCAGUUGUCAAUAAUCAAACAAGUCCUGCUUGCAUACUGCAGCAGAACCUUGUAUCAGUCCAAAUUGUAUGCUGAGUGUUUCUGUUUUGCAUCAGAAACUUGGUCAUCCUAAUUCCAAAGUUUUAAGUCAUGUAAUAAACUCUUGUUCAGCUUUCAAGAAUUUAAAUGGAAGUAACUUUCUUGAUUCAUGUGAUGCAUGUAAAAUGGGAAAAAUGCAUAGAUUACACUUUCCCAGUUUCUACUACAAAAACAAAGCAUGUAUUAGAAGUUUUGCACACUGAUUUAUGGGGACCUGCCCUGUGCUUUCAGUUCAAGGUUACAGAUAUUAUGUGAGUUUUGUGGAUGAUUUUUCGAGGUUCACAUGGAUAUUCCCAUUAAAAACCAAGGAUGAAACACUAGCUGUGUUUAAAAUCUUUAAGAAGCAAAUUGAGAAACAGCUAGAUAGAUCCAUUAAAUGCAUUCAAUCAGAUUGGGGUGGGGAGUAUAGAUCAUUUGUUAAUUUUCUUCAUGAGGAAGGUAUUCAAUUCAGACACUCAUGUCCCUAUACUCACAAUCAGAAUGGCUUAGUUGAGAGAAAACAUAGACACAUAACCGAGCUAGGUCUCACCUUAGUUGCUCAAGCUUCUUUGCCUCUCAAAUUUUGGUGGGAUUCCUUCCAUACAGCCACCUAUAUUAUCGAUAGACUUCCCACACCCAUACUAUCUAUGCAGUCACCUUAUGAAUAUGUCUUUAAAACCAAACCUGAUUACAAAUUUCUCAAGGUCUUUGGUUGUUCAUGCUUUCCAUUCUUAAGGGAUUAUAAUACUCACAAAUUCCAUUUUCAUACCUCAAAAUGUGUAUUUCUUGGUUACAGCCCUUUACAUAAGGGUUACAAGUGUAUGCAUUCUUCUGGAAAGAUUUUUAUAGCCAGUCAUGUGUUAUUUGAUGAAACUUCUUUUCCUUACACAUCAAAUUCACAAUUCUUAACUUCAUCAUUCAAACCCUCUGAUUUCCAUUACAGUCUUCUUCAAUCUUGUACUGUUUCACUUCCCAAUAGCAAUCAAGAAACCUUUGAAGCUAGCUCUGCAGAAAAUGAAGCUCCAUCUCAUCAUUUCAGUGAUCAUUCCUCACCUGACAGUCAUAAUACAACCUUUGAUGUUUCACCUUCUCAAAUACAUCUUCAACCCUCUACCAUAGCUACUUCACAAACACAACAGCCAUCCUCAUCUACUAUUCAAUCCACACAACCAUCCUAACAUCCUCUGCCGAAUCAUCCCAUGAUUACCAGAGCAAAAGCUGGUAUAUUCAAGCCUAAAGCAUUCUUAACAUCACAUAACAGCCUGGAACCAUCUACUGUUGAUGAAGCUUUGUCUGAUUCUAAGUGGAAAGCUGUAAUGCAAUUAGAGUUUGAUGCUUUAACCAGAAAUAAUACCUGGAAUCUAGUACCUAUGACAUCUCAGCACAAGUUGGUUGGUUGUAAAUGGGUCUUUAGAACCAAGUACAAUACAGAUGGUACAGUUUCUAAACACAAAGCAAGAUUGGUAGCCAAGGGCUUUCACCAGNNNNNNNNNNNNNNNNNNNNNNNNNNNNNNNNNNNNNNNNNNNNNNNNNNNNNNNNNNNNNNNNNNNNNNNNNNNNNNNNNNNNNNNNNNNNNNNNNNNNNNNNNNNNNNNNNNNNNNNNNNNNNNNNNNNNNNNNNNNNNNNNNNNNNNNNNNNNNNNNNNNNNNNNNNNNNNNNNNNNNNNNNNNNNNNNNNNNNNNNNNNNNNNNNNNNNNNNNNNNNNNNNNNNNNNNNNNNNNNNNNNNNNNNNNNNNNNNNNNNNNNNNNNNNNNNNNNNNNNNNNNNNNNNNNNNNNNNNNNNNNNNNNNNNNNNNNNNNNNNNNNNNNNNNNNNNNNNNNNNNNNNNNNNNNNNNNNNNNNNNNNNNNNNNNNNNNNNNNNNNNNNNNNNNNNNNNNNNNNNNNNNNNNNNNNNNNNNNNNNNNNNNNNNNNNNNNNNNNNNNNNNNNNNNNNNNNNNNNNNNNNNNNNNNNNNNNNNNNNNNNNNNNNNNNNNNNNNNNNNNNNNNNNNNNNNNNNNNNNNNNNNNNNNNNNNNNNNNNNNNNNNNNNNNNNNNNNNNNNNNNNNNNNNNNNNNNNNNNNNNNNNNNNNNNNNNNNNNNNNNNNNNNNNNNNNNNNNNNNNNNNNNNNNNNNNNNNNNNNNNNNNNNNNNNNNNNNNNNNNNNNNNNNNNNNNNNNNNNNNNNNNNNNNNNNNNNNNNNNNNNNNNNNNNNNNNNNNNNNNNNNNNNNNNNNNNNNNNNNNNNNNNNNNNNNNNNNNNNNNNNNNNNNNNNNNNNNNNNNNNNNNNNNNNNNNNNNNNNNNNNNNNNNNNNNNNNNNNNNNNNNNNNNNNNNNNNNNNNNNNNNNNNNNNNNNNNNNNNNNNNNNNNNNNNNNNNNNNNNNNNNNNNNNNNNNNNNNNNNNNNNNNNNNNNNNNNNNNNNNNNNNNNNNNNNNNNNNNNNNNNNNNNNNNNNNNNNNNNNNNNNNNNNNNNNNNNNNNNNNNNNNNNNNNNNNNNNNNNNNNNNNNNNNNNNNNNNNNNNNNNNNNNNNNNNNNNNNNNNNNNNNNNNNNNNNNNNNNNNNNNNNNNNNNNNNNNNNNNNNNNNNNNNNNNNNNNNNNNNNNNNNNNNNNNNNNNNNNNNNNNNNNNNNNNNNNNNNNNNNNNNNNNNNNNNNNNNNNNNNNNNNNNNNNNNNNNNNNNNNNNNNNNNNNNNNNNNNNNNNNNNNNNNNNNNNNNNNNNNNNNNNNNNNNNNNNNNNNNNNNNNNNNNNNNNNNNNNNNNNNNNNNNNNNNNNNNNNNNNNNNNNNNNNNNNNNNNNNNNNNNNNNNNNNNNNNNNNNNNNNNNNNNNNNNNNNNNNNNNNNNNNNNNNNNNNNNNNNNNNNNNNNNNNNNNNNNNNNNNNNNNNNNNNNNNNNNNNNNNNNNNNNNNNNNNNNNNNNNNNNNNNNNNNNNNNNNNNNNNNNNNNNNNNNNNNNNNNNNNNNNNNNNNNNNNNNNNNNNNNNNNNNNNNNNNNNNNNNNNNNNNNNNNNNNNNNNNNNNNNNNNNNNNNNNNNNNNNNNNNNNNNNNNNNNNNNNNNNNNNNNNNNNNNNNNNNNNNNNNNNNNNNNNNNNNNNNNNNNNNNNNNNNNNNNNNNNNNNNNNNNNNNNNNNNNNNNNNNNNNNNNNNNNNNNNNNNNNNNNNNNNNNNNNNNNNNNNNNNNNNNNNNNNNNNNNNNNNNNNNNNNNNNNNNNNNNNNNNNNNNNNNNNNNNNNNNNNNNNNNNNNNNNNNNNNNNNNNNNNNNNNNNNNNNNNNNNNNNNNNNNNNNNNNNNNNNNNNNNNNNNNNNNNNNNNNNNNNNNNNNNNNNNNNNNNNNNNNNNNNNNNNNNNNNNNNNNNNNNNNNNNNNNNNNNNNNNNNNNNNNNNNNNNNNNNNNNNNNNNNNNNNNNNNNNNNNNNNNNNNNNNNNNNNNNNNNNNNNNNNNNNNNNNNNNNNNNNNNNNNNNNNNNNNNNNNNNNNNNNNNNNNNNNNNNNNNNNNNNNNNNNNNNNNNNNNNNNNNNNNNNNNNNNNNNNNNNNNNNNNNNNNNNNNNNNNNNNNNNNNNNNNNNNNNNNNNNNNNNNNNNNNNNNNNNNNNNNNNNNNNNNNNNNNNNNNNNNNNNNNNNNNNNNNNNNNNNNNNNNNNNNNNNNNNNNNNNNNNNNNNNNNNNNNNNNNNNNNNNNNNNNNNNNNNNNNNNNNNNNNNNNNNNNNNNNNNNNNNNNNNNNNNNNNNNNNNNNNNNNNNNNNNNNNNNNNNNNNNNNNNNNNNNNNNNNNNNNNNNNNNNNNNNNNNNNNNNNNNNNNNNNNNNNNNNNNNNNNNNNNNNNNNNNNNNNNNNNNNNNNNNNNNNNNNNNNNNNNNNNNNNNNNNNNNNNNNNNNNNNNNNNNNNNNNNNNNNNNNNNNNNNNNNNNNNNNNNNNNNNNNNNNNNNNNNNNNNNNNNNNNNNNNNNNNNNNNNNNNNNNNNNNNNNNNNNNNNNNNNNNNNNNNNNNNNNNNNNNNNNNNNNNNNNNNNNNNNNNNNNNNNNNNNNNNNNNNNNNNNNNNNNNNNNNNNNNNNNNNNNNNNNNNNNNNNNNNNNNNNNNNNNNNNNNNNNNNNNNNNNNNNNNNNNNNNNNNNNNNNNNNNNNNNNNNNNNNNNNNNNNNNNNNNNNNNNNNNNNNNNNNNNNNNNNNNNNNNNNNNNNNNNNNNNNNNNNNNNNNNNNNNNNNNNNNNNNNNNNNNNNNNNNNNNNNNNNNNNNNNNNNNNNNNNNNNNNNNNNNNNNNNNNNNNNNNNNNNNNNNNNNNNNNNNNNNNNNNNNNNNNNNNNNNNNNNNNNNNNNNNNNNNNNNNNNNNNNNNNNNNNNNNNNNNNNNNNNNNNNNNNNNNNNNNNNNNNNNNNNNNNNNNNNNNNNNNNNNNNNNNNNNNNNNNNNNNNNNNNNNNNNNNNNNNNNNNNNNNNNNNNNNNNNNNNNNNNNNNNNNNNNNNNNNNNNNNNNNNNNNNNNNNNNNNNNNNNNNNNNNNNNNNNNNNNNNNNNNNNNNNNNNNNNNNNNNNNNNNNNNNNNNNNNNNNNNNNNNNNNNNNNNNNNNNNNNNNNNNNNNNNNNNNNNNNNNNNNNNNNNNNNNNNNNNNNNNNNNNNNNNNNNNNNNNNNNNNNNNNNNNNNNNNNNNNNNNNNNNNNNNNNNNNNNNNNNNNNNNNNNNNNNNNNNNNNNNNNNNNNNNNNNNNNNNNNNNNNNNNNNNNNNNNNNNNNNNNNNNNNNNNNNNNNNNNNNNNNNNNNNNNNNNNNNNNNNNNNNNNNNNNNNNNNNNNNNNNNNNNNNNNNNNNNNNNNNNNNNNNNNNNNNNNNNNNNNNNNNNNNNNNNNNNNNNNNNNNNNNNNNNNNNNNNNNNNNNNNNNNNNNNNNNNNNNNNNNNNNNNNNNNNNNNNNNNNNNNNNNNNNNNNNNNNNNNNNNNNNNNNNNNNNNNNNNNNNNNNNNNNNNNNNNNNNNNNNNNNNNNNNNNNNNNNNNNNNNNNNNNNNNNNAUAACACAUGUUGGAAAUGCUGUGUUAAGAAUGCAUAACUCUUCUGCUCAUCAUAUACUCAAAUUAAACAACAUGCUUCUUGUUCCACAAAUAUCCAAGAAUCUUAUUGGCAUAUCUCAGCUAACCAAAGAUAACAACAUUGUUAUUGAAUUUACUGAUAAAUCCUGUGUUGUGAAGGACAAGGUGAGGAAUUUGAUCAUACUGCAGGGCAAAGCUGAAAAAGGUUUAUACAGAUUGCUAUUGUUUCCCCUAAUAAGUCUCUUCUCAAUCAUGUCAAAGGUCUCUUGAAGCCACUCAAUCCAAAAUUUCAAAUGUUCCUAUGUCUAUGUUUUCAGUUGUUCAGUCAGUUGUCAAUAAUCAAACAAGUCCCUGCUUGCAUACUGCAGCAGAACCUUGUAUCAGUCCAAAUUGUAUGCUGAGUGUUUCUGUUUUGCAUCAGAAACUUGGUCAUCCUAAUUCCAAAGUUUUAAGUCAUGUAAUAAACUCUUGUUCAGCUUUCAAGAAUUUAAAUGGAAGUAACUUUCUUGAUUCAUGUGAUGCAUGUAAAAUGGGAAAAAUGCAUAGAUUACACUUUCCAGUUUCUACUACCAAAACAAAGCAUGUAUUAGAAGUUUUGCACACUGAUUUAUGGGGACCUGCCCCUGUGCUUUCAGUUCAAGGUUACAGAUAUUAUGUGAGUUUUGUGGAUGAUUUUUCGAGGUUCACAUGGAUAUUCCCAUUAAAAACCAAGGAUGAAACACUAGCUGUGUUUAAAAUCUUUAAGAAGCAAAUUGAGAAACAGCUAGAUAGAUCCAUUAAAUGCAUUCAAUCAGAUUGGGGUGGGGAGUAUAGAUCAUUUGUUAAUUUUCUUCAUGAGGAAGGUAUUCAAUUCAGACACUCAUGUCCCUAUACUCACAAUCAGAAUGGCUUAGUUGAGAGAAAACAUAGACACAUAACCGAGCUAGGUCUCACCUUAGUUGCUCAAGCUUCUUUGCCUCUCAAAUUUUGGUGGAUUCCUUCCAUACAGCCACCUAUAUUAUCAAUAGACUUCCCACACCCCAUACUAUCUAUGCAGUCACCUUAUGAAUAUGUCUUUAAAACCAAACCUGAUUACAAAUUUCUCAAGGUCUUUGGUUGUUCAUGCUUUCCAUUCUUAAGGGAUUAUAAUACUCACAAAUUCCAUUUCUCAUACCUCAAAAUGUUGUAUUUCUUGGUUACAGCCCUUUACAUAAGGGUUACAAGUGUAUGCAUUCUUCUGGAAAGAUUUUUAUAGCCAGUCAUGUGUUAUUUGAUGAAACUUCUUUUCCUUACACAUCAAAUUCACAAUUCUUAACUUCAUCAUUCAAACCCUCUGAUUUCCAUUACAGUCUUCUUCAAUCUUGUACUGUUUCACUUCCCAAUAGCAAUCAAGAAACCUUUGAAGCUAGCUCUGCAGAAGAUGAAGCUCCAUCUCAUCAUUUCAGUGAUCAUUCCUCACCUGACAGUCAUAAUACAACCUUUGAUGUUUCACCUUCUCAAAUACAUCUUCAACCCUCUACCAUAGCUACUUCACAAACACAACAGCCAUCCUCAUCUACUAUUCAAUCCACACAACCAUCCCAACAUCCUCUGCCGAAUCAUCCCAUGAUUACCAUAGCAAAAGCUGGUAUAUUCAAGCCUAAAGCAUUCUUAACAUCACAUAACAGCCUGGAACCAUCUACUGUUGAUGAAGCUUUGUCUGAUUCUAAGUGGAAAGCUGUAAUGCAAUUAGAGUUUGAUGCUUUAACCAGAAAUAAUACCUGGAAUCUAGUACCUAUGACAUCUCAGCACAAGUUGGUUGGUUGUAAAUGGGUCUUUAGAACCAAGUACAAUACAGAUGGUACAGUUUCUAAACACAAAGCAAGAUUGGUAGCCAAGGGCUUUCACCAGGCAGCAGGAGUGGAUUAUAAGGAAACUUUUAGUCCUGUGGUAAAGUCUUCUACAGUAAGAACUAUACUAAGUUUGGCAGUGAUGAAAGGUUGGAAAAGUCAGGCAAAUCGAUAUAAAUAAUGCCUUUCUUAAUGGAGAUAUUUCAGAGGAUAUAUACAUGACACAACUAGAGGGCUUCAUCACCAAAGAGGGCUAUGUCUGCAAACUUAGCAAGGCUCUUUAUGGCUUGAAGCAAGCUCCUAGAGCUUGGUAUGACAAACUCAAAGGGUGUCUUACAAGCUGGAAUUUCUUCAACUCCAAGGCUGAUACAUCCCUGUUCAUCAGACAUGACACGAGAGGUAUCAUUCUUGUUCUUAUCUAUGUGGAUGAUAUUCUUAUUACAGGACUAGAUUCUUCCCUGUUGGAAACAUUCAUCACUAAAUUUAGUAAGGUUUUUGCCUUAAAAGAUUUGGGAUUGGUAUCCUAUUUUCUGGGUGUUGAGGUGUGUUAUACUGAUAGUGGGAUGCAUUUAUCACAAACAAAAUAUAUUAAAGACCUCUUAAGUAGAGCUUCAAUGCAGAACUGUAAAGGUUCUGAUACACCUCUCAGCACAGGUCAAAAGUUAGAAAAGGUAGCAAAGGUCUGUUUGGGGAAAGAAUUUGAAGAUCCAACUCUCUAUAGAAGUAUUGUUGGACGGCUCCAAUACUUGAUACUCACCAGACCUGAUAUUGCAUACUCAGUUCAUAAGCUCAGUCAAUAUUUGAGUGCUCCUACACUUCAGCAUUGGCUUGCUGUAAGAAAGUACUUAGAUAUCUUCAAGCAACUGUCACUCAUGGAAUAUAUAUUCAGAAGGAAGGAGAGCUUGAAGUUACAGGUUUGAAUGGAUACUCAGAUGCAGAUUGGGCUUGUAAUACAGAUGAUAGAAAGUCCAUUGGAGCAUAUUGCAUCUAUCUUGGCAACAAUUUAAUUUCAUGGUCCUCUAAGAAACAAGCCAUAGUGGCCAAAUCCAGCACUGAAAGUGAGUAUAGAGCACUGUCAUCAGCAAGUUCAGAAAUCUCUUGGCUUGAAUCUCUAUUUUCUGAGCUCAACAUUGUAAAGCUGCCAACACCAGUGCUUUGGUGUGAUAAUCAGAGUGCUGGGGAAUUAGCCAAAAAUCCUGUGUUUCACUCCAGGUCUAAGCAUAUCGAGUUGGACAUUCAUUACAUUCGAGAUAAGGUACUUCAAAACCAAUUAGAAGUGAGAUACAUUCCUACAGAUGAACAAGUUGCUGAUGUCCUCACCAAAGCUUUAUCACUUCCAAAAUUCAGCUACUUCAGGUCCAAGCUCAAUGUCGUUAGCAGACCCUUGAGCUUGAGGGGGGAUGUUAAGGAAGUUAAGGAAGCUCAUAUUUGCAGUCAAGCAGAGGAUCACAGAGCAAAGGAUCACAGCAGCUUCUAUAAUCAGUUGCAAGUUGAUGACAUGUACAGCCAGCUGGCACCAGGUGGUUAUGUAGCUGCUUGUACUCAUACACGUGAUAAGUUUGUUAAUCAAUUUGUAAUUAGUUAGUUAGUUUUGUAACCAUCAGCUGAGAAGCAACACUUGUAUAUAUAUGCUUGUAAUCGUUCAGUAGCAUUUAAGAAAAAAGCUUGAGAAAAUAAAAGAAGAAAGUUUUCUAAAUCUCAGUUUAUUUUCUUAUUAGCCAAACACUCAUUUUCUAUUUUAUAACUGCGUGCAAACCACCGAAUCCCCUCUGAAGCUAACUUUGGCGUGCAGCUCUUCGAUGAUUGGCUUUUUUUUUCUUUUUUUUUUGGUUGUGUUUUUUUUUGGCUCCUAGUUUGAUUUAACUUUGUUUCGGUUAUUGACAUUGCUGAAGAGGCAGUAAAAGCUUGUUGAAUGUCAUCAAAUGCACAAAUUGGCAAUAUCGGUUGGCUUCUUUAUAGGCGCAUCCAUCACAAAAUGAAAGUAACAACAACCACCAUCGAAAAUUAAUUUUAAGAAUCUUUUUUACCUAAAAUCUUUGAAAAGAAAAAUUAACCUGACAUUUAUUUAUUUAUUUAUUUUUUGGGGGGCAAAGAAAGAAAGGAACAGAAUUAUGAGUUUUGGAAAGGAGAAUGAGAAAAUUGAACAGAUGAGAAAAUGGAUAAUUAACCAGAAUGAAUUUGCGAUUGGUCCAGCAAGCUUAGUAGAAAUCACGCGCUGAUACUUCAUUGACCAAUGACUAAUAAUUUGGCAAUUCACCCAUCACCAGCACUUGGUAAGCAAAACGAAAAUGCUUAGUAAGUGUCAAGGGUCAAGCAAGAUAUGACGUAAAAUGAGGCAAGUCUCCCCACUUGUUGUUCCUUGCAGCUAAGAAAAGAAAAAACAGAGCCCACCACCCAUUAAUAAUUUAGCAAUUCACCAAUCAAUCACCACCACUUGUUACGCAAUUCCAUUAGGUAUUCGUAUGUCAAGCAGUUAAUCCAGUGUCUAUUACCUAGAACCUUCACUUUACAAAUCUUCAUCUCAAAUGCCAAGUUAAAUCAAAACGUUUCUCUCUCACUCUUUCUUUUUAAACUCCGAAAACGUUUCUUUUUAGAAAUAUUUUACUUUAUUCAUGUAAAUAUGUUGUCUAACAAAUAGACACAAUUGAAAUCACUCUAAAGUGCAAAUAAAAAAAAAAAUCCAAUCACCAGUAAUUUAGCAAGCUUCACUUUAUUCCACCAAAGUGUAAAUAAAACCAGGCCUCACCGCCAUUAAUAGUUUUACAAGCUUCACACGCUUGUUGUUGUCUGCUUGACGAACUGGACAUGGGUUCAUCAAGAAUCAAUGAAAGAAUUAAAAAAAAAAACUGAAAUUUUCGAUUCAGAGUAGAACAGUAAUUAAUGCUAAAAUUUACUCCGCUAACAUUUUCAAGAUAUUGUUCUGUAUAAUUCUACAGCAAAUAAGACUAAGUUUUGGACAUUUUCAAAUUCACUACUUUCACAAGCAAUAUUUUGAAACAUUUUACAGAAUUAGCGAUUAUAUAAAGAGAAAAAUGCAAAGUUGCGUAAUUCUAAUGUUUUUCAGGCUGAGCUGCCUUUGGAUUUAACCUGAAAUGAUCCGAAGGCCAGAAAUUGUAACGGCGGGCUUAAAUGUCAACACGCCAAGACAGUUAAUAGCAGCUAAAUUGGAAAAAAAAAAAAAAAGGCAAUAGAAGUAUAGAUGGAACAAUUUUUCGCUUAGGUCAUAGGUGCAAGAUGAAACUAAAAAAAGGUGGCAGGCAAUUUUAUCACAGACGCUCAUGAUCGUUUUUUAUUUGGGUCGUCAACUCGCCAUGACCCAUGAUUGAAUUAGAGUGUCUAGAAAGAAAAUUAAUAAAUAACGGUUUAUAUAUUUGGCCGUCGGAAUAUUGUAAGUGAGAAAGAUUAUCUUUUUUUUUAUUAUUAUUAAUUAGGUUAGUAUUUAUGAUUGAGUGACUCAGAGCUGUAUUUUAGAUUGAGAAUCAAUUGUUCUCUCAUACUGAGAGGCUAUAAGAUUGUCGUUAGCUAUUUCAUCGAUAAGAGAACACCCAAAUUUAUUAAAAGAAGAAAUGUAUAAGGUCUCCUUUAUGAGAAAAUGUAUCUGAUCAUUCUUUUUGACUUGAAAAUCUCAUAUAUAAAAACUUAUUAAUAAAUAACAUAAUAUAUAUAAAAAUGAUACUCAAUGAUCCUGUACUAAAACUAUAAUUUACCUGCACUAGUAGUUUCCAUAAUUUUAAAUUCAAAAGUAAGCAGUUGAACGUGCUCUCUCUUCUGGUUAUAGAUAUCAUAUAUAUAAAUUGAAGUAAUCGCGCGACAAGUAGCAAAACAGAUAAUGCACGGAAGAUAAUGAUCAAUGGCUGAAGUUUAAUUUAAUUGCAGAUAAAAUGUCAAUCAAGAUUAAGGUCUACUUACAAUUUUAUUUUAUUUUUUAUGAUUUUCAAUCUUUACCAAAAGAAACAUAUUUAGUGAUCCCUUUUAUCAACUUGCUUUUAUUGACUUUCUUCCAAUAAUAGAAGUGAAAAGAGAAACAAAGGCCACCACCACCAAGUGUUACCGGAUUCUAUAAAGACAAAAUCAGUGCCCAGCAAAACGAAUCCAACUUUUCGUUAUGUGUUGCUUCCUAUUUAGUACAUGCACAUAUAGAUAUAAGAUAUCCACAUGCACAUGCAGCGCGUCUAUCUAAAAUUUUAAAAACAGAAUUAGAAACCUUCUUGAAUAGGAAUAGAAAUACUCUCUAAUACUUCCUAAAAUAAUUAACCCUAAAUAAUUUGUCCUGCAUCACCAAACUCCGGAUUUUACAAAGCACGCAUAAAGGAUAAUAGACACGUUUGAGGUUUUUUUUUUUAAAAGAAAAAAAGAUUAUGAAAAUAGACAAAUAAUGAAGACACAAGUUAAGCAGAGCAAAUAAAUAGAGGAGAAUGAAUUAAAUACUAUCCUUGAGAACUCAAUUCUUUAAUAAACUCAAUUUUUUAAAUGCAGGGGUAAACUCAUGUCAUAUACUGUAGUCUUUAAUUUGGGCUUUGUUGUAUCAAUUUUUUGGAGUUUAUCUUGUUUUGUUUUUUCGUUUUUAUAGUGCAAGAUUUUCGGUGGAGAUAAAUCAGGAAUAAGAGUGAAAUCCCAAUCUUAAAAUUUGGGAGAAAUGAAAUGCGAUAUGUUUUUUCAUGAAUAAAACAAUUCAAUUUUUUGUUAGCACUUGUAUAUGUUGCAAGUUAAUUACACCGUCAACACCUGCGGGAAAUUUAUAUAUUUUCUGUCAGCACUUGCAUACGUUGCAAUUUUCAAUGACUUCCAAAUCUUCAUAUCAUGAAUUAGCAGGAUUCAGGUCCGACCAACUCCCCGUGGCUAAAGCAAAGGAUUAAUUUUUGAGAAAUUAUAAAGAAAUUAAUACAAGUAAAGUGAGCCUAUUCAUUUGAUUUGAUAAUUGGCUGAGGGUGAUUUCGAUAACGUUUUCAAAGAAGAUAUAGAACAAAGAUCAAAAAGAAAAAACAAGUAAUUUCAGUCGAUGGAAGAAAUGAGCAAGAUUCGCACAUGCAUGCAUGCGUCUGACUAACAGGACAUGGCUUGGAGCAAGGAUCAAUGGACAAGUUUGAGGUUUAUGAAAUAUUGGGAAAACAGACAAAUUAUAAAGCCACUUGUUAGAGUGCAAUUUAUGCACUAGUUUUGCAUUGUUUACUUCCCUUAAUAUCGAUGUUUUGCAUUUAAUAAUAGUGAUUUACUUGUGUUUUACUUUUGUAGGUGCAAUUCUAUUGAUUGGUGAUAAAAUUGAGCUAUAAGAUGAUGUUUAAGGAUGAUUGUUCUCUUGGAGAAAUUAUAAGCGGCAGAAGAACUUUGUUGAUAAGGCGUGGGCGCGUGCUGUCAACUGCGGACCUGCAGUUUUUAGUUUAACGUGUUUUGUAUUUUUGGCUAUUUUUUAAUUACGAAUUUAAUAUUUCAAAUAUUAGUAUUUUAUUUUAAAUAGAACUCUAAAAGAGAAGAGAGAGAGAGUAUUUAAAGGAGGAAUCUAUUGUGAAAAAGGAGGGAAUUUUGAUUGGAGAAAAAGAAAAGAAACCCUAGAUCUAAUUUUUCUCUUCUCUCUAUGAAGAACUAAACUUAUUUUUCUGGUUGAAGAAUAAUGAAGCUUUGAUUCAUCACUACUGUGAGAUCUUUCUUGUGCUUUAAUUGUUUUAUUGCUUUUUGGGUAUUUGUUUAUUCUCUGAAUUAUUUUCAUGAUUAUGUUUGUUAAUUAGAUAAUUGGCCACUAUUUAAUUAUCAACUUAAUCUAUUGUCAAUUAAAGGAUUCAUCGUAUGAAGAAUUUAAUGUUUGUGACAAAUAACAUAGCAGAGAGUUGUGUUGUGAGAAUAAACAAUCUAAUUUAAAUAAAUCAUCAUAUGUGUUGAUUAGGAUUUGGGUCUCUCUGGUUUUUUAGGCUGUCAAUUGAUUAAAUCCUAUGAUCGUAUCUAGGGUUGUCUAUUGAUUAGGGAAAUAUCCAACGGUCGUACCUUGGUUAUCGACUAAUUAAGGAGAGAUUGGCUAUUAGAGGGUCUCAGUAGCUAUAACCGGUCUAUUCAUAAGUAAUAAUAAUUUAUAUUUGAAUCAAUGAUCAGUAGUCGAAUCAAGCUGAGUUAAUUCCUUCAACCAGAGCUUUCUCCAAUUUGAAUCACAACUUUAAUUUACAUUCUCGUUAUUUUAAUUUGAUUUUUAUUAUUGUCAACAAUUCCCCCAUUUUACAUUUUACGUUUCAAAAGGAUUUAAAUAAUUACCGAUCUCUGUGGACACGACCCUGCUCAAUCACUAUACACAAUUUAUUUAGAGUAGGAAUUUAUUUUUGUUGGCUUCGACAACCAUCAAAUUUUGGCGCCGUUGCCGGGGAUUGGUGUCAUUUAUUUAAUCCUUUUUACGUUUUACUUGGUGUAUGGUUCGUUCUUCUCGUACAGGUACACUUUCGUUUGAUCCUGAAAUUGAGAAGACAGCUCGCCAGCUGAGACAGCAGACGAAGCGAGCUAAGCAACGAUCCUCGUCGCCUUUGCUUUCUGAAACAGAUACGGUGCCUGAUUUAGUUCAAUCAUCUAGCGAUUCGGAAGAACAAGUGAUGAAUAGAGCUGCACCUGUAGAAAGAACUCUUAGAGAGUUAGCUGAACCAGACUUGAAUCAGCAACCACUCUGCAUUCAAUAUGUAGACUUGGAGGUAAAUUUUGAAUUAAAGUCUGGUUUUAUUCAUUUAUUACCCAAGUUUCAUGGUUUUGCAGGUGAAGAUCCUCAUAAACAUCUUAAGGAGUUUCAUGUUGUAUGUUCAAGUAUGAGACCACAAGGCGUGACUGAAGAGCAGAUUAAGCUGCGUGCUUUUCCGUUCUCUGUAGAUGGGCUAGCUAAAGAUUGGUUGUACUACUUGCCUCUUGGAUCGAUUACAACGUGGAAUGGUUUGAAGAAGCAGUUCCUCGAGAAGUACUUUCCUGCUUCAAGAGCUGCCAACAUCAGAAAAGAUAUUUGUGGGAUCAGACAACUUCCUGGGGAGACUUUGUAUGAGUAUUGGGAGCGAUUCAAACAAUUGUGUGCCAGUUGUCCUCAGCAUCAGAUUUCUGAUCAACUUCUUAUUCAAUAUUUUUACGAAGGACUGUCAUUGAUGGAUAGGAGUAUGAUAGAUGCUGCUAGUGGAGGCGUGUUAGUGAACAAGACCCCUACUCAAGCAAGGGAGUUGAUAUCAAAUAUGGCUGCCAACGCACAACAAUUUGGCAGCAGGCAAGAUCCUACUUCAAGGAAGGUGAAUGAGGUAAAUAUUUCUUCUGUUGAACAACGUUUAGAUAAACUUACUUCUCUUGUGGAAAAGUUUGUUGUAGGCAAUGUGCAACAGGUGAAGACUUGUGGCAUUUGUUACAAUAUGGGUCAUUCAACUGAUAUGUGUCCUACACUUCAAGAAGAACCUGUUGAACAAGCCAAUGUAGUUGGAGGAUUUCCAGGCAUGCCUCAGAGGAGGUAUGAUCCUUAUGCACAAACAUACAAUCCGGGAUGGAAGGAUCAUCCCAACUUCAGCUAUGGAGUUAGGCCGUCAGGAUUCCCACAACAGUAUCCACCAAGACAACCAGCACCUCCACAGUCAACCUCCAAGUCAGGUAUAUCUCUUGAAGAAAUUGUUAAAUCGCUUGCGACUAAUACUCAACAAUUUCAGCAGGCAACUACAGCAAGCAUUCAGAACUUGGAGAACCAAAUGAGUCAAUUGGCGACUACAGUGAGCCGUCUGGAGUCUCAAGUAUUAGGGAGAUUGCCUUCACAAUCUGAGGUGAAUCCAAAGCAAAACGUUAGUGUUGUCAUCCUUAGAAGUGGGAAGGAGUUGCAAGAGCCUAGUAAGAAAGUGACAGAGCAUGUAGAAGAUGAGCUUAAGAAGAAUGAAUUGAUGCCUCAAUCUCAAGAUGCACAACCCACCAGAGUGAAACCCCUACCUAUUGUGAUACCUCCUCCUUUUCCAAGCCGGUUUGCAAAAUCCAAGAAGGAGGAACAAGAGAAAGACAUCCUUGAGACAUUUCGCAAGGUUGAGGUAAAUAUUCCUUUAUUAGAUGCUAUUAAACAAAUACCUCGAUAUGCUAAAGUCCUUAAGGAACUGUGCACCUCUAAGAGAAAAUUAAGAGGAGAUGAAAAAGUUCAUAUGGGGGAGAAUGUUUCAGCAGCUCUCCAAAAGAAAUUACCUCCCAAGUGCAAGGAUCCAGGUAUGUUUACUAUCCCUUGCAAAAUUGGUAGUGUUAGAGUCGAGAAGGCUAUGUUAGAUCUAGGAGCUUCUAUUAAUGUCAUGCCUCGUUCCAUUUAUUCAUCUUUGAAUGUUGGUCCAUUAAAAAAAACUGGCGUGAUAAUUCAACUAGCUGAUAGGUCUAAUGCAUAUCCUGAUGGGGUAUUAGAAGAUGUCUUAGUACAAGUUAAUGAGUUGGUUUUUCCUGCUGAUUUUUAUGUACUUGAUAUGGAAGAUGAUAACUCCUCUAAUUCUGUCUCAAUUUUGCUAGGAAGACCUUUUCUUAAGACUGCUAGAACUAAAAUGGAUGUACAUAAAGGGACUCUCACUAUGGAGUUUGAUGGAGAGGUUAUAGAAUUCAAUAUGAAUGAUGCCAUGAAAUAUCCUAGUGAGGAACAUUCGGUAUUUUCUGUGGAUGUUAUUAACCCUAUAGUGCAGGAAGUUUUUUACAAGAAAAAAACGAAGACAUUUCAUGAUAGAAUGAUUUUGAGAAAGGAGUUCUCUGUUGGUCAAAAAGUUCUUCUUUUUCAUUCUAAGCUUAAACUUUUUCCGGGUAAAUUACGUUCUUGCUGGGUUGGACCUUUUAUUAUUACUAAUAUUUUUCCUCAUGGUGCAGUUGAGAUUCGGAGUCCGACCUCUGACAAAGUUUUUAAGGUUAACGGUCAUCGCUUAAAACCUUUUUAUGAAGGUUUUUCGGUGAAUAUUGUGGAGGAUGUGGCUCUCGAGAGUCCCAAUUAUGGAGAUUGAUGCAUAAAUGUGUCUAGCCAAAGACAUAAAACAAAGGCGCUUUUUGGGAGGCAACCCAAAGGAUUUAUUUAUUUUGACUUUUGUUAUAUCUUUUAUUUUUAAUUUAGAUUUAGAUUUUUUUUUAUAAUGUUUUUGCUUAUUUUGGUCAGAAGAAAAUUUUUGAUAAGGCGUGCCCACGUCUUAACUAAUAAGUACUUUUGUGAUUUUUAAAGUAAAAUGGUUUUAAGGCGUGCCCACGUCCUUAUUAGAAAAGUACUUCUGAAAUUCUUUGUGUCUCAAAGUGAUUCAUCACUAAAAAAAAAUUAUUUAUUUAUUUGAAAAUUAAAAAAAAGGAAAAAAAAAACUUUUUUUUCCUUUCUUUUCUUGCUUUUUUAUAUAUAUUUUUUUAUUUGAAAAAAAAACGAAAAAAAAUUUACUGUUCACAAAAUCCCUAAUUCACAGAAUUGGUUUUCUUCUCCAGCUUUCACCGACCAGCCCACGCAGCAGCAGCAGCACGCAGAACCAGCGUCAGCCCAGCCCUCGCGUGCAAUCAACCCCAGCACGCAAAUCCAGCAGCCCACUAGCGCAACAGGACCAGCCCCAGCAGCGCACAGCAGAAUCAGCCCCAGUGCACAGCAUCCCGCACGCAACCAGCGUCACCAGCGCGCAACCAGCAAUCCACCAUCGGGCCAAGCUCCAGCCGAGCAGUAAUCGUCCGCAACCAGCCUACGCCCUUAUUCCAGCCGGGUGAAUCGAAAUCCGUGAGUGAAAUUAUUGUAACAAUGCCGAAGAGGAAAGCAUCAACUUCCAAGUCAUCUAAAAAGACACCCGUCGCAAAGAUAUCCAAGAUUGCCGCUCUCAUUACAGUUUCAUGGAACACAGUUUCAGAUUCACGCCAAGUCGUGAGACAAAGAUCGAACCAUGGAAAAGGCAUGAGUGUUUUGCCACUUGCGGAAUCCAAUCUCGGAGGGUGCCUUGAAUUUACGACUCAACAAGAGAAAGAAAGUUUACUGAACCAGGACCCACUCAACCUCCAAAGAAGCUUUAUGCUAGAAGUGGUGCUACCUCUGAUGACGAGUUUGACGACGACACUGCUGCCCCGCCGACUAUUCCUUCUACAUCCACACCACCUUUGAGCAUUCAGUUAGAGAAAAUGGAGCACAAGUUGAACAAGAUGGAGCAGAAUUUGGCCGCAUACUUCAAGAGUGUAGGAUUUAUCCCACCAUUUCCGCCAAGCUCAUAGACGUUAUGAGGAUCAAAGCUCACAAUUCAGGGAAGUUUUUGCCUUUAAUCUUUUAUCCUUACGCUUUAAUUUUUAUGUGAGCUUUGAUUAUCUUACAUUGGGGACAAUGUAAGUUCUUGGUGUGGGGGAGGGAUUUUUGCAUUAUUGAUGUCUGGAAGUAUUAUUUUCACUCUACUAAUCUAUUUUCAUUCUACUCAUCCUUAAAUGAUUUUGGAGUUAGUAUGCUUCAUAUAUUAUUAUUUUUCUUUUCUUUUCUUUCUCACUACUCUUUUUCCAUCUAUCUCAAAUUAUUUACAUCUAUUUUUAUUCUAUCAUACUCUUUCAUCACUCACAUUUUAUCUUUCACUUUUCAUAUUACUACGUACAUCUUUCUCACUUCUUAUCAUUUUUACCUUUCCUUCACUCAUACAUUCUUCUCAUUCUACACCACUAUUGAUGGUUGAUUCAUUUGAAGAGUGUACAUGAUUUGAUGGCAAAUUUACCAACUUUGUGAGGAUUUGAGCCAAUGAGCAACCACUUUGCUCUAAUUAUUUUUGUUAUGUGAAUAUCAAUCUUAGUUUGUUUAUUCUAGAACUUGCUUUGUUAUGCAUGUUGAAGCCACAUUACGGGAUUUUUUGCAUUAAAAUGAUAAGGGCAAACCAUUUACCAUUUUUCUAUUCUCGCAUUUUCCUUUUUCUCUACCCGAAGACCUUUAUUUGCUACCUUUGUUUGAGCCUUAACCAUUACCCAUCUAAUUCUCUCCGUCUACUUAACCAUUUUUCUUCUUUUUGAGCCUCAAUUUAAAGAGAUUUUUGGACUCAUUGUGUGGAUAUAUUUUGUUGCUUUUUCUACCUUGUAUUAAAGUUUCUCAAUUAGAUCAACAAGCAUUAUGCUUGAAUUAAAUUGUGCAAGGUUCGUUUCUUUUGUUUGAUUCAAAAACAAAACAAAAAAAAAGAAAAAAAAGAACAAAAAAAAAGAAAAAAAAGAACAAAAAAAAAGAAGAAAAAGAAAAAUAAAAAAAAAAGAAAAAAAAGUUUACAUUCUUGGUGACUUGAGUAGAAAUAAGCAUUUUGAUAUCACAAGUUCAUUCAAUGAGUUCAUUCUUCUCAUUUUAAUAUCUUUUUCUUUCGUAAACCUUUCUUUUCCAUUCAACCUAUUUAACCUCAUUACAACCCUUAGAUUUUUGCAUUUUAUUCAUGUUUUGUGGAUUGAGAUGUGAUAUAUGAGCAAGCUUAUGGUAAUAGCAUUCUUUGAUUUGAUUUGAGUGCAUAAAUGAUACCCUAAACACUUUGAGUGCAUGGAGUGAAGUUAUUGAGAGGGCUAUUAAAUCUUGUUGCACUUGAAUUUUGAAUGGAUCCUCUUGGUGGUUGAAUGUUCUUAUUCUAUCUUAUGAAAUUCUAUGCUCUAAAAUCCUUGUCUCUCGAAUGUUGAUCGACUUAAUUUCUUGAGGUAUGCUUGCUUAAAAUUGUUUUUGGAUGAGUUGAGAUGAGAAUUGAGUGGAGAUUUGAGAUUAAUCUUGAGUUAUAUGCUUGAGGACAAGCAUCAUCUUGGUGUGGGGGAAUUUGUUAGAGUGCAAUUUAUGCACUAGUUUUGCAUUGUUUACUUCCCUUAAUAUCGAUGUUUUGCAUUUAAUAAUAGUGAUUUACUUGUGUUUUACUUUUGUAGGUGCAAUUCUAUUGAUUGGUGAUAAAAUUGAGCUAUAAGAUGAUGUUUAAGGAUGAUUGUUCUCUUGGAGAAAUUAUGAGCGGCAGAAGAACUUUGUUGAUAAGGCGUGGGCGCGUGCUGUCAACUGCGGACCUGCAGUUUUUAGUUUAACGUGUUUUGUAUUUUUGGCUAUUUUUUAAUUACGAAUUUAAUAUUUCAAAUAUUAGUAUUUUAUUUUAAAUAGAACUCUAAAAGAGAAGAGAGAGAGAGUAUUUAAGGGAGGAAUCUAUUGUGAAAAAGGAGGGAAUUUUGAUUGGAGAAAAAGAAAAGAAACCCUAGAUCUAAUUUUUCUCUUCUCUCUAUGAAGAACUAAACUUAUUUUUCUGGUUGAAGAAUAAUGAAGCUUUGAUUCAUCACUACUGUGAGAUCUUUCUUGUGCUUUAAUUGUUUUAUUGCUUUUUGGGUAUUUGUUUAUUCUCUGAAUUAUUUUCAUGAUUAUGUUUGUUAAUUAGAUAAUUGGCCACUAUUUAAUUAUCAACUUAAUCUAUUGUCAAUUAAAGGAUUCAUCGUAUGAAGAAUUUAAUGUUUGUGACAAAUAACAUAGCAGAGAGUUGUGUUGUGAGAAUAAACAAUCUAAUUUAAAUAAAUCAUCAUAUGUGUUGAUUAGGAUUUGGGUCUCUCUGGUUUUUUAGGCUGUCAAUUGAUUAAAUCCUAUGAUCGUAUCUAGGGUUGUCUAUUGAUUAGGGAAAUAUCCAACGGUCGUACCUUGGUUAUCGACUAAUUAAGGAGAGAUUGACUAUUGAGGGUCUUAGUAGCUAUAACCGGUCUAUUCAUAAGUAAUAAUAAUUUAUAUUUGAAUCAAUGAUCAGUAGUCGAAUCAAGCUGAGUUAAUUCCUUCAACCAGAGCUUUCUCCAAUUUGAAUCACAACUUUAAUUUACAUUCUCGUUAUUUUAAUUUGAUUUUUAUUAUUGUCAACAAUUCCCCCAUUUUACAUUUUACGUUUCAAAAGGAUUUAAAUAAUUACCGAUCUCUGUGGACACGACCCUGCUCAAUCACUAUACACAAUUUAUUUAGAGUAGGAAUUUAUUUUUAUUGGCUUCGACAACCAUCAAAUAAACAGAGAAAAUAACCGAUCAAUUCUUUGUGCAGUGGCCACAGCAACAGCGAAAAUAUGUCUGCAUGACUACAUUAAUUAAUCCUACCAUCACCAUGCAACAUUAAAUCAACAUUUGAUCAUCUAUCAAUUUUCAUGAUAUGAGAUUAGAAACAUUGAGUUCAUAAUUUCGUGUAAUUUCAUGUACUAGAUGUAUAUAAUUGAUUUGAGUUAGUUUAACAUCUAAAGAAAGAGUAAUGGGGAAUGAUGUCGAUGUGGCAUUUGAUGAGUAAUGAUAGACAACAAAUACUGAUCAUGUAAGAAUGAAGUCUGUAUUUACUGAAAAAUAUUUGGCAAUAAAAUGAUGCUUUAAAAAAUUAAUAUUAGUUGCACGAAAAUAAAUUGGCAACUAAAAUUAAUAGAUAUAUAUCCAAUGCUUCGAGUUUAUUUUAUCACUUCGCUAACAAUUUUGUAACUACAUUUUAAUUAUAAUGUCGAAAAGAGAUUUGAUUUUUGUAUUAAAAAAAAUUAGAAAUGAAACAAGUCAAAAUCAAUCAUAAGAACAACAAUAAGAGCAUAUUUUUAUAAAAACCACAAAUACAUAAUAUAAAUUUAGUUUCGAAUUAGGUGAUUAUUAAUUUACAUAGUAAGAGAGUCUUAUAGAAAAAUAGGAAUUUUUUUAAAAGAGAUUUGCUUAAGGAACAAAUUUAGUAAAUUAACAAUCACCAAAUAUGGUAGGGUGGCAGGCAGAGGAAGCGUGGUUCCUAAUCCUAAUCUUGAGUGAUAACUGGCUAUGUAACAUGUGGCAUUCUACAUUCUUGCAAUGCCAUUAAUUUCUUGUUAUGGCAGCAGCGUUCUUUCAUCAUGGCAUCACAAGCAAAUGUUUGAUUUGAAGACUUGCUUAGCUGAGAAAAAUAAGGAGAGCAAAGGUAAUGAAUUUUGGUGUGAUAAAUAUUUUUAUGGAUGUACUAAGAAAAAUAAAGAUAAUAGAAGUGAUGUUAUUGAGGAGCAUUUUGAUAUUUACCAAAGUGUUCAAAGAAAAAAGUUAUUUUUUGAAAUCUAUUUGCUGGUGCACAUAACAAAAGGGCAUUCUGAGUAAAUUUAAAACUACAAAUAGUUUCACUCUUUUAACAAUAUUCUUCAAUUAAUUCUGUUUAUUUCAAAAUAAAUAUUCUAUCUCUUUAUUACUUUCUAACUAGUCAUGCUAAUAUGCUAAUAAUUAUGAAGAACUAGUGUAAUUUAUAUGAUAUAAGAAGCCCUUUAGCACAUUAACCCGAAUUUAGCUAAUACAUGUGCCUAAUAUAGCGAAAUCAACAUUCAGCGCAUUAGAGUGCCAUUAUAUAUAUUGAGAGAGAAAUUAACACAAAAAACUGAAUAUUAAUUGACACUGGAUCAUAUUGGAUUGUCAGUUGUUAAUUAUGAUGGGAAUACAAUCUUCAUCUUUUGAUUAUCAGCUAGCUAAUGCAUGUGCACUUUCAUUUGUGUCUAUCACUGAAAAGUAAAGUUGCUUGAUUGAGUAGUAUCAUAUCACAGGAACUCCAAACUCAAUUUCAUUGCCGGAGCAUACCAUGCCAUAUGUAGCUUAAAAGUGCAGCUAUCUUAUACUAAUUAUUUAAUACGACUAUUAGCUCUUUAUGAUUAAUUAAAAGAGAAAAUGUUUGACAAUCACGAAAAUAAUAACAAUUCACUCCUAUAAACAACAUAACAAAUACAUGGUCUAUAUUGCAAAUCUUUUUAUGAUUAUAAUUAAAAGAGAAAAUACGAAGACAUAUUAUAUAUAAUAAUUGAAUGUUCUCCUUGAUAAUUAGACAAAAUAACACCAAUCUAGCUAAUUAAUCCAAUCAUCAUACUAAUCCAAUUUUCAUUAUUUAAUUAUGUCCAAUCAUGCUAAUUUAAUAAAGAGCACUGAACACUCGAGUACUUAUAUGUUCAGCAACUUUGGCCGAGUUUGAAAAAGAUUAGAGCUGCAUUUAUGCUUUGUGUUAUUACUUACGACAUGAUCAUAUUAUGUCGCAUUUGUCAGAGAACCGAAAACUGUGGGGGGAAAAAAAAUCCUAAAAGAGAUGUAACGAAAACAAAAUGAGAAAAUAAUGCACACACAUCAUAGCAAUGCUUCAUUCAUUUUGAUUCUAUCUAUACAAAAACUUGUAUCCGAUGGUUUACAUUUGUUUAAUCUAACGGCUAUAACAUGUAUACAGUCAAACGCUACUGCUGCCAUCUUUCUUUGUCCUCGUUGUAUCCUUGAUCUUAUAUUAUCCUGGUGAUUCUUGAAAGAUCUUCUCAUUCUCAUAUGCUGAGUCGCUUGCUGGGAUGAUUAAUACUCGAAGGUCCUUCAUUGAGACAUUUCAGCAAACACCUGAUUCAUUAUAUCAAACAUCUGCAUCACUAAUCGCUAAAAGAUAUAAAAUAGUUCUGUUUUGAAAAAUUGAUAUAAACCAGUCACCUUAGAUUUUCUUAGUCUCAGAGGACAACGGGUGAUGAUUCGAUGAGAAAUAUUAAUAUGCAUGCAUCCGCUGCAUUAGUUAGAGCUGCUUGUCAUUUUCUUCUUUCUUUUGGAUACUAUUUUAAAUUUUUAAUCAGUCUAAUUCAGCUGUAUGUUUGCUUUCAGUCCAAAUCGAACUCAGAUAUUAAGUACUUCUACAGGAAUGGACGCACCCAAAAAUCUAUGGGAUCCGUAGUUCUUGCAGAAGCGGCAGAAUGCUGCCAGCAAUUCAGGCAGAUAGAAGCUUGGUUGAGUGGUUGUUCUUCAAUGUGAAAUUCUACAUAAUGGCGAUCCUUUCAAUGGGGUUUAAAUUUUUUUUUUUUUGAGUUGUUGAUUUAGAGCAGAUUAAGUAACAUGUGGCAUUCUAUAUUCUUGCAAUGCCAUUUCUUGUUAUGGUAUCAACAUUCUUGACCAUGGUUUGAUUUGCGUAAUUUUGCUUUCUGUUUUUGAUAUUUUCUUCGCAUUGUUGUUGUGGGAUUUGUAGAUAGUGUAUAUGUAUGAAGAUAACGUAAUAAAGUGCUUUUGAUAAAUUCCCCUGGUUUGUUUACUUCACUAAUUCAUUAAUGAGCAAGUCCUCUAUAGAGCUGUGUUGUGCGUACAAGUUUUGCUACAUGAAAUCGUUAGGUGAGGAGAAUUUUUAAAAGCAUACAUCAAAGUAAUGAUUAAAGGGACAAAAUCAACGUAAAUAUUGAUUAUCUUGAGUUAGAUUAUACAAAGAUGAAAUAAUGAUAAUCUAAUAAAUUUAUCAUAAUACACUACUCAAAAAUGCAUUUUAAUGACACAAAUUUUAUGACAUACAUCUUUAUGUCAUGAAAAUAUUUGCAUGAUGUAUAAUGCUUUCGUGAUUAUUUGAUGAUAAAUUCAUAAUUGCUGCUGAUAUGAAAUGAAGUGAUGAUAGGUAAAUAUUAUGCGAUUUUUUUUUUAUGGGUAAGAAUAUUUGAACCCACCAAAUUACUCUUUAAACUUAUUUUUUUAUUGAUAAUUUUAUUACAAAAUUACCGAUAAUUUGAAUUACUAUUACAGACAAACAAUAAUUAUAUAAAAUUAUUUUAUUUUUACUCAUUGUUUAAACCUACCGCAAAACUCAAUCAAAGUAUGCCUUUUUUUUUCUUCUGCAAGUUUUUAAUAAGUUCAUCCUUCAUCCACAGUUGAGAACUUUCUAAUUUUUUUUUCUUGUUCUAGUAAUUUGGAUAUGCUGUGUUAGAUACUGAAUUUAUUAAAUUUCUUCUUCUCUUUUGAAUAAAAUCUCUUUAAAAUUCAAUUCAUAAAAAAAUAAAAAAUUAAUCUCCUUCUAAUUUAAUAUGUUUCAGCUGUCUUAGUGGAAUGAUGCAAUUUGUUUCCAUCAAAGUUUUGAAGCAUCCUGAAAUUUUGAGAUCGACAUGAUAACAAAUUAAUUUAAUUCAUGGUGUACUCUAAAUUUUCAGCCACAAAAAAAAUAGCCAAAUUGAAGCGUACCUGGGCAAGAAGAAACUGCGAUUAUACAAUUUCAGUGUUUGACUCUAUCAACAAAAAAGAAAAUAAAAAAGAACUCUCAUUGUUCCAUUGUUUUUCCCAUAAAUAAUGAUAUACAGAGAAUUUAGUUUGAUAAAAGGAUAUAAUAAAUAUUUAGGUGAGUUUAUAAAGUAAAUUUUAAAAAUUUUAAAAUUUAGUAAUGGGUUUAUAAAUAAUUGAGUUCAUAUAAUAUUUUAAUGAAUUCAAAUAACCCCACUCCCUUUUUAUUUUUUAAAAAGAUCUAAUUACAAAAAUACCAUUCCAAUCGGCAGCAUUUUAUAUUUUAUUUUAUUUUUAAAUUACUAGUGACGCACGAAACGGCAUCAUUUAUUGAUAUUUUUAAAUUGUUUAAGAUUUGUUUAAUUAGAAAAUUGCCAUCGUUGAUAUUUAAUUAAUUUUAAAAAAUAAAAAUAAUUAAAUUGGUAAGCUCUACUCCAUCAGUGAUGAACGAAUUGACAAAUUUGCAAUAAGUGAUGAACGAAUUGAUAAGCUCUACUCCAUCAGUUCCUUAAUUGAGAAAAAACCCAAGCCCGUGCAGCGCAGCCUCACAAUUGAUAGAGACCCUAAGCCACCAAACUCGACAAUCAUCACUCAACGUCGUCGCAAGCUACCGGUCGCUCAACAAGCACCAGUUCCUUGCUCUACAGCCAUCGCUCAACCGCUGCCAUUACCUGUUAAUUAUUCGCUUGAAUUAGGGUUCUGAUAUUUGGGAAUUUUUUGUUAGUUGUGGAAUUAUGAAGCAAUGAUGACGAUGACGAAGAUGUGGUGGUUGACGACGGCAAUGGCAACGUUGAAUAUUGAGGCACCGGAGGAAAAAGCAUUGGCUAUGUAUCUUGGUCGAUUUGCCUCGAAUUGAUCACUAAACAUGGGGAUAUCGUGGGCCGAGCUUCAACGCAGUCGCAAAUUUCAUCUGGGUAACUGAAAUUUUUGUUUUGUUUAAUUUGUUUAGAGUUCAAUUGUUUAGAUCUAGGCUAAUUUUUAUGAUUAAACUAUAUGAGUAUGCUUAAAUUUUAUUCCUUCAAAUUUAUUUUAUGAUGUUGCAUUUGGUUAGCAAAAAGAUAAAAAUAGUAGAAAAUGUCAGAAUUAUUGUUAUGAAAAUGUUGUUUUAGUCUGAUAUUGGGAAAAUAUCAUUAUACAUAUUGGCAUGAUAUUCAUGGGAGACAAAAUUGAGAAUGAUGACAGACUAUGCAUUGCUCACAACUAAUUUAAAACUCGCUAUUUCUAUUGUUUGUGUUUCAGUAACUUCGGGGGAAUUCCAACUAUAUUUAAUAAGCUAUAAACUUGUUUAGGAUUACUAAUCAAUUUGCUAGAAAGAGUUGCAAACUAAUUAGCUUUCUCUUAUAACUUUUACAGAUCAUCUGUGGAGGAGAACUGCAAGGAGUUGAAGACUCUAGACCCUAAACUUCAUAUCUUGAUUUAUAAGUGCAAUGGGCAUAAGUUCGAAUUAUGGGCUGGAGAUGGUAUAUGUAAUCUUUCUACUCUUGGUGUUUUUUUUUUCCUCUAGUUAUUUUUUGUUCUCUACUCCAUUGUAUAUUUGUAUUCAAAAGUAUUUUUUCUUUGCUUUAAGCUUUUAAAUUUAUGGAGAUGAUCUUAUUAGGUGUUAAAAAAAAUAGCUGUAGAGCUUUACUAAAACUAUGUAAACUCUUAUUGAGAUUUGGGUUUGAUUUUGUAAGAUUGCUAAAAAUUUCAUAUUUUAUACUUGUUUUAUACUUUUCUAGUUGAAUUUCUUGCUUGUGGAAGAUAAAAUAAAAGUCCAAUUCAUGUUGUAAAAUUUUUUUUCCUCCCUUCUUUCUUUCCUUAUAAUCUGGCUCUGGCUUUGGUGCUAUGCUUGGUGCAGUUUAUGGUUUCAAUGCAGGGAACCAAUUUCAUCAUAAUCAUCUUAAAGGAUCAAAAUGGCUUUCUUUUGUAACUGGGUAAGUCAAUGCUACUUCCUGAAUUCGAUUUGGAGUUCUUUCGGAAUAGAUUUCCUUCCCUUACAUCACUUGGCUUCUAGUUGCAUCUUCUUGGCUUUCUCCAGCGGACUUUUUUAUUGGCAAAUUCCUUUGUUUCUAUUGUUUUCAAGUGCUAGUGCUGGAUUUAGAGGUUAAAUGGUGCCUUCAUUUUUAUUUUUUAUUUUUUUAUUUUGGGAGUAUAGUACUGUAAUAUACUUCUUUGUAUAGCUAGUACAAAAUAGUUCUUCAACUUCUUACUUUUGGCUUUAAUGGGUUCGAUAUAUGAUAGCGGAGCCCUAUCACCAUUUGAUGUCAGACAACAAAUAGGGGACAGAUGGGGUUAGAAAAAUAAGAAACAUGACCAAAAUAAAAAUCUAAUCUACUCAUAUAAGCAGCUCAUCAAAUAAGUGUGUCACAUACUUAAGUGAAUAAGAUUCCGUGAUUUCUAGGAAUCCAAGUCAAAUUAUAACAUUCUUUAAAUAAGACUCACAAGCUUAUUAGGUGUUAUAUUGAAUCAUCUAAGUUGAAUAAUCUUUUGGGUUGAAUAUGUUAAUUUCUUAUUCCAUAUGUUUCAGCCUCUCAAUAGUUGAAUUAGCAAUGAAAAUUUGAAAAUGGAAAAACUCAAUGCAAUUAUUUUAGGUGCUUAUCAUAGAUAAGAAUUUCACUUUUUACACUUCAUUGUCUGUUGUCAAAUUUAUUAAGUAUGAACCCGGAUUAGGUUUGUGCUCUCAAGGAUUUAUAAAUAAGUGCUACUUGACUUAGAUGUAAGAAAAUUGAAAAGCAGAGUUGCUUGAUUGAAUAGCUUCAUAUUUUACAUCAUAGAAACUCAAUUUUCAUUGCCAUAUGUAGCUCAAAAGAGCAUGAACAUUGAACAUUCAGCUAAUUUAUACUAAUUAAUUAACACAACUAUCAGUUCUUACUUCUUGGUACCCGGCAACAUCCAUCCAUAAGAGUGAAACCCCCAUUGAUUUCAUAUAUACAAAAUAAAUAACUUACAAAGACAAUACCUGACAAUCACAACAAAAACACCAAUUCACUCCAAUAAACAACAUAACGAAUACAUGGUUUAAAUUGCAAGUCUUGUUACGAUUUUAAUUAAAAGAGAAAAUGUGAAGGACAUGUUAUAUAUAAUUGAAUGUUAUCCUUGAUAAUUAGACAAAAUAGCACUAAUGUAGCUAACUAAUCCAAUCAUUGUAAUAAUUGGAUUUUCUUUUUUUAAUUAUGUCUAUUGAUGCUAAUUUAAUCAGGAACACUGAAUACUUGAGUGUUUUUAUGUUCAACAGCUUUGGCUAAGUUUGAAAAGAUCAUAUUAAUUAUUAAUAUAAAUAAAUAAGCCAACAAGGUACAUAUUACAUAUAUGUGUAGUUGCAAUAAAUACAUAUGUAAUAAAGAUCAUAAAGCUCAGGGCCAUUAAUUCAACAUUACCAAAUCAAUAUCCCAAUAAUGGUUUGAUUACUAAUCUAAGCAUUAAAUGAUCAGCAAACUUUAUUUGGCCAAAACAAAUGCUUCCUUGUUGCCUCCUUGAUCUUUUCCUGGCUGGUGAUUCCUGAAUGUUCUUCUCAUUUUGAUAUGCUGAGUCGUUUGCUGAUUAUAAAUGCUAAUCACCUUGAAUUUUCUUAGUCUUCUUCUUCAUGUGAAAUUCUACCUAAUGGCUAUCCUUUUAUCUGGUUUGAAUUCUUCUUUUUUCUUUGAAUUGUUGAUUUCUAAUGUUCUUGUCAUUCGCACAUGUGACGUUCUGCACUCUUGCAAUGCCAUUUCUUAUUAUGGCAGCAGCAUUCUUGGUCAUGGCAUCACUAGCAAAUGCUUUUGAAUUGCUUUGUUUGAUUUUUGUUUCUAAUAUUUUUUUUUUGGCAUUGUGGGAUACUGUUUCUCUUUUGAUUUUCUGUCUUUGUUGUUAUGGGAUUCUGGCAUAGUAUGCAUCAGUACACGUAUGAAGAUGAUGUGAUAAAGUGCUUUUGAUAAAUUGCCCCAGUCAGUUUACUUCACAAACCAACCAUUAAUGAGCAAAUCCUUCUAAUGACCCUUGUACACAUUAGAAUAAAUACAAUUCUAUUUAUACACAAAAAUAAAUAACUCUCAAGUAUAUUAUUUGAUAAUCGCAAAAGCAACAAUUCACUCCAAUAAAUCUCAUAACACACUCAUGGUCUAUGUUGCAAGUCUUUGUAGAGAAAAAAAUGAAGGACACACAAUUAAAUUUUUUCUAUGAUAAAGAACUCUAAACAAAUUCAUAUACAUAUUGCAGUACCCCUUACAAAUUCAUUUGUUUCUUUUUUUUUUUAGAAGAAAAUAGACUUUCUAUUAAGCAAAAUUUUUAAAAAUACAAGCAAUCUCAUUCGGGAAAGAGUCCAUCCAAACACUAGACUUUUUACUCUUGAGGGCAUACUUAGCUAAUCUAUGAGCAAGUUCAUUGGUGAAUCUAGGGGUGUGUUGAAAGGUAACCUUGUGAAAGUCACCUGUCAUAUCUUGAGCAGCGGAUAUCACCCAGCAAAUUUCUGUUUUACUCCAUUUCUUAUGGUUGACCAGAUCAACAACUUCCUGGCAGUCUGUCUCAAUGAUAAUCGAUGUCAAUUGAACAUCUUUGGCCACUUGAAGUCCCAGCUCGACAGCCUCUGCUUCUGCAAACUGCACGUCCAAGCUUAGUCUUGAUGGUUUAACUGCAGCUGCCACUACUCUUCCUUUAUCAUCCCUGAUAACAGCCCCCAAGCCUACUGAUUUAGCUUCAACAUUGAUAGCAGCAUCCACGUUAAUCUUGAAACUUCCAGCAGGGGGUGCAGUCCACUGAUGAUGCUUCUUGUCUUCUCGGUUUGCAGCUUGAGAGCUUCCACCAUGCUUCACUCUUCGAUAGUCUUCGACUAUAGCUUGGGCCUUUGCAGCUGAGACAUUUGAGUUAAUUUUCUCCCCUUUGAAAAGCAGCCGAUUUCUAGCAUUCCAAGUAAUCCACCAGGUAGCACCUAAUAAUUCCAAAUCUGCUUUGCACAGCCUCUUAGACAUCUGAAACCACACUUCCAGCAUAUCUUGCCCUUUAUAAACUUCAAUGCCUUUAUCAGCUAGGAUUGACUUCUUCCAAAUCUUACCCGCUGCUUUGCACUCGAUCAGGGCAUGAGAAAUAGUUUCCACGCUUCUUCUGCAAAUUUGGCAUAGAGGGGAUGCAGUCACUUUCUUUUUCCAUAAAUUCUCCACCAUUGGUAGCAUGUUUUGAGCAGCUCUCCAUAAGAAGAUUUUUGUUUUUUCAGGCAGCUCCAAUCUCCAUAUGGCCUUCCAGUAACAAGAGCAAUCCUCCGAGGUGCUGGGGAUAUCAGGAUAUUUCAGUCUUAGAGCAAUCUGAUAGCCGCUCUUAACUGUGUACAUGCCUUUCUUGUCAAAAUGCUAGCAAACUUCAUCCAUCUUUGGGCUUCUAGGGAGAGGGAUCCUCAUUAUGGCUGCUGCAUCUUCUUUAUUAAAGUGCUCCAAAAUUAGAUCUGCUUUCCACUGGUUCCUUGCAUCAAUUAGCUCUGCCACUUUAGCAUCCUCCGACAGAGAUGGUACUGAGAAGGGUUUAAACGUAUUUGGCCUUGGGAUCCAAUUACUCUUAUAAACUUGCACCAUAUCGCCUCUACCUAUUCUCCAUCUAGCCCCAUUUUUUAAAACUUGUCUACCCCACAACAAGCUCCUCUAGAGGAAGGAUGGGUUUGAUCCCAAGUUAGCAUUCCAGAAAUCUGAACAUUUAAAGUAUUUGGCUUUUAGAACUUGGGCAGUCAAAGAAUUCGGAUCCUGAAGUAUUCUCCACCCCUGCUUUGCCACCAUCGCUUGGUUGAAACUACAAAAAUCUCUAAAGCCCAUACCACCUCUACACUUUGCAUGGCUUAGUCUCUCCCAUCUUGUCCAGUGAAUUUUGUGUUUGUCUUCCUUGGAGCCCCACCAGAAUUUUGCUACCGCUCUUUGAAUAUCUUCGCACAGCCCGAUAGGGAGCUUAAAAACACUCAUGGCGUAGGCUGGAAUCGCUUGAGCUACUGCCUUAAUUAACACCUCUUUCUCUCCAGUUGAAAAGAAUUUAUCCUGUCAAUUAGAUAUCUUACUCAAUACCCUGAGCUUUACAUCAUUAAAAAAGCUCAUCUUUUUCCGACCAAUCAUCGAAGGCAGCCCCAAAUACUUCUCGUGUCUCGAUAUUACAUUGAGCUGGAAGAUAUUUUUAAUGGUUUCAGCUUGCUGCUCACUCACCUUGCCGCCAAAGAACAACGAUGACUUCUCAUAGUUGAAUAUUUGCCCUGAGGCUGAUGCAUAAGAGUCAAACAAAGCUUUCAACUGAUUACACUCAUUUGUUGAGGCUCUUGCAAAAAUUAAACUGUCAUCAGCAAAUAAUAAGUGAGUGAUGGAGAUCUCCUGCCCAAACCAUAGCCCAUGGAUCAAGUUUUGUCUUUCUGUCUGCAGCAACAGAUUUGAAAAAGCUUCCGCACAUAUAAGGAAUAGAUAUGAAGAUAGAGGGCACCCUUGCCUAAGACCUCUUUGAGCACGGAACAGCCCUUUGGGUUUUCCAUUUAUGAUUAUAGAAAAAUUUGCUGUUGUAAUACAAUUCAAAACUAGCUUUAUCCAUUUAUGCGAAAAGCCUAGCCGCUCCAUAGUUUGUUCAAGGAACCUCCAUUCCACUCUAUCAUAGACCUUACUAAUAUCUAGUUUUAAAGCUACCAACCCCUUUUUUGUACUUUUAUUAUGCCUAAUUUUGUGAAGACAUUCAUACCCAAUAAUAAUGUUAUCUGUGAUAAGUCUAUUAGGAAUAAAAGCACUUUGUGUAGGUGAGAUAACUUGAUGCAGGAUCUAUUUUAGUCCAUUAGCCAUAGUCUUCGCCACUAUUCUGUAAAUCACAUUACACAAAUUUAUUGGCCUAAACUCGGUCACCUUUUUAGGCUUGGCAACCUUCGGGAUAAGAGCUAUAUAAGUGUGGUUAAGUGGAGUAACAUCACCUUGUGCAUUGAGGAUGUGUAAGCAUGUGUCGAUGACUCCGCUGCCGACAAUUUGCCAAUGCUUUUGGAAGAACGCUGCUGGUAGCCCGUUAGGUCCAGGAGCCUUAGUUGGACACAUUUGGAAUAGAGCGUCAAAGAUCUCCUCAACUGUGAAUGGUUGAUCUAAUGCUUUAUUCAUCUCUACAGUCACCUUUGGGUUCAGGCCUGCUAAGACAUCAUUGAUUUGGUUUUGGUUUGGACUUGAGGUUGUGAACAGAUCUUGGAAAUAUUCACCAAACUCUCUCUCAAUCUCUUCUCCAUCUUCCAGCCAAUGCCCUUGCUGAUUUUCAAUGCCAGAGAUCCUAUUCUUUCUCCUUCGCGAUGAAGCUUUAAAGUGAAAAAACUUCAUGUUUUUAUCCCCCUCCUUAAGCCAAUCAGCCCUUGAUCGUUGCUUCCAAUAAAUCUCCUCAUCAGUUAAUAAGUUGUUGAUCUGUCUUUCCAGGUUCUUGAUUUCAGCACCAUUGUCAUACUACAAAUUAUUGCUUACAGCACACUGGAGCUUUUCCAUCAGAAUUUUCAGCCUUUCUUUUCGCUCCCCGAACUCUCCUUUACUCCACCAUUGCAAUUGGGCCAUCGUAGCUUUUGAUAGCCUUUGGCAAAUCUGCAUUGGAUUUAUAUCAUCUUUACAACCAACACCUGACCACACCUCCUUAACAAUAUUUUUACAGCCUUCAUACGGAGUCCAAAAAUCCUCAUAAUGAACUCUAGAGAAAGUUCUUUGAUCAUAGCUUACUCUACUUUUUUUCUCUUGAACAUUCAUCACAAGCAAAUUAUGAUCUGAUUCCCACAUAACCAUGUUUGUCACAGUCUCUUCCUGAAAAAGGUUCCCCCAAUCCUUACUACAUAAAGCUCUAUCCAGCCUCUCUUCAAUAUGGUGAGAUCCGAAUUGUCUAUUGGACCAUGUAUAGGGAUGCCCUUUAUACCCCAUGUCAAUAAGGUUACAUUCAUAAACUACUUCUCUGAAUUCGGAGAUCAUGCUUACAUUUCUAGCAUUCCCACCAGAUUUUUCAUUUGGAUGCAUAAUUUCAUUGAAAUCACCAAUGCAGAGCCAAGGCAGAGGAGACAAACCUUUCAAUCUUCGCAUCAAAGUCCAUGUAUGCCUUUUUUGCUGAGCUUCUGGAUGACCAUAGAUUCCGAUACAUCUCCACCUUUUACCACUCUCAUUUUGAAUUAUGGCGUCAAUAUGAUGGCUACUGUAAGAGGUAAUGUUUACAGUUAUCUCUGAGUUCCACAUCAUUGCCAACCCCCCACUCAUCCCAGUUCUACUAACCGCAAAAUAAUUAUCUAAGUUCAGUCUUCUACACUCUUCAUCUGCUUGCCUAGACAAUAGCUUUGUUUCAUAGAGAAACAAUAGCUGAGGCCUAUGCAAUUGGAGAAUUUUCUUCAUUGCGAGACGCGUUCGGGGAUUCCCCAAACCCCGAACGUUCCAGCUUACGAGUUUCAUGGCUGUCGGCGGGGCUGGCUCCCAGCCUCCGCCGCUGAUUUCUCCAUUUGCUGAACUGUGUCACUUUCAUCAGCCUUUCCUUUGGUUUCCCAGGCCAGCUUCAGCUUUGGCGCUAUGGGAGUUUCCUGGGGGCUCACAUUCUUCAACCUCUUACUGUUUGGACUCGGCCAAUCUAAUUCACUGCAUGACCUUUUCAUAGAAGUAGGUCCACCAGUCAUCUUGGUAGUAAGGUUUGAGUCUCUAGCUUGCGUUUUCCACUUUCGGCUCUUUGAGUGAGAUUUUGGUUUCGUGGGCUCAAGAUUUGAUUCUGUGCCUCUUGAAGACCCCUGGGUUUGGUUUUCGUUUUUGGCAUGUUGGCCCAUCAAGCCCAUUUUUCGUUCCCCACUCCUCAAUGCAUCUACUUUCUCUUUCCCGCCUAAGUUUCCUUUUGUCUUGCCCUCUGCUCUGUGGAUUUCCCCAGUUGUAGCUGCUGCCCCAGCAAGCUUUUCAUAUUCUAGGUACGACUCUCUCGAUUCCUCAGCCGCUUUCAUUAAUGAUUCCUCACCUACUUCUGCCACAUAAGUCACCUCCACUGACAUUUCCUCAUUGGGGCUAUCCAUUUGGGUUGCACCCGAUCCAUCAUGCUUACUCGGGUUUGGGUUUCUUGGUUGCUCUUUCGGUUUUGGUUGUAUCUGUAUCUUAACACUUGUGUUUCCGGUGGUUGCAUCUGGUUGAUCAUCCCUCCUACCUUUUCUGUUUUUGCCUUUGUUGAGCUUAGCUAAUUCAAAAGGGGUAAGUGCUUUCAUCCAUCCUCCAUAACUGAGCUUCUCCUUUGGUUGGCCCUUGUACUGGAUGCAUUCCCUAAACUGAUGUCCAAUAAGUCCACAGCAGAAGCAAAAAUCUAGUAGCCUCUCAUACUUACUAAGCAUCACAAUAUCUUCCUCGACUUCCUGUUUUAGUAUAAGGAUUCUCUUUAAUGGUUUAGUAAUGUCCACUGAAAUUCUCACCCGAGCAAAAGGACCUAUGCAUUCCCCUUCUUCGUCGGUCUCUACUUCCUCCACUCGUCCUAUCUUUUCCCCCAAUUUUUCAAUGGUUCCUUUCACCAUACACUUGAUGGGCAUUCCAUGGAUUUGCACCCAAAAGGAUGUAUGUGUAAAAGGCUGCCAUUUUAUGCUCCCCAUUCCCACAGGUUCUACAAGCACAAUUAAAGCUUUGUCGAAAUGUCAUGGCCCUUCUGUCAGUACUCUCUUUUUAUCGUGUUCUGUAGCAAGCUUAAAGACAAAAAUGUUGUCUCCCUGACUCUCCACCUUAAUCUCCUUAGUGGUUUUCCAAGCUAGUUGCAUUGCGUAUCUCAACCCCUCCUUAUUUACAUCUCUGUUGAGAAGAAUCUUACCCACAAGACAAUGGGCUGCUACCCUUUCUCCAUCCUUUUCCAUUUCUCCGAUGAACAUGACUGCAUCCUCUUCUUCCUCCUUCAAAGUGAUAGACUUACAUCUACGUAUGAACUCCUCUGUAUCCAUUUUCUGAUCUCGUAUUUAAACCUUCCUUAAUAAAUGGCUCUCACCAACCACUACUUUCGCAACAAAUUAAGUUCUUCAGAAAGUAACCAACCACCCGCCAACAGUAGUUAAGCUUCUGUAUUUGACUGCCUUUUACACUACUUCCAGAACUUAAAUGCUGAAAAAACACCCAACAUGUGAGUGACGUAAAUCGGGUUAUGGCAACCCCCCUAUUCUUCCAUACCGAGUUCUUUUUCUAGAGAGGAAAAGAACUCUCAUAGGAGAUCUCCGUUUGAGGCGUAUUUUUAUCACUUAACUUUCUAUUGAAAUUUUCAAAUUCAUUUGUUUCUUCUUUUCCUUUGAUUAAGUGCUAAUUAUAGCCUUGAUAUUUCAUUUGGUUUUAGUUAAUUUUCUAUAGGGUUGUGUUGUGUGAAAUUAAUUACAAAACAAUCUUUAACGAAGUCUUAUGAAAAUACCAUAUUAUAACUACAAAGUUAGGCUUCCUAAUCAAGCUACUGUUCAUCAGAUUGUGUAUUGUGUUACUGGUGAGCUCUUAUGUCAAUUAUGACCAGACGGCGCCUUGGCUAACUGUGAGUUAUGUGCGAACAUAAGAGCUGCAAAUGAGUUAUGUACUAUUUUUAUGUGACAAGGUAUGUGCUCUGUUUUUAUGGUCUUUCUCUCUGUAGUUCGCUCUGUAGUUUUUUUUUUUGGGAUACAUUGAUAAUAAAUUUAGAAGUCUACUAAUAUGUACAACCAGAAACCUAUUAGGGACUUUUUGUCUUUUGAUGCAGUUGUAGGGCACAGCUCAAAUAUUCUUUCCUCAUUUAAUAUUGGAGAAAUCCGACUCCCAAGCGAUUCUGUCUACGGUUGUUGGACAAACUGUAAUGUGAAUUUCUAUCUAAUGGGUGUGAUCAUCCUUGCAGUCAGUUUAGGAUUGUUGAUAUAGAUAUGAUGUUUAGUCUCCAAAAUUCAGAUGAUGAUAAUCUUGUGAGUACUUUUUGUCAUAUUUUCUUUUGUGUUGGUGUUGGGAUCUUAAUUUUGUAUCCAAUGUCAGGACAAUAUGAACCCAUUUUAAGUGAUAUGAUGCAAGUUCAUGUUCAAGAAUCUAUUUAAUGAAACAUUCCAGUGUUUAAUAAUGAUGAAUAAUUGGUUUAAGAUUAAUACCAAAUAUUUUAAGUAACAUGUGGCGUAUUCUAGUGAGAUCCUCCAACUCAGAUUUCUAACUCAAAUGGAAACGUUUCGAAUUUCUUCAGAACAUUCUGCAGAACGGUUCGUCUUGUCUUUACAGUUUCUUUUGUGAAUUUCUCCCAGUUUCUUUUGUGAAGACUUCUGAAUAAGCUUCCAGAUAUUGAGAUACAAUCCAAUCUAAGCCCAUACGUUUAUCCGCCUCACAUUUGUCCAUUUCCCCAGAAAAUCAAAAAGCACUUUAGUUCGAAACAAACACUCUAAAAAAAACCAUCUAGCUACCCAGAUGGCGAAAUCAAGAAUCUUGCAAUGGCAAUGUCAUCUCUUGUUAUGGCAGUAGCAUUGAUGAUCAUGGCAUCACAAGCAAAUGCUCUGAUGCCGUACACACGAUCACCUUUCUUUGACGUGAUGUUCCCAAUGACGGAAGAUCCUUUCAGGGUUCUUGAACAAACCCCGUUAACAAUCCCAAAAGAGCUGAACAUCAUCAAACUCUAGCACUGGCGAGAGCAGACUGAAAGGAGACACCAACAUCACACGUGAUCACACUCGACAUUACAGGGAUGAAGAAAGACGAUGUGAAGAUUGAAGUUGAAGAGAACAGGGUACUGAGAGUGAGUGGGGAGUGGAAGAGCGAUGAUUAUUAUAAGGAGGAAGUUGAAGGAGAAAAAUGGCAGAGUAGAGAGAACAUUUGGCAAGUUUUGGAGGCAGUUCAGGAUGCCUAUGAGUGCUGACUUGGAUCAUGUUAAGGCUCAUUGGGAAAAUGGUGUUCUGAGGAUCACAGUGCCAAAACUCGCUGAGGAGAAGAAGAGGCAGCCUAAGGUUAUUAACAUUGAUGAAGAGCCUGGUAAUUCUUCCGGUGAAAAUAUUAAGGCGGCUAAGGCUCAAAUGUGAUUGAUUAAAGAAAGAAGUACUUGCUUUGCUUGAUGUGCUAUUUGUUUUGUGAUCUUUUCUUGGUUUUGUUGUGGGAUGUUUUUCUUUGGAUGUUCUGUUUAUUGUAUUUUGAUGGAUUUUUAAAGAUGGCUUGUAUGUAUUAACAAUAAUAAAGUGUUUUUUUUAAAUCCGGGUCCUAAAUUUGUAAAAGAAAUUAAUAAUACGCUUGGUUUCUUGUUAAUAAAAAUAAAAAAGAAGUCUCUUUUUCUUUAGCAUAUAUUAUGCAUUUUAAGGAAAAAAAAUUAUCACAUUCUAAUUCAUAAAGAUAUUCCUCUUCUGUCAUAUUAAUGUGUUAAUACCAAGGUCUAUUGGAAUUAUAAUAGUUUAGAUGAAUCCAAAAUAUUCAAUAAUUGAUAAAUAGUAUAUAUAAAUAUUAAUAGCAAUGGCACAUAAUCAAUUAAUUCAAGAAUUUGCCCACAGUGCAUUAAGUUAAAAGAGUAAAAAUAACAUUGCAAUCAGGGAUAUUUAUAACACUGUUGCUGAUGAGGCAGCUGUUAAUUCUUUUGGUGAAGAUGUUAAGGCCACUAAAGCUGGAACGUAAUCAGGGAAAUAUAAUGUAUUCACUUAGUUUGCUAUUUGUGUUUUUAUAUUUGUUUGGCUAAUUCUUUGAUCAGAUUGCUUUUUGUUUUUGAGAUUUUAUUGGCUUAGUCGUGGGAUAUUAUUUAAUCUUUUAAUUUUGUGUUUUUAUUGUUAUGGGAUUUGAUGAUGGCAUACAUAUAGGAAAAUUAUGUAAGAAAGUGCUUUUAAUAAAUUAUGGUCGGUUUACUAUUAAUUAACUAAAUUUAAUUUACUCAAAUUACUCCUAUACACGAUCAAAAUAAUUUCAAUUCCAUGAUAUAAAUACGCCCGUGCGGACACACAAAAUGUAAAUAACUUUCAAAUACAAAAUAUUUAAAAUAAUCAUCAUACUAACAAUUCACAAGUUAGAUUAUAAUAAGGCCACCAAGACUUAAAUGUAAUUGAUUAAAGAAAGAAGUGCUUGCUUUGCUUGAUGUGCCAUUUGUCUAUGAUGUUUUCUUGGUUUUGUUGUGUGAUGCUUCUCUUUAGAUGUGCUGUUUAUUGUAUUUUGAUGGGUUUUUGAGGAUGGUUGUAUGUAUUAGCAACAACAAGGUGCUUUUUUAUAAAUCCGGGUUCUAAUUUUGUAAAAGAAAUUAAUACUCUCGGUUUAUUGUUAAUAAAAAAGAAAAAAGAAAAAACCUUUUUUCUGUGGCAUAUAUUUUGCAUUUUAAGAAAAAAAAAUCACAUUCCAAUUCAUGAAACACAUUCCUUCUGUCAUAUUGAUGUGUUAAUAGAAAGAUCUAUGUGAAUUAUAACAAUUUUAAUGAAUCUAAAUAUUUAAUAACUGAUAAAUUGCAUUUAUAAAUAUUAAUACCGGUGGCACAUAAGCACUUAAUUCAAGAACUCCCCUAUGGUGCAUUAAUUUAAAGAGUAGAAAUAUUUAAUAAAUCAUGCUCGGUUUACUAUUAAUUAAUCAAAUUUAAUUUACUCAAAUUACUCCUCUACAUGAUCAAAGUAAUUUCAAAUAUACAACACACAAAAUGUAAAUGACUUUGAAAUAUAAAAUAUUUAAAAUAAUCACCCCCACUAACAAUUCACCAGCAAGAUUAUAAAUAGUCGAAAUAAUGAUAAUCUAGGAGGUCCAGUCAUAAUAAUUUGAUUUUUAUUUAUAUUAAUUAUAUCGAAUCAUACUAUUUUAAUAAGAAAGAGUACACGAGAUUAUAUAUAUCCAACAGGGGCUAAAAUUUCAAAACAAUAUUUGCCAAAGUCUGAUGAAGAGAAUACAUACAUAUAACAUGCACUCGCACACAUUUUAUUGUUUAAUUAAAAAAUUCGAAAGUCCAUUAUAUACAUGAUAAAGACUCACCGACACCGAACCAUAUUCAUUUAAAGGAAUUGUUUUCAACUGAGAUUUGAAAUUAUAUACACAAACGCAUCCAAUUGAAAAAAAAAAUCAAAAUAAUUAUAAAGUAUUUCAGUCAUCCUCUGUUCAAUCAUAAAAGAAUAAAAUCUAUGCGAACACGCGGUAUAUGGGUUAACAAGUCCCAAUAUUGUCCUCCAUCCUUUCUGCACUUCUCUGCUAUCAACGGACAUGCCUCGAUCUGUAAUUGCAAAAGUGAGGAAGGCAAGCCCUUCUCCGGAAAGUAUUUGAGCUUGGGACAAUCAAUGAGUCGCAAUUCAGUGAGGUUUUGAAGAUCAACAAUUGAAGAAGAUAGGCGUUCCAGAUUUGGAAAUCUACAAAUCCACAGAGAUGUUAGAGAGGCAGGAAGAGGAAGCGCGGUCCCCGAUCCUUUGUCAUCUGCCUUUGGUGGGAAUGACACCAUGUCGUCAUCACAUUUAAUGAUUCUAAGUUUUCGCAGAGAGGAGAAUCUGUGAAAUCCCCGGCCCCACUCAAUCAUUUGUGGGGGACAAUCCUUUCUGUACUUCUCUGCUAUCAACGGACAUCUAUGGAUGUAUAAACGCAAAAGUGAGGAAGGCAGGCCGUUCUCUGGAAAGUAUUUGAGCCUGGGACAAUUAUAGAGUUCCAAUGAAGUGAGGCUUUGAAGAUCAACAAUUGAAGAAGAUAGCCGUUCCAGAUCAACAUUUUUAUGGGGGUACUAAGAAAAAUAAAGAUAAUAUAAGGAAUGUUGUUGAGGAGUAUUUUGAUAUUUACAAAAGUGUUCAAAGUAAAAAUUGAUUUCUUAAAACUCAUUAGCUAGCGCACAUAAUAAUGGGGAGUAAAUUUUAGACUACGAAUAGUCCCACCCAUUUAAUAAUAUUCUUCGAUCAAUUAUGUUUACUUCAAAAAAAAAAAAAAAACCCAUCUGUUUAUUACUUUCUAACUAUUCAUAUUAAUGUGUUAAUAAUUAUGAAGAACCGGUGUAAUUUAUAUGAUGUAGGAAGCACUUUAGGCAAAAUCAUCUGAAUCUCAAAAUUUCGUGAUAUUGUGCCAAAUAUCCAAAACAGAGCUUCCUACAUUGCUAUAGCAGUUUUUAAAAGUUGAGGAGUCCAAAUAUCCAAUAACUGAUAAAUUGUGUUAAGAAAUAAAAAUAUUAAUGGUGAUGACACAUACGCAUGGAAUAUCUAUAUCCAACAGGUAAAAUUUCAAAACACCAUUUGCCAAAGUCUGAUGAAGAGAAUACAAAUACACACGCGCGCGCUCAUAUAUAUAACCGCACAGCAGAAGGAUAUAUAAAAUAAAUUGAAGUUUCAACAGUUGAACAAUGCAAACUCAUUUUAAAAAAGCCUUCUAUUGUUUAAUUAAAAAAUUCGAAAGCCAUUAUAUACAUGAUAAAGACUCACGGACACCGAACCAUAUUAAUUUAAAAUUAUUUUCAACUGAGAUUUGAAUUUUGAAAUUACAUACACCAACACGCCCGAUUUAAAAAAAAACUAAUAAUAAAAUAUUUAAGUCAUCCUCUGUUCAGUCAUCAAAAACCAAUUUACGAUUUAUUUCAACACAAACACACCCGAUCUAAAAUAAAAUCAAAAUAACAAUAAAAUAUUUCAACCGUCCUCUGUUCAGCCGUCAAAAACGGAUUUCCAAUCUAUGCGAACACGCGGUAUAUGGGUUAACAAGUCCCAAUAUUGUCCUCCAUCCUUUCUGCACUUCUCUGCUAUCAACGGACAUGCCUCGAUCUGUAAUUGCAAAAGUGAGGAAGGCAAGCCCUUCUCCGGAAAGUAUUUGAGCUUGGGACAAUCAAUGAGUCGCAAUUCAGUGAGGUUUUGAAGAUCAACAAUUGAAGAAGAUAGGCGUUCCAGAUUUGGAAAUCUACAAAUCCACAGAGAUGUUAGAGAGGCAGGAAGAGGAAGCGCGGUCCCCGAUCCUUUGUCAUCUGCCUUUGGUGGGAAUGACACCAUGUCGUCAUCACAUUUAAUGAUUCUAAGUUUUCGCAGAGAGGAGAAUCUGUGAAAUCCCCGGCCCCACUCAAUCAUUUGUGGGGGACAAUCCUUUCUGUACUUCUCUGCUAUCAACGGACAUCUAUGGAUGUAUAAACGCAAAAGUGAGGAAGGCAGGCCGUUCUCUGGAAAGUAUUUGAGCCUGGGACAAUUAUAGAGUUCCAAUGAAGUGAGGCUUUGAAGAUCAACAAUUGAAGAAGAUAGCCGUUCCAGAUCAACAUUUUUAUGGGGGUACUAAGAAAAAUAAAGAUAAUAUAAGGAAUGUUGUUGAGGAGUAUUUUGAUAUUUACAAAAGUGUUCAAAGUAAAAAUUGAUUUCUUAAAACUCAUUAGCUAGCGCACAUAAUAAUGGGGAGUAAAUUUUAGACUACGAAUAGUCCCACCCAUUUAAUAAUAUUCUUCGAUCAAUUAUGUUUACUUCAAAAAAAAAAAAAAAACCCAUCUGUUUAUUACUUUCUAACUAUUCAUAUUAAUGUGUUAAUAAUUAUGAAGAACCGGUGUAAUUUAUAUGAUGUAGGAAGCACUUUAGGCAAAAUCAUCUGAAUCUCAAAAUUUCGUGAUAUUGUGCCAAAUAUCCAAAACAGAGCUUCCUACAUUGCUAUAGCAGUUUUUAAAAGUUGAGGAGUCCAAAUAUCCAAUAACUGAUAAAUUGUGUUAAGAAAUAAAAAUAUUAAUGGUGAUGACACAUACGCAUGGAAUAUCUAUAUCCAACAGGUAAAAUUUCAAAACACCAUUUGCCAAAGUCUGAUGAAGAGAAUACAAAUACACACGCGCGCGCUCAUAUAUAUAACCGCACAGCAGAAGGAUAUAUAAAAUAAAUUGAAGUUUCAACAGUUGAACAAUGCAAACUCAUUUUAAAAAAGCCUUCUAUUGUUUAAUUAAAAAAUUCGAAAGCCAUUAUAUACAUGAUAAAGACUCACGGACACCGAACCAUAUUAAUUUAAAAUUAUUUUCAACUGAGAUUUGAAUUUUGAAAUUACAUACACCAACACGCCCGAUUUAAAAAAAAACUAAUAAUAAAAUAUUUAAGUCAUCCUCUGUUCAGUCAUCAAAAACCAAUUUACGAUUUAUUUCAACACAAACACACCCGAUCUAAAAUAAAAUCAAAAUAACAAUAAAAUAUUUCAACCGUCCUCUGUUCAGCCGUCAAAAACGGAUUUCCAAUCUAUGCGAACACGCGGUAUAUGGGUUAACAAGUCCCAAUAUUGUCCUCCAUCCUUUCUGCACUUCUCUGCUAUCAACGGACAUGCCUCGAUCUGUAAUUGCAAAAGUGAGGAAGGCAAGCCCUUCUCCGGAAAGUAUUUGAGCUUGGGACAAUCAAUGAGUCGCAAUUCAGUGAGGUUUUGAAGAUCAACAAUUGAAGAAGAUAGGCGUUCCAGAUUUGGAAAUCUACAAAUCCACAGAGAUGUUAGAGAGGCAGGAAGAGGAAGCGCGGUCCCCGAUCCUUUGUCAUCUGCCUUUGGUGGGAAUGACACCAUGUCGUCAUCACAUUUAAUGAUUCUAAGUUUUCGCAGAGAGGAGAAUCUGUGAAAUCCCCGGCCCCACUCAAUCAUUUGUGGGGACAAUCCUUUCUGUACUUCUCUGCUAUCAACGGACAUCUAUGGAUGUAUAAACGCAAAAGUGAGGAAGGCAGGCCGUUCUCUGGAAAGUAUUUGAGCCUGGGACAAUUAUAGAGUUCCAAUGAAGUGAGGCUUUGAAGAUCAACAAUUGAAGAAGAUAGCCGUUCCAGAUCAACAUUUUUAUGGGGGUACUAAGAAAAAUAAAGAUAAUAUAAGGAAUGUUGUUGAGGAGUAUUUUGAUAUUUACAAAAGUGUUCAAAGUAAAAAUUGAUUUCUUAAAACUCAUUAGCUAGCGCACAUAAUAAUGGGGAGUAAAUUUUAGACUACGAAUAGUCCCACCCAUUUAAUAAUAUUCUUCGAUCAAUUAUGUUUACUUCAAAAAAAAAAAAAAACCCAUCUGUUUAUUACUUUCUAACUAUUCAUAUUAAUGUGUUAAUAAUUAUGAAGAACCGGUGUAAUUUAUAUGAUGUAGGAAGCACUUUAGGCAAAAUCAUCUGAAUCUCAAAAUUUCGUGAUAUUGUGCCAAAUAUCCAAAACAGAGCUUCCUACAUUGCUAUAGCAGUUUUUAAAAGUUGAGGAGUCCAAAUAUCCAAUAACUGAUAAAUUGUGUUAAGAAAUAAAAAUAUUAAUGGUGAUGACACAUACGCAUGGAAUAUCUAUAUCCAACAGGUAAAAUUUCAAAACACCAUUUGCCAAAGUCUGAUGAAGAGAAUACAAAUACACACGCGCGCGCUCAUAUAUAUAACCGCACAGCAGAAGGAUAUAUAAAAUAAAUUGAAGUUUCAACAGUUGAACAAUGCAAACUCAUUUUAAAAAAGCCUUCUAUUGUUUAAUUAAAAAAUUCGAAAGCCAUUAUAUACAUGAUAAAGACUCACGGACACCGAACCAUAUUAAUUUAAAAUUAUUUUCAACUGAGAUUUGAAUUUUGAAAUUACAUACACCAACACGCCCGAUUUAAAAAAAAACUAAUAAUAAAAUAUUUAAGUCAUCCACUGUUCAGUCAUCAAAAACCAAUUUACGAUUUAUUUCAACACAAACACACCCGAUCUAAAAUAAAAUCAAAAUAACAAUAAAAUAUUUCAACCGUCCUCUGUUCAGCCGUCAAAAACGGAUUUCCAAUCUAUGCGAACACGCGGUAUAUGGGUUAACAAGUCCCAAUAUUGUCCUCCAUCCUUUCUGCACUUCUCUGCUAUCAACGGACAUGCCUCGAUCUGUAAUUGCAAAAGUGAGGAAGGCAAGCCCUUCUCCGGAAAGUAUUUGAGCUUGGGACAAUCAAUGAGUCGCAAUUCAGUGAGGUUUUGAAGAUCAACAAUUGAAGAAGAUAGGCGUUCCAGAUUUGGAAAUCUACAAAUCCACAGAGAUGUUAGAGAGGCAGGAAGAGGAAGCGCGGUCCCCGAUCCUUUGUCAUCUGCCUUUGGUGGGAAUGACACCAUGUCGUCAUCACAUUUAAUGAUUCUAAGUUUUCGCAGAGAGGAGAAUCUGUGAAAUCCCCGGCCCCGCUCAAUCAUUGACUUCCAAAUCUCCAUAUUACCCCGAAUCCCAAGUAAAUGAAGGUUGGUGGGAAGGCCGUCUUCUUCAAGGCUUGGAAGCUCACCUCCUAUUAUUCUUAAUUCUUGAAGAGAGGUCAGAUUGUGCAAUCCCUUGGGUAAGGCCUCUAGUCUCUCACAGCUUUCGAUCCAGAGCUUAGUCAGUUUCGCACAAGGCAAUCCCCCUUCGGGAAAGGACACCAGAUUUCCACACCUCUGUAUAGUAAUCUCUUGAAGCUGGCGGAGAUUGUGUAAACCACUCGGUAAAAUUUUCAGAUUUUCACAAUCAGAAAUCCUGAUUAUUUCAAGAGAUGUGUUGUUGUCCAACCUUUCUGCUAUUGACUCCAGCUUUGAACAACCCGAUAUCCUUAUCUCUUGAAGCUGGCGGAGAUUAUGUAAACCACUCGGUAAAAAUUUCAGAUUUUCACAAUAAUCAACUGUGAUUGUUUCAAGAGAUGUGUUGUUGUCCAACCUUUCUGCUAUUGACUCCAGCUUUGAACAUUUAUAAACAGAAAGGGACUCAAGCAUGGCAGGUAACUCGUUUUUUGAAAAUAUACAUGUCAGAGACGGACAACUCUCAAUGUGUAAGUGCUCAAGAAGAGAUGAGGUGUACCUUCUGCUGCUGCUGCUGCUACUCUGGAUGCCCUCUUCCACUGUCAAAGUCCUUAUAUUAUCACAAUUCUGGAUGUCCAACUGCUUAAGGCUCGAUGGUAGAUGGACUCCAGCAAUAUAUGUCAACGAAUGGCAAUCCCGAAUCUUCAAGAUCUCGAGAGAUGAAUUGAUGUCGCACAUCCAUGCCUCUGGUAACGAUUUCAGUGCUUCACAAGAACUAAUAUGAAUUUCCCUCAACUUGGAAGGCAGAGCAAUCUCAGGGAAGGAAACAAGGGAACUGCAGUUGCUGAUUUGUAUCUCUCUCAAGGAACUCAGGCUGAGCGAUGAUUGUGGCAGCUUCACAAGGCCUUCGCAUCCGCACAAUGCUAGAUAUUCAAGUCUGCAUGACAACUCGCAGAGCUGCUGUUGUUGGUCUUUCUCUUCCUCCGCCACCAAGGAUUGAAGUUUGGGACAGCUUCUUAUCUCCAGACUUUUGAGAGAGCAAAUGUCUUGUAGUAAUCCGUCAUGACUCUUCCAUAUAUAUGUUUGCUCUUCUGUCGACAAAAAUAAUUCUUCCAAUUUCGGUAGUUGUGGCUUCAAUGGCCCCGCAAGAAACACUUGAUUUGAUGUAUCUCUACAAACCACUGAACUCUGUGAUCCGAGAUGACCAGUUGCACUUUCCCACACAACCUUUUUGCAUCCACCAAUUUCCAAUUUGCAAAGAGCUGGAAGACUCGAAACUGAAACUAACAAUUCUUCACAUCCUUCAAUAACAAGCAUCUCCAAUGCAGGAAGGUGCUCUGGAAAUGUUCCUUUCAGUUUAGAACAUCUUAAAAUGUGAAGCUCUCUCAAUUUAGGAAACCCUUCAACUCCUUGACUGGAUCCAUGAGGAAUCCAGUCUUCCCAUUCUUGCAUGUUUUCAAAAAGAAGAGUCUCCAAGCAUGGAAAAGGAAUUGGAGGAUCAUUCCCAUAGAACUCUGAACCCAACCUCUUUACUCUGCUCAUUCCACAUACUGCAAGAUGCUUUAGAGAGGGUAGUUGCCCGACUGACGGUAGGGCAGUACACAUGUCACAAUUUUCAAAUAUUAGGGUCACCAAAUUUGACAAUGAGGAAUCUCCUAACCAUAUUGGAAAUUUUGUACCUCCAUAGCCACUGAUAAAAAAUUGCUCCAGAUUUUUAUGGGGUUUCAGCAUGUCAAGCACGCCCUUUUGAGUUUCUGCCUCCCUUAAAGAUGAACCAUCGGUACUGUUUGUCCACCGAAGCAUUAACACUUUAAGGUUCUUCUUUCCAUCCAAUUGAGCCUCCUUGGCAUCACCAACGUAUUUUACGUUCUCCAAUUUUGAAAUGGUAAGUGUCCCACGAAGAUGCGUCAACAACUUUAGCUCUCGCAACCGGGAACCACUGUCUUUUCCUACAACAAAAUUACACAAUGUCUGAAGACAAGUCAACUUGCCAAUUCCUAGUGGCAUUUCCUCCAACGAAUCUGUAUUUGAAUUAUUGAGAUGAUGCAACUUGAUGAGAUUUCCCAUGCCUGCACACAACUUCCUCAGUCCCCGACAACCCUCCAACGAAAGGGUGUGCAAAUUGUAAAGCUUGUUGACUGAUUCAGGCAGAGUUCUAAUCUCAGUUCCAGACAAGUUAAGGUACCUUAAAUACCUCAAAUCACCAACUGAAUCCGGCAGCUCAGGGAUGCAGUAUCCACGCAAAGAGAAGACCCUCAAGCGUUGGAGUUUGAGCAACUUAGGAAGAAUGCUAGGAGCCAAGUAGCCAGGCUCACUAUUUGUCAACAUUACUGGUAAAAAAGUUCUCAAAUGUUGGAUAUCAUACAAGUCCCCAAACCUUUGAACGCCAUCAUAAUCUCCACAAAUGUAUGAUAGAUGACGAAGAUUUCUGGAAAAACAUUGUUGCUUGUUAACCUCCGAGGUAUACUCCAGUGUGAAGUAUGUCUCCCCUGCAGCCCAACGGGCAAGGUCGUUGAUAAGAUCGUGCAUAACAAAUCGUGAUGCAUCGGUGGCCGAUUGCUGGAAAAAAGAUCUUGAACAUAGCUCCUUAAAGAAAUCACGACCUAAAUCUUCACUAGGAUUCUCAUCUUCUUUGUGAUCCAAAAAACUGGAGGCACACCAUAAUAAAAUUAUCUCCUCCUCUUCAAAUUCAUAAUCCUUUGGUAACAAUGAGCAGUAUGCAAAGCAUUGUUUCAAAGUUGGAGGAAGAUAAUAAUAGCUCACUGCAAGGGCUGGUAUAAUGCGACACCUCUGUUCUGGUAAUUCCCAUAUCUUGCUACUGAGCACUCUCUCCCAAUAACAUCUGUCAUCGUUUCCUCGCAAAAGUCCUCCAAGUGUUUGCGCCGCCAAGGGCAAGCCAUCGCAUUUGGCCACUAUCUUCUUGCCAAUUUCCUCCAAUAACUUAUCUGACCCCAAAGAAUGUUGAGCGAAUACAGCUAGACAAUCAUCAAAUGACAACUUUUUUAAUUGAUAAGGUGAGGCAGUUCCCAUGAUGUCUGCAACCUGUUGAUUGCGAGUUGUGACAAUAAUCUUACUUCCCUUCGCUCCAGCUUCAAACGGACGGCUGAGGCGAACCCAAUCAUUGUAAUUCUCAUUCCAAACGUCGUCUAAAACAAGCAGAAAUUUCUUUUGAGAUAACUUGUUCUUCAGCUCCUCUUGAAGCAAAUUUAAAUUACUGUCAUCAAUAGUCUGCUUGGUAUCGGAUAUUAGAAUUUUUUUUGUUAGCCUGUUAACGUCGAAAUCCUCAGAGACACAAGUCCAUACCUUCAGAUCAAAAUGAUCCUGCACUCGCUUAUCUUUGUAGACAAGCUGAGCAAGAGUAGUUUUGCCCAGGCCACCCAUACCUAUAAUAGGAAUAACAGAGAAUCCACCAUCGUUGCUUAAAUCAUCCCUCAACAGCAGUUCAACAACAUCCUUCUUUUCUGUUUCCCUGCCAUAUACUGUGGGUUCCUCCACCAAAGAGGUUGUCUCCUCUAGCCUUUGCCUGGCUUUUUUGGACCCCCCAGCUAAACUUUUUAUCAAAUUCAGCGAGCGUAUUCCUUCUUCAAUAUCUUGAAAUCUGCUGUUGGUCUCUUUGAUUUUGGACAUCAUGGCGUAAUCGAACUGAAUCGAUUGUGGAGUAAAAGUGGUGCAGCAAGUAGGAAUGAGCUUCCGAAACUUACUUGUUCUUGUACGACUGCUACUGGGUUGAUCAUGAGCAGCAGCUGGUUCUCCAUUCCCAAGCAGCAACCUCCUCCGGAAAGCCUCAGUUUGAAACUCAUCCAACAAGUCUUCAACAUCAUAAGCCAAGUUCUGAAGCUUGCCAAGCCACUUCUUCACAAACUGAUUAGUCGUCUUCUUCUCCUCAGCAUCAUCAAGCACCGCCUUGAUCAUCUCCAACAUAUUCGCCCACUUCAUUAGAUCGUCUUGGAUCUUCUCUUGGCGUGCAAAAAACAGAAUCCCCUCUGAAGCUAACUUAUUGACCAGCAAAUCAACGGACACAGUUAGGAUUGCCUCUCCGAUGAAUGACAUUUUUUUUUCUUUUUUUGGGCAAAGGAAGAAAGGAGCAGAAUUAUGGGUUAUGGAAAGCAGAAUGAGAAAAUGGAACAUGAGUGAGAAAAUGGAUAAUUAAGCAGAAUGAGUUUGUGAUUGUGAAGGGUCUGGCCCAGCUAGAAAUCACGCGUUUAUACUUUAUUGACCAAUGACUAAUAAUUUGGCAAUUCACUCAUCACCACCACUUGGUGAGGAAAAUGCUUAGUAAUUAAGUGUCAAGGGUCACGCAAAAUACGGCGUCAAACGUGGCAAGUCUCCCCACUUGUUGUUCCUUGCAGCUAAGAAAAGAAAAAACAGAGCCGUAAUUAAUGACAGAAUUUUAAAAAUAAUAAUAAGAGAAAAACCUACAUUUUUUUUUAAUCUCAAUGCGCAGUCGUAUCAUAAUGUUAUAUUCAUGUUGUAAAACGAAAUUUUAGAUAAAACAAAUUCGACUCAUUUGUUAACGAUAUAUAUUUAGUAGGUUUCUAACAUAACUAAUAAAACGUGAUUAUUACACUAAAUGAAAUAAAAGACAGUACUUCCUCUAAUAGUUUAGCAAGUUUCGCAUGCUCGUGUUUCCGGAAACAUUAUAUGGAAUCAAUCAACAGUGAUACAAAGAGAAAAAUGGUAAUCCUAUCGCUGUUUUUUUUUUCUUUUUCAAAAGAGAUGGUGGGGUUGGGUUGUUUGCAAAGUUAAUAGCGUGGGUCUAUUUGUUUUUGUUUUAACUUUAUUAAUCAAUUAGUGAAGCAAACACGUAAUGAUUUGUAAAGAUCACUAGCAUUAGAUUAUUGAGAGGUAUUGCGCUUAGUAUUCACAAUUUUUGUAAGAUGAAUUUGUAAGACUUAUGAAUUUCGAUGAAAAUGUAUGGUUGUUAAGCUAUUAUUUAAUUCAUUAAUUCACUAAUUGUAACAGUAAGUGUGAAUUAAUGAGAAAAAGUGUGAAUUAAUUCGUUAUUAAGCUUUUUUUUUUUUUUUUUUUUGCAAAGAAAGAAACAGAAUUUGGAGUUUUGAAAAGCAAAAUGAGAAAAUUGUAACAGUAAGUGUGAAGGGUCAAGCAAAAUGCGUGUAGCAAGUCUUCCACUUGUUGUUUAUUCCAGUAAAGUGAAAAAUAAAAGGGAGAGCCCACCACCCAUUAAUAAUUUAGCAAUUCACCAAUCACCAGUCACCACCACUCGCUGCCAGAUUCAAUGAAUAUAAAAUCGCACGUUGAUAUUUGUAGGGUCAAGCCACGUUAAUCCAGUGUCCGGGUAAAUGCUGAUUGAAGAGGAAAAUGGAAUGCAUCUACCACGAACCUUCGCUUUACAAAUCUUCAAACUAAAUCAAAACGUUUCUCUCUCUCUCUCUCUCUUUCUGCCAUUAACUUACUUUAUUUAUUGAAUUAAUUUCCAUGCUGAAACGAAGACUUAAAAAGUACACCACAAUUUUUUAAUAAUUACAAUGAGAAUUCCUACCAUCAUGUUAUAUUACUGCCGUGCCAAAAUAAAUUAUAACAAAAUUUUAGCUGACCAUAAAUUUGACUCAUUUAUACUUAAUAAAAUAACAAGACGAUUAAUGUGUCAUCAACUGAAAUAACUCUAAUGUGAAAACAAAAAAAGUCCCGCCACCAAUAAUUUAGCAAACUUCACUUUUUUUUUUUCUUUUUUUUGAAAAAGUAGCAAACUUCACUUUAUUACACUAAAGUGAAACCAAGAGUCAGAAGCAGCCCCCACCACCAUCAAUAAUUUAGCAAGCAUCACGCGCUUGUGCUUCUCUUCUUGACGAACUGGACAUGGGUGGACCAAGCAUCCAUUGAAUAGUUGGAAAAACUAAAAAAUAAAAAUCAGUGCCCCGCAAAAAGAAUCCAUCUCAUAUGUAAUACAAGUGUCAAGAUUUAAUUAGAGUUCACAUAUAUACAUGCGUUUAGUUUUAAUUGUGGGAUAAAUUAAUCAUUAAUACUCAAGUAUUUCUAAAUAAUUGAAACAGUUAUCUGUUGUAAUAACAGUUGUAAAUAUUUUAAUAUUUAAAAAUAAUAAUAUUAUUGAUAUUUACAAAAUUUUUAGGAAGUGAUAACUAAUAUACUAGGGAUAUAUAUUUGUGGGGAAUGGUAAAUAUAGAGAAUAACAAUAAAAAAAUAUUAGAACUGUAAUAUAAAUUACUAUAAGUAAUUAUAUUUAUUUGGUUUGUCUAUUUAUAAAAUUAUGAAAUAAAUUAAAAAUAUAUAUACAUACAUAUAAUGUUAUAAAAUAUAAAAUCCAACCUUUCUAGGGUGAAAUAAAAGCCUAGCCCAAUGUGCCCCAAAAAUAUGUCUGGGUUGGAUCCAGGCAUUGCCAUACCCGAACUUGACCCCUAGUUUUGCCAUUACUCUAGAUCGUUAUAAAUAUUCUAAAUUUCAGUCUAAUUUACUUGUGUGAUGCAAAAAUUACAUUUAUCACUUCUUUCAAAUAAAUACUCAUAAAUUUCACCUAAAUUGUCACCCAAAAAAAGAGAAAAAUGUAUAGUUAAUUUUUCUAUUUCUUUACUCCAUUAUUCAAUGGGAAUAUAAUAAAUUAGGAGAAAGGAGAAAUUAAAGACAAUAUUAGAGUGCUUGUUGCAAUGAUAAAAUCUCAUGCAAAUGCUUAUUUCAGAUGUAAGCGAGGCAUUCAUUAAUUUGACCAAAAAUAAGUGAAUUUAUUUGUAUUUUAAUCAAAAUCGAGGGAUAUAAACAAAAUUUUCCCACUCCAGAUAUUUAUCAUUUUCUCGUUAGAAAAUAAAAUUGCAUAAAAUUAAGAAACCAGUAGGCACUGAAAGAGAGAAACAGACUGAGAAGAGAUCAAAAGAUGGAUUUGGAACUGAAAGAGAGCUUGGGCUGAUUCAUUCAUGAUAAUAUUCUGCGUUCGCUGUGAUAGAGACAAAAGUUGGCUCUUUGUAUGGUUCCCCACUGACGGCGCCAAAUGUCGAUGCCAAAAUUUGGACUAAUUAGUUACAUACUGGAUACCAAAUUUUGCGUCAGCAUUAAAUUUAUUUGUUAGGGAAGCGGCUUACAAAUCACCAAGGACGCCCUGCGAUCACUAGCAGAUAACUCGCAAACACCUGAAAUCAUAAAGAAUGGUAAGAGGCGCCAUAAGUUUUUCCAGCGUGAACUCUCUAACAGUCAAGUUAGUUAUCGGGUUUACAAGAAAAAUAAAAUAUGCAAUUUCUAUUUUUUUUAAUAAAUAAUCUUAAGUAAAUGUAAAAGAAAAAUCAAAAUUGAGAAAGAAAGGUGAGCCUCCCUCUUUAUUUAUUCCCCUAGGGAUUUUUUAUAAAGAUUUAACUUUCCCCCCACUCCCCCCCCCGCCCCCCAACAAAAUCUUUGUGAUCAGAAGAUGGAUGAGAUAAAAUAUGAGCCCCCCAAAAUGAUCUCAAUCAUGGAGGAGUCCUCCCUAGUUUGUUGCCCUAUUUUCGAAUUUGUUCUCCUCUUCUCUCGAAAGUUAAGGAUGAGAUAAAAGUAACCCCUUCACUCUCCAUUUUUUUCCUCACCAAACAGUUACGAAUUUAAAAUAUGAGUAUGAUUUAAUAAGAGAGAAUGAGAAUUGAUGAUGUCCCAAGAGACUGAAAAUAAAAGAUUAUACAAAUUUGCAUGGAGGCAUAUCAUAUAUUAAUCUUAAUUUUUUGUUGUUCAAAUAAUAAAUUAAUUCCAUUAAUCCUUUUUCUAAUUAUAUGGUGUGUAACACAUUGGCCACUUCUGAAUUAUGUUGAAUAUUUGUUAACUCAAAUAAAUAGUACACUUUUCUAUCAAUCUAACUCACUUUAUUAAUAUUCUUCAUCAUUAUGGUUAAUGGCUUAGCAAAUGUAGAACAAGGAGUUUUGAGUUUUCUGUUAUAAUACCAGGUCAUCUGGUCUUGAUUCUUUUCCUAUUUUGUUGCAUUAUUUGUUUAGUUUCCAGCUCUAAGACUAUUAUAAAUAGUCAGUUUUGAGUUGAAUAAAGGGAGCAUUACAGAAACAUUUGUCCUCUCUUUUAUCUCUCUACUUCCUUCUUCUUCUUAACUCUUAUUCUAAAUCAUACUAUAUCAUUUUGUUUCAGAUUUUGGCUGAUACUUGCCCUUUUGAAUGACUCGGGGGUCAAGUAUUGCUUCAAGCUGAGGAAGAAUAAUACAAUCGUCUGAUACAAGAGGAAGUUGAUUUGAAGACGAGGUGUGAAUAGGUGCCAAAUGCUUCCGAAGCAUGCUAACAUGAAACAAGUUAUAAAUUUGUGAGCUUGAGGGUAGAGCCAACCGAUAUGCUAUUGUCCCCACCUUCCCAAUAAUUUGAUAUGGCCCAAAAAAUCAAGGAGCAAGCUUAAUAGAAGCACGAAAGGCCAUUGACGUCUGUCGAUAUGGUUGGAGCUUGAGAUACACAUAGUCACCAACCUCAAAGGAUACCUCUCGAUGUUUUAAACCUGCCCGGCUUUUCAUUCGUUGUCUUGCCAAAGAGAGGUUGUGGCAGAGCUCUCGUAAAAUUGUGUCGCGAUCCCGAAGGUACUCAUCCACUGCUUGGAUAUGGGAAGUGCCAGGAACAUAAGUAAGCAAGUGAGGUGGAGGAAUACCUUAGACAGCUUCAAAUGGGGUCAUUUUGGUGGCAGAAUGGAUGGACGUUUUUUAGUUUAAUUCAGCCCAUGGAAUCCAUUCAACACAUUUUCGUGACUGAUCUCCGGCAAAACAUUGCAAGUAUUGCUCUAAAGUACGGUUCACUACCUCAAUUUGGUCAUCCGUCUGAGGAUGGUAACUAGAACUCAUACUAAGUUUAGUUCCUUGUAAUUGAAAUAAUGCUUGCCAAAAUGAACUUACAAAUACUUUAUCCCGAUCACUUACAAUGUCUGUUGGAAUGCCAUGGAGACGAACCACAUUAGCUACAAAUGCUUUAGCAAUCGUGACUGCCGUGUAUGGAUGUUUGAGAGCCACAAAAUGAGCAUACUUGGAUAAGCGAUCAACAAUUACCAUGAUGACAGUAUAACCAUUUGACGACGGAAGUCCCUCGACAAAAUCCAUUGAUACUUCAGUCCAUAUCUGAAGAGGAAUGGGUACUGGUUGCAGCAAACCGGCCGGACACAUAAAAUCAGAUUUGUACCUUUGGCAGAUGGUACAGUGCUAUAUAAAUUCCUUCACAAUUUUAUGCAAGUUUGGCCACCAGAAGCCGAGUUUAAUACGAGAUAGUGUCUCAUGGAACCCAAAAUGCCCACCAACUGGAGACGAGUGACGAUCAGUCAUGACUUGUGAAAUUAAAGUAGAAGUGGGAUUCAAAUAAAUUCUACCCCUUUUAAACCAUACUCCAUCUCGUUGUGCCAACUGUUGUGAUGAAUGAGAAUGACUCAGUUUCUUAUAAAAAGAGUCAUGUUGUACCUCUCCUUGCAAUUUUUGCCACCAAUCUACAUGUGGUCCCAAAAUAGACAUGAACCGAAAUUCAACAACACUAGAGAGUGAGUUAGCAGCUUGAUUUUCAGGUCCGCGUUUAUACUCAAUUUUGUAGUCAUAACCAAGGAUCUUUGAAAGCCAUCGAGCCUGUGCAGGAGUGGUAAUUCGCUGCUCAAGUAAAUACUUGAGGCUUUUUUUAUCGGUGUGGACAGUAGAUGGUUUCUCGAGGAGAUAUGGGCGCCAUUUCCGAAUUGAUUUGACAACAGCCAACAUUUCUUUCUCAUAGGUAGAUAGUAAUAAUGUCGUCCCUUUCAAAGCUUCACUAUAGUAUGCUAUUGGCUGGUUAUUCUGAGUGAGUACUGCUUUCCAAUCCCGCUAGCAUCACAUUCGAUUACGAAUUGUUGAGAAAAAUCUGGAAGGCUUAGGACUGGUGGAGACGUUAGUGCUUCUUUUAGCUUGGUAAAAGCUAACUCGGCUUCCUCGUUCCACUUGAAUCCUUCAUUUGAUAACAACUGAUAUAAAGGGGCUGCUAUACAUCUGAAGUGGCGGAUAAUUUUUCAGUAACAGCCUGCUAGGCCGAGGAACCCCCGUACUUCUCUGACAGUGGUUGGCGAUGGCUAUUCAAGAACAGCUUGUAUUUUGGAGGGACUUACUACUACUUCUUGUUCUGAAAUGACGUGACCCAAAUAAUCCACCUGAGAAACACCAAACCUGCAUUUUGCUUCCUUAACAAAUAAUUUGUUAGUAUGCAAAAUAGAGAGAACAAUCCGAAGAUGUGCAAGGUGAUCAUUCCAUGUCUUUGAGUACACGAGGAUGUCAUCAAAGAAGACUAAGAUAAACUUCCUUAGAUAAGGGCGAAAAAGAUCAUUCACGAGGCAUUGGAAGGUGGAUGGGGCGUUGGUCAAGCCAAACGGCAUACGAGAUAUUUGUAGUGCCCUUCGUGUGUUCUAAAGGUUGUUUUUGGUAUAUCCGCAUCUUAUACUCGAAUUUGGUGAUACCCAGCCCUUAAAUCUAACUUGGAGAAGAGUUUAGCUCCAUGGAGCUCAUCUAGAAGUUCAUCAAUUACAGGAAUUGGGUAUUUAUCUUUGAUCGUGAUGUUGUUCAAUGCACGGUAAUCCACACAAAAUCGCCAAUCACCAUAUGCUUUUUUUACUAAGAGGACUGGUGAUGAAAAUGGACUUUUACUCGGUCUUACCAGCCCUGAUUGCAAAAUUUCUCUCGCCAUCUUCUCUAUUUGUGUUUUCUGGUAAUAAGGGUAACGGUAGGGUCUUACGUUGACAGGGUGUGUAUUUGGUUGUAGUGGGAUGUAGUGAUCAUGUGGUCUCUUUGGCGGCAGGCCCAUAGGUGGCUUAAAAACAUUAGAGAAUUCGGUUAAAAUCUGAAUUAUGUCACCUAGGUAAAGAUUCGGCUGGAAAUUAUUGGGAGAAAGAGAGAUUUGGAAUAAGAAUCCACUACCUUGAACAGAGUUGAAUUCUUUAUCAGAUAAGGUCGCUAAAGGGGUGUGUUUAAGACCUUGGAAUGUGUAGGUCUCUUAUCCAGCUUUGUAGGUCAUCGUCAACUGCUGGUAAUCCAUCUCUAUUGGUCCAAUAGUCUCUAGCCAUUGCACACCCAAAAUCAAGUGAUAGGCUGCCACAUGAAGCACAAAAAAACAGCAGUAAUUGAUUUACCUUGAAUGGAGAUCGUGAGUGCUUGGCACAGGCCUUUGCAUUCGAUUUGUUCUUGGUUGGCGACCGUCACUUGGAACUUUUUUUUUUUGAAGAACAGGUAGCCCAUAUUUAGUGACUACAGCUUGAUCAAUGAAAUUGUGCGUGCUGCCGCCAUCUAUGAGCACCGUUACCGAUUUGUUCUUCAGUUUACCCAUCACACAGAAUGUUUGCGGAUGACUGGCUCCUGAAAUGGCGUAGGUAGAAACUUCAGGCAUGACUUCAUGGUCCUCAGAUUCAGGUUCGGCAGGUUCCUUAGCAAGGUUUAUUUGAUUCGAAUCCUCUAUCAUGAAUAAUUGCGGCCUUUGGCAACAGUGACCGGGAACAAAUUUUUCGUCACAAUAAUAACAAAGUCCAUUUGCCAUCGUUCUCGUGCCUCUUGAUUUGUGAUGCGUCAAAAUGGAAUUGUUGAAUUGCUGGCAUUUUGGUUUAUUUUGGAAGUUGAUGGGGGCCUAAUACGCCACCGGAAUGGUGUGGUAUGAUUCUUUGUGCUCCUGUAAUUGCGGAUGGACGAAAGGAAGUGCUUAUUUUCUUUUGCAGGUUAUUUCAUUCCUCAACUAGUCGAGCAACUCCAAUAGCAUUAGUUAAUGUUCGCGGCUGCUUGAUUUUGACAUCCAAGCGAAUUUCAUCUUUGAGACCUGCAAUAAAACAACCCACAAAAAAUUUUUCAGGUAAUUCGUCAAUACAGUGGCAUAAUUUUUCGAAAGCCUCCUAGUAAGCCUUUAAAGUUGAGGUCUGUUUUAAUCGUGUGAGAGCUUCAAAGGGAUCUUCAUAGUCUAUUGGGCCAAACCUUUGAAGCAUGGCUUUUGUGAAUUCUUGCCAAGAUAAUGGUCCCUUAAAUUUUGUUAACCACCGAUGCCACUGUAAGGCAAUACCUUCAAGAUGGAAAGAGGCAAGUUGAACUUAUAGGCUUGGUGUAAUGUUUUUAAAUUCAACGUAUUGUUCUGCCUUGUAAAUCCAACCGCUUGGGUCUUCUUCGUUAAAUCAUGGGAAGUGAAGUUUGAGGUGGUGAUAUUGUGCAUUUGGUGUGUGGGGUGUGUUAGUGUUUGUGGUAUGUGAGGUUUCUCUGGGGUAAAAAGGGUUGAUUUCAGGCUAGAUGGUUGGUUGAGGUCGAGACUCACAAAGCUUGUAACUCAGUUAACACCUUAUGCAAGGAAUCAUUGAUCUGAUCAAAAUUGGAUUCAUGUCGAGCUAAGGCUUUGUUGACAUCAUUGCGGAAUUCGGCAUUAGAUUUACCGCGAGUGUCCAUUGACAAACCGACUUUGAUACCAAAAUGAUAUGGUAUAAUUUAGAAUAAGAGUUAAGAAGAAGGAGGAAGCAAAGAGAUAAAAGAGAGGGAAAAUGUUUCUAUAAUUCUCCCUUUAUUCAACUUAGAACUGAUUAUUUAUAAUAGUCUUACAGCUGGAAACUAAACAAAUAAUGCAAACAAAAUAGGAAAAGAAUCAAGCUCAGAUCACCUGGUAUUAUAACAGAAAACUCAAAACAGAAUGUUAAAGACUAGCUCCACUAGUUUAUUAACAGAAUUGAUGACCAAGUCUUACAAAGCACAUGUAUCACUGUUGUAGUUAAAAUAAUUUUAAAACAAGUUAAAACAGUUCCAACUCAAAAUCAGUAGGCUGCAAUUGGGUUGUUACACAUAUUUCUAAAUUUCACUCUAAUUUAAUUGUGUAUGGACAAACUAACUUUGUCACUUCUUUCAUAUUAUUACUCAUAAAUUUCAACCUUAUUAUGAUGAUGCACAAUCUAACUUAACAAAAAUAAUGUUCAAAUUGUCACAAAAUGUUUUUUUCUUAAAAAAGAAAAGAAAAUCAUAUAUAGUAGUUAAUUUUUCUUCAUCUUUACUCCAGGAUCCAACUCCGUACUCCACUUUUUUGUUGUUAUUGUACCCAGCCGUUAGAUUUUAAUUACAUUGAUUUAACGGUUUGGAUUUGUAAAUGAAUAACGACGUAGUGUUUGGCUACCAUAUGAACCCACUGCAUCUAAUUGGUUUUGUGAUUUUUUGCUUUCUUCUCUGUAACGCCUGACUAGUUCUGGAAAUAUCGACCGCCAUCGACAACAAAUCUGAACCAUGUAUUAUUUCUUAGUAGUGGGCAAAUAAAGUUUGCCCACUACUAAGAAAUAAAGUUUCCACCACCGUACCAGUGUGUCGAUUUGCGAAUACAUUCAUUCAAAUAUUAAACAUUCAGAGAAGAAAGCAAACCGUGGCAGGAUAGCAAAACCUGCAAAUGGUCAUUCCCAACACGAACCCCUAUGGCUGUUUUCCUUUUAAUUUUCUUCUUUGAAUUCUCCUUUUAUUAAUCAUUCGAAAAACUCCCUUUUUUUAAAUCAUGUGUUAUUAACAUUUACAUGGUUAAUGUCAUCGAAAUCAAAUGGUUGUUAUCUACGAAAAGAGAAUUGCUAGAAAUUUUGUUAGUCCCAUUGCAACAAUAUAUUGUUAUAAAUUGCAUUGUUUCCCAUAUAACAAAUAUAAUAAAAUCUCAAUAAAUUAAUAGUUUUGGGAACAAUAAAAAAAUUUAUUAAAAUUUAACAAAUAUCAAUUAAUCAAUAAAUUAUUAAAUUAUUAAUUUAUGAAAAUAUUCAUUAUUUUGAAAAAAACAUGAUCACGUUUUUAAUAUUGAUUUCCCUUGAGUUAACAUCUAUUAUGUUUUAUUUGUCUAUUAGUUUUAUCUUGGGAAGAUUUUUUAAGAGUUAGCUGCUUUAUAUUAAGUUAUUAACAGUAAUAAAAUUAUUAGUUGAUACUGGCGAAUUUUCUGACCAAAAUCGUACAAAGUAGUUGAAAGUGUUUAUUUUUGUUAUUUCAUGACAUUCUAACAAACUAUAUGGGGUCACAAAAAGGUUGAUACCCCUACUUCUUGUUCUUUUUUUCCUCAAGGGUCAAGCAAAAUACGACGUAAAAUGUGGCGAGUCUUCCCACUUGUUGUUCUUUGCAGCUAACAAAAGAAAAACAGAGCCCGCCACCCAUUAAUAAUUUAGCAAUUCACCAAUCACAACAAAAUUCCAUUAGAUAUUCGUCGAUCAAGUAGUUAAUCCAGUGUCUGCUACGUAGAGCCUUCACUUUACGAAUCUUCAACUCAUAAACCAAGUUAAAUCAAGACGUUUCUCUCUCUGUAUAUAUAUUUUUUAACUCCUAAAACGUUUCUUUUUAGAAAUAUUUUACUUUAUUCAUCUAAUAUGUUAUCUAACAAAUUGACACAGAUGAAAUCACUCUAAAGUGAAGAUAAAAGGGGAAAAAAAAAACAUUCCAACCACCAAUAAUUUAGCAAGCUUCACUUUUAUUCCACCAAAGUGUAAAUAAAGCCAGCCCCCACCACCAUCAAUAAUUUAGCAAGCUUCACACGCUUGUUGUCUUCUCCUUGUCGAACUGGACGGGGUGGACCAAGAAUCAAUGAAAGAAUUUUAAAAAUAAUAAUAAAAGAAAAACAUAAACAUUUUGGACUCAGAGUAGAACCGUAAUUAAUGCUAAAAUUUACUCCGCUAACGUUUUCAAAAUAUUGUUCUUUAUAAUUGUCCAGCAAAUAAGACUAAGUUUUGGACAUUUUCAUUCUUCACUUACUUUCAAAAGCAAUAUUUCGAAACAUUUUACAGAAUCAAGUAACAGUUAUAUAACGAGAAAAGUGCAAAGUUGUGUAAUUCUAAUGUUUUUUUUAUCACAGACACUCAGAUCAUUUUUUAUUUGGGUCGCCAACUCGCCAAUGAACCCAUGAUUGAAUGAGUGUUUAGAAAGAAAAUCAAUAAAAAACAGUUUAUUUUUGGCCGUCGAAAUAUAGUAAGUGAGAAAGAUUAUUCUUUUUUUUUGUUAAUCAGGUUAGUAAUUAUGAUUGAGUGACUCAGAAUUAUAUUCUAGAUUGAGAAUCAAUGGUUCUCCAAUCUCCCACACUGAGAGGCUGUAAGUUUAAGAUUGUCGUUUGCUAUUAAUUUCAUUGACAAGAGAGCACUUGAAUUUAUUAAAAGGAGAAGGCUAUAAAGGUUUUCCUUUAUGAGAAAUGUAUCUGAUCAUUCCUUUUUACUUGAAAAUUUCAUAUAUAAAAACUUAUUAAUAAAUGAAAGAAUAUGCAUAAACUAUUAAUUCAUUUUAUAGUGAUUAUCGAAUGACAUGUGACCCAUGGAAGCAUGGAGUCUAUAAAAUAAUUCUUUUUUUUUUAUUAAACAAAAAAUCGGUGAUGUUGAAAAGUAAUAUUAUUAUUACUCUAAUUGGGGUGAACAUUCAUAAAAAGAAUGCCGUAUGAAACUAAAUUAUUAAUUCGUUUGAUAGUUGGUUAUUGAAAGAGCAAAGCAGUCACUUCAAAACUAAAUUAUUACACGUGCACAUGCAGCACAUCUAUCUAAAAUUUAAAAAACGGAAUUAGAAAUACAGGAUUUAUGGUAGAAAUACAACAGGAAUAAGAGUGAAAUUCCGAUUUUAAAAUUUGGGAGAAAUGAAAUGCGAUAUUUUUUUAUGAAUAAAAUAAUUUAAUUUUUUUUUUUUAAUUCUACCAGCAAAAACCAUUAACUUGUCAAGUUAUUGGUUUCAUUUACAGCUGACAGUCGGUUUCUUAGUUUCAUUCCUUAAUUCUACAAGAAAAAAAUAGAAUACUUAACAUUUUUUAUUUGACAAUUUUUAAGAAAUGUCAAAAAUAUAUGACAUUUUGUGAAAAACUGAGUAAUUGUGAAAUAUAAAUGACAAUUUAUUUAAACGUCAAAUAAUUAUGACGUUUAUCAAAUAAAUGAUAAAUAUAUUACAUAUUUAUUGAAUAAUUAUUAUUUACCUUUUCCUUUUAUUGACUUGAGAAAAAAACAAAAAAAACUGACUAUACUGCUUUUGUUUUUGUUCUUAGAACAGAUUUUAGUUUCUUUUGAGAAAAUUCAAACUCAUUCCCAUUACUUUCUUUUCAAUAAUCACCUCUCAGGUUUUCGUCAAUCACUCAAUUCCGAAUUUCAUCUCCAUUCUCUUUCGAAGAAGAACGCACGGAGAAUUUUAGCUUGCUUUCGCUGCUUCUCGAAUAUUGGGUAUUGUUUCUGUUGAGUACAUAAAAGCCCCAGGUCGGCCAUGCUACUAUUUCCACCCCGGCAUGGAUCACCUCGGCCAAAUGGUAUGAGCAGAACGCGGGAUGAACACGAGCCAACCAGAGACGAGUACCGGCCAGGGUAAUGUACCGACCAGAAUCUUAUACCGAGCCGACACCAAUUCCCCAAAAAAGCGGGAACACGAUCCCACAGAAUCACGGUAGUUGCGCUUUUCCUAGAACCGUUGUGGGAGAUGCGAGAUCCCACGUUUGCCCACAAUGUAGCAGUUAAAAUCCCAUGAGAGGCUACCACUACUCGAGAAAGGGGGGGAUGAAGGGUGAGUGAAAACGUGGGACAGCGGCUAUAAAAGAAGAAGAAACCGAUGAAGAAAGGGACAGAAAAAUUGAGAGAGGGAAAACGCUGCCAAAUUGCAAUCAGGCCAUUUUCUUACAAGACUCCGAAUAAUUUAGAAACCAUUUUUAGAUCUAAAUUGCACUGUUUUCCCAUAAACACCUUGAGCUAACUUAGGCAUCGGAGGGUUUACGCCGGCAAAACCAUUGGCGACUCUGAUCCGUUUUUGGUGAACGCAGGUCUAGUAAGAGAAAGAAGGGUGAUUCCAACCUCAGAGGUUCGCGCAACAGUUGACAACAUAAACGUUGGUGAAAGAAUCUGGUCGGUCAAAAGGCGAGCAGAUUUAAGCAUCAACAUUUUGGCGCCGUCUGUGGGGAGCUGGAUAAAAAGCUACCACCGAAUUAGUAGUUACCGGAGAAACAGCGAACGAUCAGACAUGGAUUUGCCAAGGAAGGACGCUUUGAGGGAGGAUAACGAAUCGGGGGAGACAAUCACCCUUCGGGAAAUUGCAAAUGAAGCCCGAGAGAGGGUGAUGCAAGAUCGAUUGGAACGGAUGGAGAAGCAAAUGGAGACUCUCGCUACCAUACUGAAUGAGUUGAGAGAUGAACGGAGAAGGGAUGGCGAAAUCCCCGUGGGGAGAGAUGAUGUGGGAGCAGAGCCCAACCUCCGGAGGCGUAGAGUCGAGGAGAUCCCUCCGCCGGCGGACCAACCUUAUGGGGUGGAUCCCCACAGAAGUACUGGUCGGGUUCCUGGAGAACAAGUAGAUGAAGGGAGGAACCAACCUCUCCCCAGGCGAGUACCGGAAGCUGAUGGCCGAGGAGCCAGUGCUGAUGAAGGAGAGUUAAGACAGCGGUUGCAGAAUGUCGAGCAUGAGCGAGAUCAGAUAGAUGCACGUGAUCCUGACCGUGUUGUAGAAUUGGAGGGAGAGGUGCGCAGACUGGCGUAGGUGAUGGAGGAGAUACAAGGCAAGAGAAAGCCCCCGAGCUGGAGGAUAAUGCUGGAUGAGGAAUCCCCGUUGUCAGCCGAGAUCAUGGGUACAGUAAUCCCAAGAGAUUUCCGCUUUCCCGACUUCAAAUACUCCGGUCGAAGUGAUCCCCUGGUGCAUAUUGAGCGUUUUAACGACAUGACGGGGGUGCAGGGGUUGACACCAGCUCAGAGGUGUAGGGUGUUCCCGUUGACUCUCGAGGGGCGAGCCCGAGAAUGGUACCGCAAGCUGCCCCGAGGAGGUAUAAAAAGGUACGAGCAGAUGUGCCAAGAGUUGGUCGAACAGUUCCGAGGUGCAGUAGCCCCAGAGGACGACAUGAUGGAACUGAUGGGGAUGAAACAGGAGGAGGAUGAGUCCCUUCGGGAUUUUGUAAAGCGAUAUCACCAGGCCGUGCUAGACUUGGGAGCUUUUAAUCACCCACAGGCGCUGAGGGGAUUAAAAGAAGGUGUAAGAAUCGGCCGAUUGUGGUAUAACUUGAGAAGCCCCCUUGUGCAGAAUUAUUCGACGGGGUAUGAACAGGCGAGGUGAGACAUAGAGAUCAAAGAGGAGAAAUCGGCAAGGAUAAAGAGUGAACAGCUGGAAGAGCUGAGGCGAAAAGAACGGAGAGUCCCGAUCGGGAGCAGAUCGGGAAAACGAGCUGGGGAAUCAUCAGUUAUGGGCGGAAUAUCAGCUCGGUCCCGCCCUUACCCCAUAGCUCAUAGGCCGCAACAGUUCCAACACAGCCGAGCCCAACCUCCGCGCACCCCGUUUCCGGAGCAGCAACGAGAAUUCAGGCAGAUGGCUGCCCACCCUUAUCACAACACUCCCAGAGGGUUACGUGCAACUGGUUCCAGAUCUGGACGACCAGAUCAGCUAGCAACUAUACCUGCCAGAGAUGACGUUCAUGAUAGCCGAGCAGUUCAGCUGGUAGACCAGAGCUUGGCCUAUAGACAGUACACUCCAUUAAAGAUCUCUAUGGAGGAAUUGUAUGAGAGGAUCGAGGGACGAGGCCUGCUGUACCCUCCCACCUAAUAACAAAACCUGCUCAUCGACGGGAUAAGAGCAGAUUCUGCAAAUUCCACGACACUCACGGUCACACUAUCAGCCAAUGUCGUGACCUGAAGAUUCAGGUGGAGGAUUUAGUAAGGAACCGAUACUUGGAUGAGUAUGUAGACGGAGUGUCCCCUAUCAUUGAGUCAGAGUACACACGGGAUGAAGGAGUUGAGAGGGGUCUGGAACGAGAACAGCCGACCAUCCGUGUGAUAGCAGGAGGGCCAACAUUGGCCGGGGAUUCAAACAGAGCACGGAAGAACUAUAGGAGAUACGCCAUGACUGGCAAAGAGGUGCUUCUAAAUUUGCCAGCAGCCAAGAGAGCAAAAGUGCGGCAAGUUCCCAUUAUGUGGACGGAGGAUGACGAAGAGGGUAUUUUGUAUCCUCAUGAGGAUGCCUUGGUGAUUAAGGCAAUGGUGGCCGGUACAGAAUUGCGACGAAUACUAGUGGACAUGGGCAGCUCAGUCGAUAUUCUGUUUAAGUCGGCCCUAGAUGAUAUGGGAAUUUCAGACCUAAAGCUGGAACGGACGAAUACAUCCUUGAAGGGAUUUAGAGGGGGACGGUUAACUCCCAUGGGGAUCAUUGAACUCCCGAUUACUAUGGAAAUAAAGCCGUUUGAAAGAACGACGAUGCUGGACUUUGUCGUGGUAGAGGAAAGAAGCCCUUACCAGAUGAUAUUAGGGAGGCCAUUCAUGAGGAUAAGCCAAUGCGUUGUAUCCACGCAUUACCUGGCGCUGAAGUAUAGAGUAAACGGAAUGGUUGGUGUAGUCAAAGGCGACCAGAGGAUGGCAAGGAGCUGUUAUGCUACAGCAGCCAAAGAGACACUAUAGGUUACUUCUCUAGAUAAUCGAGGAGAUUCAAAAAAGGGUCGCCAAGAACCUGUUGAGAAGCUAGAGGAGGUUGUGGUAAGCAAAAACAACCCGAGCAGAGUGGUUAGGAUUGGAUCAGGAUUGGUCGGGGCAAUAAAAGGAGAGCUGGUAAAGUGCCUACAGUCCCAUGCAGAUAUAUUCGCCUGGUCUCACGAGGACAUGCCAGGAAUUGAUCGCGGGGUAGCUUGCCACAGGCUGGCGAUCAAGAAAGGGGCGAGGCCGGUGAGGCAGAAGAGGAGGUGCUUUAACCAGGAAAGGUAUGAGGCCAUAAAUGCCGAGGUUGAGAAAUUGUUGAAAGCAAGAUUUAUAAGGGAGGCCAAAUACCCGGAGUGGAUUUCCAAUGCAGUACUGGUAAAGAAGGCCAACGGGAAAUGGAGAAUGUGUGUGGAUUUCACAGACCUUAACAAGGCAUGCCCGAAGGACAGUUUUCCCUUACCAAAGAUAGAUCAAUUGGUGGACUCCACAGCUGGUCACAGUCUGCUCAGCUUCAUGGAUGCCUUUUCAGGAUACAACCAGAUACCCAUGGACGAGCAAGAUGAGGAGAACACCACCUUUAUAACUAACAUGGGUUUGUUUUGCUACAGGGUGAUGCCUUUCGGCAUGAAAAAUACAGGAGCUACCUACCAAAGGUUGGUGAACAAGAUCUUCAAGCCCUUGAUCGGACAUACAAUGGAGGUAUAUGUGGACGAUAUGAUCACAAAGUCCAAAGAAUCGAGGGAUCACGUGAAGCACCUUGAAGAAACCUUUGAAUUACUGAGGAAGUAUGAGAUGAAGCUAAACCCGGAGAAAUGUGCAUUUGGGGUCAGCUCGGGCAAAUUUCUGGGAUUCCUGGUGAGCCACCGAGGGAUUGAGGCCAACCCAGAAAAAAUACGGGCGGUUACGGAGAUGAGGUCUCCACGGACAGUUAAGGAGGUGCAGAGCCUUACAGGGAAGUUGGCAGCGCUGAACCAAUUCAUCUCAAGGGCCACAGAUAAAUGCCACCAUUUCUUCCAAACCAUAAAGAAAGGGAGAAAGAUGGAGUGGACGGCAGAGUGCGAGGAAGCAUUUGGGCAGCUGAAGGAAUAUCUAAUCCGUGCCCCGUUGCUAUCAACUCCGAGAGCGGGUGACCAGCUGUUUCUGUACUUAGCAAUCUCUAAAUGGGCUACCAGCUCAGUUUUGGUCAGGGAAGAAGAAGGAAAGCAACACCCGGUAUACUACACAAGCAAGGCCCUGGUAGACGCAGAAACCAGAUAUCCAUUGCUGGAGAGAUGGGCGUUGGCUCUAAUAACAGCAGCACGAAAACUCCGACCAUAUUUUCAGGCCCACCAGAUUGUUGUGAUGACAGACCAGCCCCUUCGUCAAACGCUUCAAAAACCAGAUGCAUCCAGUCGAUUAGUAAAAUGGUCCGUGGAGCUAAGCGAAUUUGACCUAUCCUACAGGCCCCGAGGAGCAAUCAAAGCUCAAGCUCUGGCAGAAUUUAUGGUAGACCGAGCUGAACCGGGGGAAGAAAUUCGGGAGGAGCAACCGAUAGAACAGGAGAAACCAGAGGGGGUGUGGCUGGUAAUGGUUGACGGAUCAUGUAGUGAGCAAGGACCCGGAACAGGAGUUGUAAUACGAACCCCAGAAGGAAUCGAAAUAACAUAUGCAGUGAAGUUCGAAUUUCAGCUCACAAACAACCAAGCUGAAUAUGAAGCCUUUAUCACCGGGCUCAGAGUGGCGCACACUUUAAGAGCAGAGAGGGUAGAAAUUCGAGCGGACUCCGAAUUAGUAUGUAAUCAGCUCAAUGACCAGUUCCAAGCAAGAUGAGAGAAGAUGGGCCUUUAUCUGAAGAAAGCAAAGCAGAUGGUUGAGCUUUUCCAAGAGGUGGAGGUGAAGCAGAUAUCUCGGAACGAGAAUUACCGAGCAGAUAUAUUGGCUAGGAUGCCUGCAAUUGCAGAUCCGAAAUUACCUAAGUCGGUUCCACUAGAGGUAAAGACCUCGCCAAGUAUAGGAGAGGAGAUAGAGGUGAUGAGAGUAAGCAUUGUAGAAUCAUGGAUGGACCCGAUUCGCGCAUAUAUCCGGGAUGGAAUCUUACCAGAGGACAAACGGCAAGCCAGGAAAUUAAAAUGCCGAGCAGCGAGGUACACUUUACUAGAUGGAGUGCUGUAUCACCGAGGGUUCACCUUGCCCCUUUUGAGAUGUGUGGAUGAUGAGGAGGCAGAUUAUAUACUGAGGGAGAUUCAUGAAGGAAUAUGCGGCAAUCACUCGGGAGCAAGAACUUUAGCCAUCAAGGCACUCCGGCAAGGAUACUUUUGGCCAACUAUGCACCAGGAUGCGCAAAGGAUGGCAAAGAACUGUAAAACCUGCCAAAGCUUCUCUGAGGUUCCUGCACAACCCCCAGAAAAGCUGACCACUAUGACAUCCCCGUGGCCUUUCGCUCAAUGGGGAAUCGACUUGAUUGGUCCGUUACCUAAGGGCCGAGGAGCGGCGACACAUGCAAUUGUGGCAAUAGACUACUUCACUAAGUGGGUAGAAGUGGGAAGCCUCAGCCAAAUCACUGAGAGGAAGACAACAGAUUUUAUUUGGAGGAAUAUCAUCUGCAGAUACGGGAUCCCCUAUGCCAUCAUUACAGACAAUGGGAGACAAUUUGACAACAACAACUUCAGGGAAUUUUGCCGAAAUAUGGGGGUGGACCUGAAGUUCUGCACCCCCGCACACCCCCAGGCAAACGGACAAGUGGAAGCAGCCAAUAAAGUAAUAAAGAAGCUCUUGAAAACUAGAUUGGGAGAGAAGAAGGGAGCCUGAGUUGACGAACUACCAGGAGUAUUGUGGGCCUACCGGACAACUCACAAAACCGCCACAGGGGAAACCCCGUUCGCUUUAGCCUUUGGUCAUGAGGCGGUAAUCCCAGCAGAAAUCGAAGUGGGAACACAUCGAACAGAAUAUUUCGCUGAGGAGCAAAACGACGAGCAGAUCUGCUUAAGCCUGGACCUGCUGGAGGAGAAAAGGGAAGGGGCCUAGCAGAGAGUGGCCCAAUGUCAGCAACGGGUCAUGCGCUAUUACAACAAGAAUGUACGCGUGAGGCAGUUCCGAGCAGGAGAUUGGGUACUUAGGAAGGUGAACCAAAACACCAGGGAUCCUAACCACGGUGCUCUUGGCCCAAAAUGGGAAGGUCCGUACAGGGUGAUACGAGCCACUGGACCAGGAGCUUAUAAGUUAGCGCACCAAGAUGGACGAGACGUGAAGAGGUCAUGGAACGCCGAGCACUUAAAGAAGUAUUUCCAGUGAGCAAAGUGCUCUACUAAAUCUUCAUUUUGACAAGUUAUUUGUGUUAAUUGCAUGAUGUCUUGUUGCACAUGUAUGUAUUCAGUAUUUUUGUAAUACAUUCAAAUUCCGAAUAAAGAUGAAUUCAGCAUGAAAUCCCCCUGUUAGCAAGCCCAACAAAAAUUUUACCAAGGCAAGCAAAUGCCUACUUCUGCUCGGUCAAUGAAAGACCAGCGGCUAAUUUUACGAGAAAUUUACCAAGGCAAGCAAAUGCCUACUUUUGCUCGAUCAACGAAAGACCAGCAGCCAAUCUACUAAGGCAAGUAAAUGCCUGCCUCUGCUCGGUCAACGAAAGACCAGCAGCUAAUCUACUAAGGCAAGAAAGUGUCUGCCUCUGCUCGGUCAACGAAAGACCAGCAGCUAAUUUUACGAGAAAUUUACCAAGGCAAGCAAAUGCCUACUUCUGCUCGAUCAACGAAAGACCAGUAGCCAAUCUACUAAGGCAAGUAAAUGCCUGCCUCUGCUCGGUCAACGAAAGACCAGCAGCUAAUCUACUAAGGCAAGAAAGUGUCUGCCUCUGCUCGGUCAAACGAACGACCAGCAGCUAUUCUACUAAGGCAAGUAAAUGCCCGCCUCUGCUCGUUCAACGAAAGACCAGCAGCUAAUCUACUAAGGCAAGAAAGUGCCUGCCUUUGCUCGGUCAACGAAAGACCAGCAGCUAAUCUACGAAGGCAAGUGAGUGCCUGCUUCUGCUCGGUCAACAAAAGACCAGCAGCUAAUCCUACGAAAAUCCUACUAAGGCAUGAAAGUGCCUACUUCUGCUCGGUCAACGAAGGACCGGCAGCUAAAUUUAUGAGACUUUUGCUAAGGCAAAUAUGUGUCUGCUCCUGCUCAGUCACCGAAGACCAGCAGGCAAUUUUGCGAAAAUUUUUACCAAGGCAAACAGAUGCCUAUUCCUAAUUCGAUGCACUAAAGAACCAACAGGCGAAACCAGACAAGAAAGCCAAUAGAGAGCAUUUAAAAAAUUUUAUAAGCGUUCAAAUGUUUACAAAGCAAAUGAAAAACUAGAGUCUUUACAAAAAUAGACCUAAGGAUUAGGAGGAUCAACGGCCUCAGCAGGUGAAGGGUCAGCUAUCUCGGGAGGUAGAAGAUCAGCAAUAUCGGGAGGAGGAGGCACGGACCCCUGCCCCACUUCAAAAACACGCUGCCCAGCUUCUCCCUCCUGCACCCCAUUCAAAGGAACCUCCACCUGCUCCUGCUCAUCUUGCUCCUUAUCUCCCUAGCCGGCCCCAGCCAUAUACCUCUCCACCCCAUAUUCCAGCUUGCUCAUGUCGAGCUCGGGGUAUUCUUCCUUGAGUACAGACAUGAUGCACUUAUAGCUGAAAGCAACCCCGGAGUUAUACUCAGCAUCCAACCGAUCAUCCACAUCAGCGGAUUUGCCUUUCUCUUCAGCCAGCUGGUCACUCAGGGAUUUGAUCUCUCCCUCAAGGGCGGUCCUCAGAGUAUCUCUUUCACUUUGAGUAGCCUGAAGAUCGGACUUCAGAUCACCCAGCUCACCCUCAAGCUUGGAGGAAGUAGACUCAGCAAUCGCAACUUUCUCCUCAAGCUCCGUAAGCUGCUUGUUCAGCUCGGCCAGCUUCUCCUUGGACCAAUCAGCAGAUUCGACUUUCUUUUUCAACUCCUGGUUAUCAGCUUGAAGCUUCCUCUCAUGACGCGCGGACCCGGUCUUGUAGCACGAGACCAUUGUGGCCAGCCUGAAGGAGACUCUUUGAACAGAAGCAGCUAACUCGGAGAGGUUCAUGCUCUCGAUGUCCUUCACCAUCAUAGGCCCAACCGAUUUUUUGUAAUCUUUCUGAUAUGGGCUCAGGUAGUCACCUUGAUCCCGAGAUGGAAGAGGAGAAGAUCGGUCCCCAAACUGCAAGCUGACCUCAGGACUCUUGUCGGAGGUUUUCUCCCCACCACUCUUACGGGAUGGGGGAGGGGGCAGAACAGGGACAGGAGCCUUGGAGGGGCCGACGCUGUUCUUCUUUGGAGGAGGAGGAGGGUUACUGGAGCUGCUUGGAGCCCGACCACGCUUUCGGGAUAGAGUGCUAAGAAUCUUAUUAUCCAUUCCGGCAGCUAUGUCCACCAAACCCGAACCAACCAGGGCUGUCGGUGACAGGAGAUCUUGGCAGGCAGAUGCGUUCACCAGAGCAGUUUCCACCUGGAGCAGAGGUCGGACUUCAAGCCCCUUUAUCAAACCCCACGACUCUGAAAGAACAAACAAGGUUAAAGAACCCAAUAAGUAACAAGUCGAGAAAGAGUAUAUGCAAAAAAUGAACGACCUGGGGUGACAAAAUGUGUUGGAAGAUAAAUAUCACCACCCAACGAAUGAGCUGCUGGACACCAAGCUCCCCCAGCAAAGAAGAAUUUGUUCUUCCAAUUUUUGCACGAGGAGGGGAAGCCGGUGAUUGGUUUCCUCUUCGCAGAGCUCGACAUGAAGUAAUACCAGCCUGCUUCCUUCGGGCUACUCCUCAGCUGGUAUAGAUGCUUCACUUCAACGAGGGAGGGCUCCUCUGAUCCACACCUCUUCCACAACACAUACAUAGCCGAGAGAACCCUCCACCCAUUGGGAUGUAGCUGACCUGGGGCCAGGUGCAUACCACCCAAUAUCUUAGCAAAAUAACGUUGAAGGGGCAGCCGAGCUCCUAAUUUGAAGCUCUCCAGGUGCAUCGUCACAUACCCCCGCGGAGGUCGACUAGGGACAUCACCUUUUCCUGGAACUACCAGGAGAAUCUCCGCAGGAAUGUCGUAAAGGUUCCUCAGCUUGAAUAGAUUAGUUUGGGUGGUGGCACAAGCUGUGUAGUUAAUAGGGUAAGAAUCCGCCUCUACCCUAUGACCAAGGUGCCUUUUCUGAGGAGGUCCGCUCGGUCCGGAGCUGCUCCCCUCACCAUCACUAACUCCUUCAGGGAUCCCAACCCCAUCAAAGCUGUGGUUCUCACCAGAGCCCGACGCAGGUCCACCUCUAUUCCCUACAAGCUCUAGUUCGGGGGAGGGAGAGACAACCAAAGGGCGUGGGUACUCAAGGGUAUCCCUGCCAUGGGAAGGACCUACACUACUGGAGGGACCUAAGAAAUCGGUGGGUAUUGGCACGUUGAGGCCCGAAUCCCCUGAUUCUUCCUCGCCCUCAUCAACAAUUAACUUUCUUUUCCGGUUUCACAUAUCGGAAUCCCAAAAGAAAGCAAAGAAAACUCGAAUAUACGGAUACAAAAGGGGGCAACACGGAACCCAAUCAACAAUAACCAGAGAAGAGAUUAAAAGCAGUACCUGAGAUUAACUGGCCCUGAUAGCGCUGCCGUGACAGAGAAAAAACCAGCAAGUAGAAACUCCAGACGCAGGAAGUGUGAGUAAAGUUCAGAGAGGAGGCUGGUUAACGGUGGAGAAACGGAUAAACAAAGCAAUGAGGAUUUCAACCUAGGGAUUUGAAGUGAAAAGGGAAAAAAUAGAAGCAUUUAAGCGAUGAGGAUGCCAGCUCACUCACCACAUAUCGAGGGUGGAUAGCCCGUCGUUUCAAAUUUCAAAUACGAAGAGUCUGGUGAUGCCACGUCACUAACCGUUACAAGAGGCCAGGAUAGAUGUAAGCCCAGAUAUGCAAUGGACAUGUUCACUUAGGCCCAUGCUCAGGUCGAAGUCUCCCCAGAAGAAAAAUGGUACAUCAGGUCAGGCCCGUCCCAAUAAACAGAGGACCAGAUGAGAAGCUCCCCGGGUUGGUGAGAUUUGACCAUCAGUUUCUACUCUUAACUCAUUUCACUCGCCAGACCAGAAACUGGGGGACUGGUGUUGAGUACAUAAAAGCCCCAGGUCGGCCAUGCUACUAUUUCCACCCCGGCAUGGAUCACCUCGGCCAAAUGGUAUGAGCAGAACGCGGGAUGAACACGAGCCAACCAGAGACGAGUACCGGCCAGGGUAAUGUACCGACCGGAAUCUUAUACCGAGCCGACACCAAUUCCCCAAAAAAGCGGGAACACGAUCCCACAGAAUCACGGUAGUUGCGCUUUUCCCAGAACCGUUGUGGGAGAUGCGAGAUCCCACGUUUGCCCACAAUGUAGCAGUUAAAAUCCCAUGAGAGGCUACCACUACCCGAGAAAGGGGGGGAAUGAAGGGUGAGUGAAAACGUGGGACAGCGGCUAUAAAAGAAGAAGAAACCGAUGAAGAAAGGGACAAAAAAAUUGAGAGAGGGAAAACGCUGCCAAAUUGCAAUCAGGCCAUUUUCUUACAAGACUCCGAAUAAUUUAGAAACCAUUUUUAGAUCUAAAUUGCAAUGUUUUCCCGUAAACACCUUGAGCUAACUUAGGCAUCGGAGGGUUUACGCCGGCAAAACCACCGGCGACUCUGAUCCGUUUUUGGUGAACGUAGGUCUAGUAAGAGAAAGGAGGGUGAUUCCAGCCUCAGAGGUUCGCGCAACAGUUGACAACAUAAACGUUGGUGAAAGAAUCUGGUCGGUCAAAAGGCGAGCAGAUUUAAGCAUCAACAGUUUCCUCUAAUUUAGAUAUUUUUUUUUUUACAUCUCUCUUUCUAGUUUGAUAAUUUAGGGUUAUACUUGAAUUAAUUGUAUUUUUAAUCAACCAAGGUUGAUUUAAUUGAUUCCAAGUCUCAAUUUCCUGUUCAACAAACAAGGAACGCACAAAUCAUUUUCAUUUUCAUACUCAAUUUUGAAAGAAUUAAUUUAUUUUAUCUUUGGUUAGUACACUUUUGUUCAAUUUUUGUUUAUUUAACUUAAGAUAUAGAUUAUAUUGAGAACAGAGCUUUCUCCUUAAUUCCGCCAAGAGCAACGUUGAUUUCAGGUGAUAAUUGUGUAAUAUUUUCAAUUGAAAUUAAUUGAGUCUCGUAAUAAUAAUAGGGAUUUGAGAUUUACAUCCUGUUGAAAUGAUUUUAGAGUGUUAUUUGAAUGCGCAUUAAUUGUUUGAUUAAAUGUCUCUUUAAAAGAUUAUUUUUAUUUUUAGCAAACAUCUUAAUGCACUUUGCAAAUUGAAUCCAACAAGGGAAAAUUAUAGAACUGCAGCAGUUUUCAAAUUGAUUGCAUAUUAGAAGUAAUGUUAAUUUAUGCUGCAACAGUUCAAUGGGCUGGGCACAAGUUUAGGACUUUAGUUGCUCAAUUAAUGAAUCCACCACUCAUCAGACUUGGAACUUAUAUCUAUUGAAUCAAUAAAAAUAGUUGAUGGAAUCAAUGCCGAAAGCUUCAUUUGAUAUUUAUUUAUAACAUCUGUUAGAUUCUGGACAAUCACAAAGAUAUAGUAGCAGAAACUAUGUUAGAGACACUAUAGUUGCUUAAUUAGUGAAAUUGUGCUCUCAUUGCCCCCUUUUUUUGGUUGAUUCUAUAAUCUUAUUAGUUGUUCUUGUGGUUGUAAACAAUAUCAAUUUCUAAUAUUAAUAAAACUGAAUGAAUAAAAUGUGAUGCAUUUGCAGGAAAGUUAAUAGUUUAAAUAUGGAUAAAUCUUGGAUGUUGGUGGAUAGAAGGUCUGUAGAAUAUGAGAACACGGUAAAUGAGUUUCUCAAGUUUGCAGUACUUCAUGCUAGUCAUCCUGAGCUUUUGAGAUGUCCAUGCCAGGCAUGUCUUAGUUUUUAGGCUCAAACAAUUAAGAGUAUAGAAAAUGCAUGAUAGAACACAGAACUCAUAUUUUAGCAACAAUCCUCAGCUCACUGGCCCUUAGUUUAGAAUGACAAUUCUUAUUAGCCAAAGAUUCAAAAUGAUUUUUAGUUGUUUAUAAGUAGAGCACUAGAUCAACAAAUAAUUGAAGACCUGCAGCUUGGCUAUUGAACUAUAAGAUGAUGGCAAUUCGAAGACUAUAACUUGGCUCUGCCAUUCGAAGUAAGCAACGCAGCUGCCCAAAGUCUGCCAAGCCAUCAAGACUAAGUAUACUUCAAAGCUACAUCCAGACAAUACUAAGGGUGCGUUUGGGAUUGAGGUUGGGUAGCUGUAGCUUAAAAGCUACAGCACUAAAGUGUUUGGUAAACACUAACUGCUGUAGCUUUUAAGCUAUAUUGAUAUAAUUUUUCACUUGUAUAAUACAAAAUCUAUUAUAUCUUUAAUAAUUUUAUCAAAAUUAUUAUUUAAAAUUUAUAUUUACUAUAUAUUAUUAACUUUUGUUUCAUAAUUACAGUUUUUUUUUCACAGCAGCUGUAGCUUAAAAGCUACAGCACCUCAAUCCCAAACGCACCCUAAGAUACAACAUCAAUAAUAAUAACAUCAAGAAAUACAUGGAGGCCAUUACAUGUUACACCCACCCCAAUAAGAAAAAUACAGUCCUAGAAAUUUACAAACCCGUGCAGCAGGAAUAACCAAUUAAUUUAUACAGUUCAAUACUCGUUCCUCUGUUUCAAAUCCAAAUACACUGGUCUACUAUUCAUUAUGACAAUGCAUAUGCCGAUAUUGUCUUCCAUCCUUUUUGUACCUUUCAAUUUAGUGAGGUUUAGACAGGGGUUCCAGAUUUGGUAAAUCAACAAUCACCAGAUAUGUAGAGCGGCCGGAAGAGGAAGCAUGGUUCCUAAUCCUAAUCUUGAUUUAGAGCAGAUUAGGUAACACGUGGCAUUCUACAUUCUUGCAAUGCCAUUUCUUGUUAUGGCAGCGGCAUUCUUGGUCAUGGCAUCACAAGCAAAUGCUUUGAUUUGAAGACUUGCUUGGCUAUGAAAAAUAAGGAGAGCAAAGGUAGUUAAUCUUGGUGUGAUCAACAUUUUUAUGGGGUUACUAAGAAAAAUAAAGAUAAUAUAAGGAAUGUUGUUGAGGAGUAUUUUCAUAUUUACACAAGUGUUCAAAGUAAAAAUUGAUUUCUUAAAACCCAUUAGCUAGCGCACAUAAUAAUGGGGAGACAAUUUUAGACUACGAGUGGUCCCACCCAUUUAAUAAUAUUCUUCAAUCAAUUAUGUUUACUUCAAAAAAAAAAACCCCAUCUCUUUAUUACUUUCUAACUAUUCAUAUUAAUGUGUUAAUAAUUAUGAAGAAACGGUGUAAUUUAUAUGAUGUAGGAAGCACUUUAGGCAAAAUCAUUUGAAUCUCAAAAUUUCGUGAUAUUGUGCCAAAUAUCCAAAACAGAGCUUCCUACAUUUCAUUGCGCUAGCUAAUUUCUUGUACCAAAAUUAGGAAUCACUGAAAAAUAGAGUUACGUGACUGAAUAGUAUCAUAUCACAGAAACUCAAAACUCAAAAGUGCAAUAACAUUGAACAUUCAGCUGGCUAGCUUAUAUUAAUUAAUUAAUACUACUACUAGUUCUUUAUGAUUAAUUAAAAGAUAAAAUAUUUGACAAUCACAAAACAUUAUUCUAUCACUGAAGAGUAGAGCUUCCUACAUUGUUACCCAAGCUCUUUUAUAUCUCCCAAACAUUAUUAGAGUCCCACAUUUGUGGCACAUCAUUAAGUAAAAUGUGCCAAUUAGGAAGAGCUGGCUUCUUUGUUUUGUUUUCUUGGAUGUGUUGCAAUUUUCAAGUAUCAUUCAAAAUUUUACGCCAUCAACACAGGAAAAUUAUAUAUAUUCUGUCAGCACUUGCAUAUGUUGCAAGUGCUGACAGAACUUUUCAUUUGAUUUGAUAAUUGGCUAAGGGUGAUUUCGAUAACGUUUCCAAAGAAGAUAUAGAACAUAGAUCAAAAAGAAAAAUAAGUAAUUUGAUCAGUCGAUGCAAAAAAUGAGCGAGCUUCGUAGUCUGACUAACAGGACAUGGCUUGGAGCAAGGAUCAAUGGACAAGUUUGAGGUUUAUGAAAUAUUGGGAAAAGAGACAAAUAAUAAAGCCACUACAAGUUAAGCAGAUCAAAUAAACAGAACAGAGGAAAUAAGUGAUCAAUUUAUUACUUUGUGCAAUGGCCACAGCAACAGCGAAAAUAUGUCUACAUGACUACAUUAUCCGACUGGCAUGGUACUAUAACCGUGCAGCAUUACACUAACAUUUCCUUAUCAAUCAAUUUUGAUGGUAUGAUAUUAAAAACAUCGAUUUCAUAAUUUUAUGUAAUUCAAGAAUAUGACAGCUGUGUGUUGUCGUCUGGAUCACAUGUUCUUCACGUGAUUUCAUUUACCCUAUACGGCACAUUUGUCAGUCGUUUUGGUCACUCAUUGAAGCACGAAUUAAGGACGUCAUUCAAGGUUGUUAAUUGACCUUUACAAGGCGGAAAAAUUCUGGGUUUGUUUUAACAAACCCUGAAUGCAGCUUGUGAGUGGGGGGAACUUUCUAGAUUCUUCAUGAUCUGUAUAUAUAGUCUUAGAGGCUACAGUUGAGACAUAUGAAAAGCUUGUAACUUCUUCUUAAUGCUUGUAGUUUGAUCUCGGUGAUGGAGAUAAGAUUGCUGCUCUGUUCUUCACUUGAUAUAGGCUAUCUCCAAGCGGAACCACUUAAAUUGUGCCUCUGUUUUGCUUGUUUCAGUUGUUAUUCUUGUGAGGUGUGUGAUUUGCUUGUCAUUUCUAAAUCAUCAAUUAGAGAGUUUAGUGAGUUUAAUCGAUCAAGAAUCAACAAGAUGCUAUGAAAACAAAAUAUAUACAAAACUUAUAUCUGGUGGUUUGUCAAACGUACAGAGAAGAGAGCAAACUGUGGCAGGAUAGCAAAUACUGCGAAUGGUCAUUCUCAACACGAACGCCUAUGGCUGUUUUCCUUUUAAUUUUCUUCUUUGAAUUCUCCUUUUAUUAAUCAUUAGAAAAACUCCCUUUUUUAAAAUCAUGUGUUAUAAACAUUUACAUGGUUAAUGUCAUCGAAAUCAAAUGGUUGUUAUCUACGAAAAAGAGAAUUGCUAGAAAUUUUGUUAGUCCCAUUGCAACAAUAUAUUGUUAUAAAUUGCAUUGUUUCCCAUAUAACAAAUAUAAUAAAAUCUCAAUAAAUUAAUAGUUUUGGGGAUCAUAAAAAAAAUUAUUAAAAUUUAACUAAUAUCAAUUAAUUGGCAAAUUAAUAAAUUAUUAAUUUAUGAAAAUAUUCAUUAUUUUAGAAAAACAUGAUCACGUUUUUAGUAUUGAUUUACCUUGAGCUAGUAUCUAUUAUGUUUUAAUUGGUCCCAAUAAUAGUUUAAUUGUAAAUAAUUAAAUAUAUCAGUAAUGAUUUUUAAAAAAGAUCACUAGCAUCAGAUUAUUGGGCGGUAUUAAGGAGAAGUUAUGCUUAGUAUUUAUAAUUUAUGUAAGAUGAAUUUGUAAGACUUAUUAAUUUCUAUUAAAGAGUUUUUCAGUUAUUAAUUCAUUAAGUUAACUUGAAGUAUUAAUAUUUACUAAUUGUGGUGAUUAAUUCAUUAAAUUAACAUGUCAUAAUUUUCAAUGAAGAAUGAAGUUCAAUCAAUGUACAAAAAAAAGAUAUAUAUAUAUAUAUAUAUAAGAUUUUAAUUCCUAGUUUGAUUUAACUUUGUUUCGGUUAUUGACAUUGCUGAAGAGGCAGUAAAAGCUUGUUGAAUGUCAUCAAAUGCACAAAUUGGCAAUAUCGGUUGGCUUCUUUAUAGGCGCAUCCAUCACAAAAUGAAAGUAACAACAACCACCAUCGAAAAUUAAUUUACCUGAAAUCUUUGAAAAGAAAAAUUAACCUGACAUUUAUUGAUUUAUUUUUUUGGGGGCAAAGAAAGAACGGAACAGAAUUAUGAGUUUUGGAAAGCAGAAUGAGAAAAUUGAACAGAUGAGAAAAUGGAUAAUUAAGCAGAAUGAAUUUGCGACUGUGACGGGUCUGGUCCAGCAAGCUUAGUAGAAAUUACGCGCUGAUACUUCAUUGACCAAUGACUAAUAAUUUGGCAAUUCACCCAUCACCAGCACUUGGUAAGCAAAACGAAAAUGCUUAGUAAGUGUCAAGGGUCAAGCAAGAUACGACGUAAAAUGAGGCAAGUCUCCCCACUUGUUGUUCCUUGCAGCUAAGAAAAGAAAAACAGAGCCCACCACCCAUUAAUAAUUUAGCAAUUCACCAAUCACCACCACUUGUUACGAAAUUCCAUUAGGUAUUCGUAUGUCAAGCAGUUAAUCCAGUGUCUAUUACCUAGAACCUUCACUUUACAAAUCUUCAUCUCAAAUACCAAGUUAAAUCAAAACGUUUCUCUCUCACUCUUUCCUUUUAAACUCCAAAAACGUUUCUUUUUAGAAAUAUUUUACUUUAUUCAUGUAAUAUGUUGUCUAACAAAUAGACACAAUUGAAAUCACUCUAAAGUGCAAAUAAAAAAAUAAAAAAAAUCCAAUCACCAGUAAUUUAGCAGGCUUCACUUUAUUCCACCAAAGUGUAAAUAAAACCAGGCCUCACUGCCAUUAAUAGUUUUACAAGCUUCACACGCUUGUUGUUGUGUCUGCUUGACGAACUGGACAUGGGUGCAUCAAGAAUCAAUGAAAGAAUUUAAAAAAAAAAAAAACUGCACAUUUUCGAUUCAGAGUAGAACGGUAAUUAAUGCUAAAAUUUACUCCGCUAACGUUUUCAAGAUAUUGUUCUUUAUAAUUCUACAGCAAAUAAGACUAAGUUUUGGACAUUUUCAAAUUCACUACUUUCACAAGCAAUAUUUUGAAACAUUUUACAGAAUUAGCGAUUAUAUAAAGAGAAAAGUGCAAAGUUGCGUAAUUCUAAUGUGCCUUUGGAUUUAACCUGAAAUGAUCCGAAGGCCAGAAAUUGUAACGGCGGGCUUAAAUGUCAACACGCCAAGACAGUUAAUAGCAGCUAAAUUGGAAAAAAAAAAAAAAGGCAAUAGAAGUAUAGAUGGAGCAAUUUUUCGCUUAGGUCAUAGGUGCAAGAUGAAACUAAAAAAAGGUGGCAGGCAAUUUUAUCACAGAUGCUCAUGAUCGUUUUUUGUUUGGGUCGUCAACUCGCCAUGAGCCAUGAUUGAAUUAGAGUGUCUAGAAAGAAAAUUAAUAAAUAACGGUUUAUAUAUUUGGUCGUCGGAAUAUUGUAAGUGAGAAAGAUUAUCUUGUUUUUUUAUUAAUUAAGAUUAAGGUCAACUUACAAUUUUAUUUUAUUUUUUUAUGAUUUUCAAUCUUUACCAAAAGAAAAAUAUUUAGUGAUCCCUUUUAUCAACUUGCUUUUAUUGACUUUCUUCCAAUAAUAGAAGUGAAAAGAGAAACAGAGGCCACCACCACCAAGUGUUACCGGAUUCUAUAAAGACAAAAUCAGUGCCCAGCAAAAAGAAUCCAACUUUUCGUUAUGUGUUGCUUCCUAUUUAGUACAUGCACAUAUAGAUAUAAGAUAUCCACAUGCAUAUGCAGCGCGUCUAUCUAAAAUUUGAAAAACAGAAUUAGAAACCUUCUUGAAUAGGAAUAGAAAUACUCUCUAAUACUUCCUAAAAUAAUUAACCCUAAAUAAUUUGUCCUGCAUCACCAAACUCCGGAUUUUACAAAGCACGCAUAAAGGAUAAUAGACACGUUUGAGGUUUUUUUUUUAAAAAGAAAAAAAGAUUAUGAAAAUAGACAAAUAAUGAAGACACAAGUUAAGCAGAGCAAAUAAACAGAGGAGAAUGAAUUCAAUACUAUCCUUGAGAACUCAAUUCUUUAAUAAACUCAAUUUUUUAAAUGUAAUUUCUUUUUGGGGGUUAAACUCAUGUCAUAGACUGUAGUCUUUAAUUUGGGUUUGUUGUAUCAAUUUUUUGGAGUUUAUCUUGUUUUAUUUUUUCGUUUUUAUAGUGCAAGAUUUUCGGUGGAGAUAAAUCAGGAAUAAGAGUGAAAUCCCAAUCUUAAAAUUUGGGAGAAAUGAAAUGCGAUAUGUUUUUUCAUGAAUAAAACAAUUCAAUUUGAUUGAUUUUUGAGAAAUUAUAAAGGAAUUAAUACAAGUAAAGUGAGCCUAUUCAUUUGAUUUGAUAGUUGGCUGAGGGUGAUUUCGAUAACGUUUUCAAAGAAGAUACAGAACAAAGAUAAAAAAGAAAAAACAAUUAAUUUCAGUCGAUGGAAGAAAUGAGCAAGAUUCGCACAUGCAUGCAUGCAUCUGACUAACAGGACAUGGCUUGGAGCAAGGAUCAAUGGAAAAGUUUGAGGUUUAUGAAAUAUUGGGAAAACAGACAAAUAAUAAAGCCACUCCAAGUUAAGCAGAUCAAAUAAACAGAACAGAGGAAAUAACCGAUCAAUUCUUUGUGCAGUGGCCACAGCAACAGCGAAAAUAUGUCUGCAUGACUACAUUAAUUAGAAACAUUGAGUUCAUAAUUUCGUGUAAUUUCAUGUACUAGAUAUAUAUAAUUGAUUUGAGUUAGUUUAACAUCUAAAGAAAGAGUAAUGGGGAAUGAUGUCGAUGUGGCAUCUGAUGAGUAAUGAUAGACAAUAAAUACUGAUCAUGUAAGAAUGAAGUCUGUAUUUACUGAAAAAUAUUUGGUAAUAAAAUGAUGCUUUAAAAAUUUAAUAUUAGUUGCAACAAAAUAAAUUGGCAAUUAAAAUUAAUAUAUAUGUAUCCAAUGCUUCGAGUUUAUUUUAUCACUUCGCUAACAAUUUUGUAACUACAUUUUAAUUAUAAUGUGGAAAGGAGAUUUGAUUUUUGUAUUUAAAAAAUUAGGAAUGAAACAAGUCAAAAUCAAUCACAAGAACAACAAUAAGAGCAUAUUUUAUAAAAACCACAAAUACAUAAUAUAAAUUUAGUUUCGAAUUAAGUAAUUAUUAAUUUGCAUAGUAAGAGAGUCUUAUAGAAAAAUAGGAAUUUUUUUAAAAGAGAUUUGCUUAAGGAACAACUUUAGUUUGGUUUAGUUUGUGAAGGCUCAAGUAAUUGAAAGCAAUGCAAUUGAAGGAAAUACAAGCAUGUGUCUAAUUAGCAAAUGAAUUUCACUUUAACAAAGAAUAAAAGCUAAUUUCAUUGAUGGCAUAUGUUGUGCUUUCUUUUAUUUUAUUUUAUUUUUUUUCCUUUUAGUUAUUGAGGUUACUUUGCAAACUGCUCCAAGCUAAAUACAAAAUUUACUCUUACACUAGGAUCUUUGCAAUGGUCCUGCAAUUUGUAUUCCUUUUGGUCAGAUUGGUUUUCUUAUUUAAAUAAAAUUUCAGGGAUGGGAAAUCUUAUCCAUUGAAUAUCAACUUUGAAUUUUAUUAACAUUCAAACUUAGAAAGUACUUCAGGAACAAAGUGCAUUCAUAGCCGAUUAAACUAUGUCUAGCUACUACAAUGCAAGUUUCACUUUUACUUAAUUAAAUAUACAAAAUUAAAUCACAUGAGCUUGUCGUUUCAUUAUACGUCAAAUUAAAAUUAAAACGCAGAAUUGACGGUAUUGGAGUUUCAUAUUUAAUUUUUCUGUACUCAUGGGGAAUCAGAUGGCCAUCCAUUUUUACGUCUAUUUUAUGUCCAUCCCCACUAAGUAGCUUGGUCAUAUACAAUAUAGAAAAUGCAUGAUAGAAAAUGCAUGAUAGAAUAGAGAACUCAUAUUUUAGCAAUAAUCCUAAGCUCACUGGCCCUUAGUUCAAACUGGCAGUUCUUAUUAGUCAAAGAAUCAAAUUGACUUUUAGUUGUAUAUAAGUAGAGCACUAGAUCAACAAAUAAUUGAAGACUUGCUUGGCUGUGGAACCAUAGGAAGGCAAUUCGUGAACAUCCUUGAUAUUUCGUUUGGUUUUAUUUAAUUCUUUGUAAAGUUGUAUUGUAAGUAAAAUUUUUGUUAAAUGAAAUCCGUAGGUGAAGAGAAUUUUUAAAAGCAACCAUCAAAGUCACGAUCAAAAGGAAGAAAUCAGUAUAAAUAUUGAUUGUCUCAAGUUAGAUUAUACAAAGAUGAAAUAAUGCUAAUCUAAAAAAUUCGAUGAUUAUAAUUUGAUUUCCAUUAUAUUAAUUAUAUUCAAUCAUGCUCUUUAAAUGAAGAACACUCUAGCAUUUAUAUACACUCAGCUUAUGAAAUUAAUUACAAAACGAUCUUUGACAAAGUCUGAUGAAAAAAGUACAAAGUUAGACUUCCCGAUCAUGCAACCACCCAUCGAAUUGUGUAUUGUGUCAUCGUUGAGCUCUUAGAAGGAUUCAGCUGCUGAGGAGAAGAUAUAAUCUGUUUUUGUGUGAGAAGUUAUGUACUCUCCUUUUAUGGUGUUUCUCUUGGUAGUUGUCGGACAAACUGUAAUGUGAAUUUCUAUCUAAUGGGUAUCCUUUUAGUUAGUUUGGGAUUGUUGAUUUAUAUAUGAUGUUUGGUAUCUAAAAUUCAGAUGAUGAUAAUCUUGGCAGUACUUUUGUCAAAUUUUCUUGUGUUGUUGUUGGUUUAAUAAAAUAUCACAAAGGUGCAAAAUACAGUAAAAUUAACAUUGAGCUCAUGAGAUUGCCAUUAGAUAUAUUGAAAAAGAAAUUGACACAAGAAACUGAAAAUUAGUUGUUAAUUAUGAUGGGAAUAUAAUCUUGGUAUUUCAAUUAUAUCAUUUGUACUAAUCUCAUUUGUGUCUAUCAUAAAAGCAGAGUGGCUUGAUUGAAUAGUGUCAUAUUACGUCACAGCAAUCACAGAAACUCACCCAAAAGUGCAUGAGCAUUGAACAUUCAGCUAAUUUAUACUAAUUAAUUAAUAAUACUAACAAGAGUAGUUGGAUCUCGUCUUCUCUUGGAUAUAUCCAAUGACUUUGACUCAAAUAUGCUAUUGCAAGAGGAGAUUUCUAUUUUGUCUGAUUUAAGCCAUAAGACGCGUUUCAAGGUUCAUUCUGAUUGGUUAUCUGUUAGCUUUUUUGUUUUAAGAACUUCUUAUUUACGGAAGCAAAAUUCUCCUUUCCAGGAUGAUCUAGAUUUAGAAGUUGCUUUUGUCAUAUCAGACGAAGAGGCCAUCUUUAAGGCCUUGUCUAAGAUUGUUGAAUUUACUAGAAGGGACUACUGCUCUGAUUCGUCAAAACUACUAUGGCUGUCUUUUUCAUGAGCUUCUAAUAUAGAAUCAGUUUUAAUGGUAUGAUAUUAAAAACACCGAUUUCAUAAUUUUAUGUAAUUUCAUAGAAAAUAUAUAAUUGAUUUGAGUUAGUUUAACGUAUAAAGAAAGAGAGAUGGGGAAUGAUGUCGAUUUGGCAUGUGAUGCGUAAUAAUAGACACCAAAUAUUAAUCAUGUAAUAGUGAAAUAUAUAUUUGCUGAAAAAUAUUUGGCAAUAAAAUAAUGCUUUAAAAAUUUAAUAUUAUUUGCAAGAAAGUAAUUCGACAAUUAAAUGUAAAAGAUGUAUAUGCGACGCUUCAAGCUUAUUUUAUCACUUCAUUAGCCAUUUUGUAACAACAACUUUAAUAGAAGUUCAAUUAAUUCUGAUGCAUUCCAAAAAAAUUAGAGAUGAGGUAAGUUAAAAUCAAUUACAAGAACAACAAUAAGAAUAUAUUUUGUAAAACCCACAAAUAUAUAUAAUAUAAAUUUAAUUUCGAAUUAAGUAAUUACUAAUUUAUAUAGUAAGAGAGUCUUAUUGGAAAGCAGGAAUUUUUUAAAAGAGAUUCGCUUAUGGAAAAAGUUUAGUUUGGUUUAGUUUGUGAAGGCUCAAAUAAUUGAAAGCAAUGCAAUUGAAGGAAAUAUAAGAUUCUAAUUUUUUUAAAGUAAUCGCUAAAAUAUUUGACGAAUAGCUACAAGUUGGCAAUGCAAAUAAACGGAGGAAAACAGGGCAAAUAUUUACUUUCUUCCAAAAAUAAUAAAUGCACAAUCUGCUAUUACUACUAUAGAAUGUUAGCUACUAUAUAUGAGCACGUGUCCAGUUACCAAAUAAUUUCCACUUUAAAAAGGAAUAAAAGCUAAUAUCAUUGUUAGCAAAUUUUAUUUAUUUAUUACAAUUUUUUAUUAUCCUUUUUUUUUUUUGCGCUUUUAGUUAUAGGCCUAAAAAGAUAAAGCUAAAAAUCAAUCCCAAAUCUAAAGUGAAAAAUUGUGUCUAGAACAGAAUCUAUGUUUUGAUGUCUUUGUUUACAAGCUUAAACAAUUCAUAGUAUACAAAAUGCAUGAUAGAGAACAGAACUCAUAUUUUAGCAAUAAUCCUCAGCUCACUGGCCGUUAGUUCAGAAUGACAAUUCUUAUUAGUCAAAGAGUCAAAAUGAUUUUGAGUUGUAUAUAAAUAGAGCACUAGAUCAACAAAGAAUUGAAGACUUGCUUUUGCUAUUAAACCACGCGAUGGCAGUUCGAAGACUACAGCUUAGCUCUGCCAUUCGAAGUAAGCAAUUCAGCUGCCCAAAGACUCUCAAGCCAUCAAGACAAUACCAAGAUACAACAUCAAGAAUCACGUACAGACCGUCACAUAUUACAUUUGUCCUCUGUUUUAAGAGAGAUUUACGAGCCCAUGCAGUAGGAGUAAUUAAUUAAUUUAUACAGUUCAGUACUCAUUCCUCUUUCUUCUGUUUCAAAUCCAAAUCUAGUGCUCCAUCAUUUAUUAUGACGCAAGGUAUAUGGGUUAGCAUGUGUCGAUAUUGUCCUCCAUUCUUUGUGUACCUUUCUUCGAACAAGGGACAACCCGAGAUCUCUAAUCGCAAAAGGGAGGCAGGCAGGCCCUUCUCUGGAAAGUACUUGAGCUUGGGACAAUUACAGAGUUUAAUGAAAUGAGGUUUUGAUGAUCAACAAUUGAGGAAGACAGGCGUUCCAAAUUUAGUAAAUUAACAAUAACCAAAUAUGGUAGGGUGGCAGGCAGAGGAAGUGUGGUUCCUAAUCCUAAUCUUGAUUGAUAACUGGCUAUAAAACAUGUGGCAUUCUACAUUCUUGCAAUGCCAUUAAUUUCUUGUUAUGGCAGCAGCGUUCUUUCAUCAUGGCAUCACAAGCAAAUGUUUGAUUUGAAGACUUGCUUAGCUGAGAAAAAUAAGGAGAGCAAAGGUAAUUAAUUUUGGGGUGAUGAAUAUUUUUAUGGGUGUACUAAGAAAAAUAAAGAUAAUAGAAGUAAUGUUAUUGAGAAGCAUUUUGAUAUUUACAAAAGUGUUCCAAGAAAAAAGUUUUUUUUUGAAAUCUAUUUGCUGGUGCACAUAACAAAAGGGCAUUCUGAGUAAAUUUAAAACUACAAAUAGUCUCACUCUUUUAAUAAUAUUCUUCAAUUAAUUCUGUUUAUUUCAAAAUAAAUAUUCUAUCUCUUUAUUACUUUCUAACUAGUCAUGCUAAUGUGCUAAUAAUUAUGAAGAACUAGUAUAAUUUAUAUGAUAUAAGAACCCCUUUAGCACAUUAACCCGAAUUUAGCUAAUACAUGUGCCUAAUAUAGCGAAAUCAACAUUCAGCGCAUUAGAGUGCUAUUAUAUUUAUUGAGAAAGAAAUUAACACAAAAAACUGAAUAUUAAUUGACACUGGAUCAUGUUGGAUUGUCAGUUGUUAAUUAUGAUGGGAAUACAAUCUUCAUCAUUGCAGCUACUUGACUCAGAUAUGCUAUUGCAAGAGGAGAUUUCUAUUUUGUCUGGUUUAAGCCGUAAGAUGGAUUUCAAGAUUCGUUCUGAUUGGUUAUCUGUUAGCUUUUUGUUUUAAGAAGUUCUUAUUUACGGAAGCCAAAUUCUUCUUUCCAGGUUGGUUCAGAUUCAGAAGUUGCUUUUGUCGUAUCAGAAGAAGAGGCCAUCUUUAAGGCCUUGUCAAAGACUGUGGAAGUACUAGAAGGGACUACUGCGCUGAUUGUCUUUUUCAUGAGCUUCUCUUCCAUUUGAACAUGAGAAUAAUCAGAUGGUUGAUAUUUAUGUUACAAAAGUUGGAAGCAACUUAAGCAAUUCAGUAUCAUUGGAGGACUAUAAUAAUAAGCCGAUUCUUUUGCUUCUUGGAUUUUUUUGUUAAUUCACUCGCUGCAUGCUUAUCCCACCUCUGAUUUUUCUUAAUAUUUCUCUGUAGUUCACUUCACAGCACUUUAGCCGCUACAUUGGCAUUUUCUGCUAUUUGUUAUUGUUCAUUGAAGCAAGUUAGCUUAUGAGAUUGCUUUUUGGUAAAUGUUCUUCAGGGGGGUUGUGAAAGGCCAAAUCAACUGAGAUGACCGAGUUUUCUAGAUCAGCCAUCUCUGUCCUCAACAACUGUCAAUUACUGAGACACCAAACUCUAACCUGAUUCAUAUGGAUGUAGACUAAAGCUUCUUGCCGAUACCAUCCCCAGUCAAAGCUGCUAUCCUUGAAAGUUUUGCAAGAGAAAACAUGUCUGAGUCAGACAUUGACGUCCCCCCAAGCAUCAAACAGUAUAUCAAGAGCAAUGUUGGUUUCCCAGUCGAUACAAAUGCAGAAUUCAUAUAUGCAGAUUGCUCUCAAUCUCUGUUUAAUAAGCUAGUCCUCUGCUGUAUCCUACAAAGUGGAACAAUACAUUAUGCUUCCCAGCAGACUCCAAUGGGAAGUAUGUUUCUGCUGCCAAAUUUUUGAAAGCUAUCAUUGUGAAUAUCCCUCCCCAGUCUGAAGUGGGCUUUGAUACUUGUGACAAUACUCGAUCGAGACUGUAAAGAAGCCGUGGGUGUACAUUUCUGGUCCAACAAUCAAUCCAACUGGCUUGCUUUUACAGCAGGAAAGAGAUAGAGAAUAUAUUAACUGUUUGUGCAGAAUAUGGGGCAAGAGCUUGUUUAGUGUCGUGUCAAAAUAAAUAUAACAAAGUUUUAGCUGAAUAUAAAUUCGACUUAGUUAUUAUAGAUAUUUAAUAAAAUAAUAAAACGAUUAAUAUGUUACCUACAAUUUGGAGAAAUGAACUGCGAUAUGAUACUUCAUGAAAAAAAGAUUUAAUUUAUUAUUUCUACUAGUAAAACUAUUAAUUCAUCAACCCAUCAAGAUUUUUUUUCUUUUUUUCUUUUUUUCUUUUUUUUGAAUUCAACCCAUCAAUCUUUGUUUGUAACUGCCAGACCGUCAGUUUCUUAAGGCUCACGCAGUGCAAGGGUAGUGUAUCGUUUCUUUCUAACUGAAAUGGGAACUCGGAUGCUGAGAAAAUAUGCCUGCAUGACUUCAUUAAUCCAGCAGGCGUGGUACUAUCACUAUGCAACAUUACAUUAACAUUUCCUCAUCAAUCAAUUUUGAUGGUCUGAUAUUGAAAACGUCGAUUUCAUAAUUUUGUGUAAUUUCAUAGAAAAGAUAUAAUUGAUUUUAGUUAGUUUAACAUAUAAUGAAAGAGUAAUGGGGAAUGAUAUCACUGUGGCGUUUGAUGAGUAAUGAUAGACAACAAAUAUGGAUCAUGUAAUAAUGAAAUAUGUAUUUACUGAAAAAAAUUUGGCAACAAAAUGAUGCUUUAAAAAUUUAAUAUUAUUUGCUAGAAAUAAUUUGACAAUUAAAAGUAAAAGAUAUAUUUACAAUGCUUCAAGUUUAUUUUAUCACUUCACUAACCAUUUUGUAACUACAUGUUAAAUAGAAGUUCAAUUAAUUCUGACAAAGGUCUCUAGAAGAGAUUUGGUUUUUGUAUACCAAAAAAUUAGAGAUAAGAUAAGUUAAAAUCAAUUAGAAGAACAACAAUAAGGAUAUGUUUUAUAAAAGCCAAAAAUACAUAUAAUAUAAAUUUAGUUUUGAAUUAGUAAUUAUUAAUUUAUAUAAUAAGAGAGUCUUAUAGGAAAGUGGGAAUUUUUUAAAAGAGAUUUGCUAAGGAAAAAGUUUAGUUUGGUUUAGUUUGUGAAGGCUCAAAGUAAUUGAAAGCAAUACAAGUGAGGGAAACAUAAACUUCUAAUUUUUACAAAGUAAUCGCUAAAAUAUUUGACAAGUUUGAGAUGUUAAAAAAGCUGGGAAAAUAGACAAAUUAAUGAAGACCCUACAAGUUGGCAAAGCAAAUAAACAGAGGAAAACAUAGCAAAUAUUUACCAUUAUACAUAUAUAUAUAUAUAUAUUUUUUUGGGAAAAAGGAUACCGACACUUUUAAGGUUUAGGGAAAUGGUCACAAAUACACCUAAAUUUUCAUCAAGGGACACCAAGACCUCUUUUUAACUGUAAUGUCUUUUGUCUCUAUAAAUCCUAAGAAAAUGACGUCAAAAUUUUAUAAUAAAUAGACAUAUGGCAUAGAAGUAAAUGAAAUAACAUAUACAUCUUAAAAUAAUGUUAAUAUUGAAAGCUAUUUUUAUAUUUUACAAUCUAUUAGACCUAUUUUAUUAACUUAAAGUAAUUUUUAAUAAUAGAUAGAAACAUAAUAUUAAAAUAAAUAAGUUAAAAUUAAAAUUAUUUUGAAUAUUAUGUAAAAGUUAAUUUUAAUAUUAUUAAUAGGGAUUUUUUUAAUUGUAAAAUCUAUGUAACCCAAAGAUUUAUUUAAAAUCUUCAUAAUAUCACAAACAUAUUAUUAAAAUAAAUAUAAUAAUUUAAAUUUUUAAUAUUAUUUUAAAUGUAAAAAAUAAUGUAAUAUUAUUAGUCUACUAGAUAGAUUAUAUUAUUUAUAUUAAAUUUGUAUUAAUUAAAAAUCUUUAAGGUCAAUUUUUUAAUUACUAUAAUCAAAGGAUAUUAUGAGCAAAAAGGGAUUUUGGUGUCUCUUUUUAAAUAAAUAUCAUUUUCUCUUUUUUAUCCAAAAACAAAUGUUGCGAUUUUGUUUUUUUAACAUCUCAAACUUUCAAAAACAAUUGAAAGCGGUACACUUAUCAAAAACCUCAACAGCAUUAUCAACCAACCCAUGUUUACCAAACUCUUCGAUGAUGAGAGAUAGAGUUUGAGGAGAGACGGAGAGAUUGUAGGGUUUCAUGAGUUCGAUGGUCUUCCACAUGGACUGGUAGCGUUUGUGGUGGGCGAGGGUCAGGAUGAGCGGUUCGAAUUCGAGGGAGGUGGGGGAGUAUUGGGGCUGGGAGCGGGCCCAGGUGAAGAAGCCGAGGGAUUCGGAAGGGGAAGUGUAUUGAGGGUGCUUUCUGGAUAUAUGUCGUGACGGACUAUGUUGGCGAUGUGGUUUACGGCUGCAAGGUAAUCGUCUUUUGAGGUUUUAGCCGCGACCGCGGUGCUCAUGGUUUUGAAGGAGAGGAUGAGGUAUUGCCGUAUUGAGUUCGGCUUCUGAAUAGAGAAACUAACACCUGGGAAGGUUUAAUGUGGGAACUUCACAUGCGUUCUAUGUAUUCGAAAGAAUUCCGCAAUAAAAACUGCUCGAGCUGGCAAUCGCACUUGCAUGCUAUAUGUUUGAAUAGAUUCUGUAUUCUGAAAUAUAUGUGGCCAUCACACAAAUUGGCAAUAUCGAUUGGCUUCUUGCAGCCAUCACGAAUUGAAAGGAAAAACACCUACUAUCGAAAAUUAAUUUUAAGAAUCUCUUUUACUUGAAAUCUUUGAAAAGAAAAAUUAACCAAAUUCGGCUAGAGAUAUACAUAAAUCCGGUACUAGUUUAAAAUGUGAGUAUGGUUAAUUUAAUAAGAGAGAACAAGAAUCGAUUAUGUCCCAAAAGAGAGAAAAUUAAAUUAUAUAAAUUUUCAUGCAAAUAUAUCAUAUGUUAAUCUCAAUUUUUUGUUGCUGAAAAAUUAAUUAAUUCCACUACUUCCAUUUUUUUAAUUUUGUGUCGUGUACCACAUUUGCCACUCCUGAAUUACUUAAUUCAAAUAAAGGUUCGGCUACGUUGGAUCAGCUCCAACGUAGCGCCCACUAACACCAGCCAUAUGAUUAUAUAAAUCCGAUCUGACGGUCACGAUUACAUGGACUUAAAAUACAAGAUAUGCACAGGAUUAUGAGUAAUCUUCUUCUACUUCGCUCUUCAUCGGUUGUUUGACCAAAUACAAGAAACGAAUCAAAGAAAGCAGGACAUGCAAAUGAACACUAUAUACAAAAGGGGAGUGGGGGUCUGAAUGCCUCUUCAAUUGAAUCGGCCAAGUGUUGCUUGCAUGCGCUCUACAAACUGCUUUGCUGUCAUCUGAAGCUGAAAGAAUUAUCCCUAGCUCCGUCGGUUUUUUCUGCAAUAAAACGACAAUCCCUGCCUUCACUCAUCUUAAUUCAUCCCCCGGUUAUGUUCCUCCUUUUUUAAUCAAUAAUUAAUUGCUGCCCCCUGUUUCCCCUCUCUCUGUAGACUCUACCCACCAAAACCAUUUGCUAUCUUUCUAUUGAAAGUAACUCGGUAAUAUACAUGUAUACGAUGGAGACGGUGCAAGGACUGUUGGGGAAGCUGGGGCGGCAGUGCUAUGCUGUAUUUUGCUUGGGUGUGAUUCUUGUUGUGUCGGUGACAAUCGCUCAUUAUGUUGAACCAAAGGAUAUUUCCGCAUCAGCUGCUGGUGAAAGUAGAGCCAAGGCCACCCGUCGUCGUCUUCGACCUUUACACGGUCCUCCUCUUCCAGCCUCUCUGAAUUUCUACUGAUCAUCACUCCCCACCAGCCAACCAGCUGCUUUAUGCUACCUUCUAGAAUUCUAAAGACUUUAGUUAACUAAUUAACUUCUUCUAGACUUGUUUCUGGGUUUAAUCAAUUUGCUCCCCCCCAGUUUCUCUGUAAAAUUUUUGCUUAAUUUAAUUAAUUGUUAAUUAACAAAUAACAGAAACGCUAAUUUUCGCGCAAGUUUCAACAAUACUUACUUGGUUGCCUUCUGUUCUCCUGUUUGCGUCUCUGUCUUCCAUUACGAGCACCCAAAGAGGUAUAAUCAACGGUUUGCGAGAUAGCUGCGACUGCAGUAGGUGCCGGCGUCGAUCAUCAACAUGGCGGUGCACGGUAGAAUUAGGUGAGGAGAGAUGGAGAGGUAUAAUCAACGGUUGCUGAUCAAAUUUGAAACUUUCCAGCGAACCGACGGUGAUGAUGAGAUUGAUUCCAAUUAUAAAUCCUGUGCAUAUCCUGUAUAUUGAGUCUAUGUAAUCGUGACCGUCAGAUCGGAUUUAUAUGAUCGUAUGGCUGGUGUUAGUGGGCGCUACGUCGGAUUUAUAUGAUCGUAUUCUUCAUCAUUAUGGUUGAUGGCUUAACAAAUGCAGGAGUAGGGGACAGCCAAAAUAAAACACUUUCUCUUGUAUUAACCUUUGCUAGUCGUCGAAGUUAAAAAUUUUUAGAACAAGUUAAAACAGUUCCAACUCAAAAUCAUUAGUGCACAAUUGGGUUGUUAUAAAUAUUUUUGAAUUUCAGUCUAAUUUGACUUAUUUAAUUAUGUAUGCACAAACUAGUUUCAUCACUUUUUUCGUAUUGAUACCCAAAAUUUUCAACCUUAUUUUAUAUUGAUGCACAAUCUAACUUAAUAAAAAUAAUAUUCAAAUUGUCACAAUUUUUUUUUUUAAAUCAUAUACAAAGUUAAGUUUUCUUCUUCUCUAGGAUCCAGCUCUAUACUCCUCUUUUUUGUCGUUAUGCUGCUCAGUCGUUAAAUUUUAAUUACGUUAAUCUAACGGUCCGGAUUUGUAAUGAAUAAUAUUAAAUGCACCGGUAUAUUUUAAUUACGUUAAUCUAAAGCUGCAAUUAUGUGCCGUAAACAUUGACAUGGUUAAUGUCAUCGAGAUCACAUGGUUGUUAUUUACGAAAAGAGAAUUGCUGGAAAUUUUGUUAAUCCACUAUUGCAACAAUAUAUUGUUAUAAAUUGCAUUGUUUCCCAUAUUUAUAGAUUAAUUUUGAAAAGAAGCAAACAAUGCUAAGAACGUAUUUUACAGAAGCUAUAUAGACAUGUCAUAUGAAUUUCGUUUUUAUACUACGUAAUUAUUAAUUUAUAUAAUAAUAUAUUUCCUUCAAAACAUAGUAUUUGAAUUUGAAAUUAUUUUUUUUAAAUUAGCAUUACGAAAAUAAUCAUGAUUUGAUUGGUUUCAGUUUUAUAAGAAAAAAGUUGGGAAAAUAGACAAACAAUGAAGGAAAAAAUUAAGCAGAGCCAAUAAACAGGGGAAAGUGAAUUAAUGUCCUUGUGCACAUUAAUAAUCUCAUUUUUCCAUGUACAAUUUUGUAAAAUAUUCAUCUCAUAUACUAGAGUCUUUUGGUUUUAUGACGAAAGAGUCAUGGUAGCGAUGUAUCUAGAGUAAAAAGAUUUAAUUUAUUUUUCCUUGUUAUUAGCAAAAAUUAUUAUUAAUUAAUCAACCCAUCGAGAUAUAUUGGUUUCAUUUGUUACAACUAGCCAAUUGCUUAAUACAGUUUUGUACGUCUCACUAUUACUUGUAAAUAAAAUCAUAGAUGUGGUAUGUUGUGAUGUGAUAAAUUUAAAUACAAAUCUUAAUUACGUUGUGAUGUGAUAAAUUUAAUUCAUGUUAGGAAAUUGAGCUUCCUUCCAAGAUCUCUCUAAGCAAUUUAUCAAGCAAAAAAUUAAUAAAAAAAAUUAAAUGGAGAAUACAUUAAUCACACAACACAAGAUUUACGUGGAAAACUUCAAAUUCGGAGAAAAACCACGGCCGUUGUCACAAGACAACUAGAGAAAAAUAUUCCCUAUGUGGAAAAUUAUUAUAACCACUCUUAGAAAUAAUUUUCUCUCACCCAAGCCCCAAAUACAUAAUCUCAAGAAAUAUCCCUUAACAAAGCAAACCCGUAAUACCCAUAAUGAGGAGCCAACUUCUCCUUCAAUAUAACUACAUGCUUAAGAACAUUUCUCUCUCUCAAUUUCUCACCAAAACUUGGAUUCCUUCUCUGGGAUUUUGGGAUACUAAAAUAAGGAGGAGCACUCCUCUAUUUAUAGCCAAAUUAUGGCUUCCUUUUCUUCUUUUUUUUUCUUCUUUCCAUAUCUGGAGAUUUUCAUCAUAGUAGUUUAUUGAAAGUGAAGGCAGCUGAAUACACUUUUUUCUGAUGCAGUCUGUCCCUCUUUGGUGUGAUUAUUUGAAAUUUGUGCAAGAAUAUGAUCCAUCUAUACACGAAUGUGCCUAAUAAAAUAUCACAAAGGUGCCUAAUACAGUGAAAUUAACAUAUUCAGCUCAUGAGAUUGCCAUUAUAUAUAUUGAAAAAGAAAUUAAUACAAGAAACUGAAAAUUAAUUGACACUGGAUCAUGUUGGAUUGUUUGUUAAUUAUGAUGGGAUUAUAAUCUUGGUCUUUUAAUUAUCAUCUAGCUAAUGCAUGUGCACUUUCAUUUGUGUCUAUCACUGGAGAAUAAAGUUGCUUGAUUGAACAGCAUCAUAUGAAGGAAACUCAAAACUCAAUUUCGUUGCCUGAGCAUAUCAUGCUAUAUUUAGCUCAAAAGUGCAAUUAACGUUGAACAUUCAGCUAGCUGGCUCAUACUAAUUAAUUUAUAGGAUUGCUAGUUCUUUAUGAUUAACUAAAAGAGAAAAUAUUUGACAAUUACGAAAACAACAACAAUUCACUCUUAUAAACAACAUAAUAGAUACAUGGUCUAUAUUGCAAUUCUUUUUAUGAUUUUAAUUAAAAGAGAAAAUGCAAAGGAAAUAUUAUAUAUAAUUGAAGGUUCUCCUUGAUAAUUAGACAAAAUGACACCAAUCUGGCUAACUAAUACAAUCAUCAUAAUUAUCCGAUUUUCAUUUUAAUUAUGUCCAAUCAUGCUAAUUUAAUAAAGAAUACUGAAUACACGAGUAUUUAUAUGUUCAACAACUUUGACUUCUGAAAAAUAUAGGAGCUGCAUUUAUGCUUUGUGUUAUUAAGUAGGACAUGACCAUAUUAAGUUGCAUUUGUCAGAAAACUGAAAAUUAUUCAAAAGGAUCUUAAAAGAGGUGUUGAAUUGUGAGCUUAAAAAUGAGUUUAGAAGUUUCUGACAUGUCAGUUUGUAUCCUUAAUUGUGCAUGCCCUGUCAGUUUCUGGAUGAAACAGGAGAAUGUGACAUCUGUGUAUUGUCUUUUACUUCCAGUAAGUGAAUCACAUGUUCUUCACGUGAUUUGACAUACUUUAGACGGAUUUGGCAGUUGUUUUGGUCACUUAUUGAAGCACGAGUUAAGCACGUGAUUCAAGGUUGUUAACUGACCGUUAUAAGGUGGGAAAAUUCUGGGUUUGUUACAACAAACCCAGAAGGCAGCUGGUGAGUGGGGGACGUUUCUGUAUAUAUGGUCUUAGAGGCUAUAGUUGAGCCAUAUGAAAAGCUCCUAACUUCUUAAUGUUUGUAGCUUGUUCGUGGUGAUUGAAAUAAGAUUAUUACUCCGUCCUUCAGCGGAUAUAUGCUAUCUCCAAAAUGUGCCACUUAAAUUGUGCCUCUGUUUUGCUUGUUUCUGUUCUUAUUCUUGUGAGGUGUGUGAUUUGUUUAUCAUUUCUAAAUCAUCAAUUAGAGAGACCAACCAGAUCUUGGUGGUUUUAGAUUGAGUUCAAUCGAUCAAGAAUCAAUAAGAUGUAAUGAAAACAAAAUGACAGAAUAAUGCACGCACAUCACAGCAAUGUUUCAUUCAUUUCGAAUCUAUAUAUACAAAACUUUUAUCUGACAGUUUACAUUUGUUUAAUAUAGCGCUGUAACAUGCGUACCAUCAAAAGCUACAGCCGCCAUCUUUGUUUGUCCUCGUAGCAUCCUUGAUCUUAUUUUAUCGUGGUGAUUCUUGAAAGUUCAUCUCAUUCUCAUGUGCUGAGUCACUUGCUGAGAUGAUGAAUACUUGAGGGUCCUUCCUUGAGACAUUUCAGCAGAAACCUGAUUCAUUCUAUCAAACAUCUGCAUCACUAAUCACUAAAUGAUGUAAGAUAGUUCUGUUUUGAAAUAUUAAUAUGCAUGCAUCCCCCGCGUUAGUUAGAGCUGCUUGUCAUCUUCUAUUUUCUUUUGGGUACAGUUUUGAAUUUUUAAUUAAUUGGCUUUCUCGCGGGAUAUUGUUUUCUCCUUUGAUUUUCUAUUUUUUGAUGAUGGUGUACACAUACAAAGAUCGUGUAAUAAAGUGCUUUUAGUAAAUCAUGGUCGGUUUACUAUUAAUUAAUCAAAUUUAAUUUGCUUUGGUAUUUGUUAACAUCAUUGUUAUUAUAAAGCGGACCUAUACAAUUAUAGAAAGAACGCCAACGGACCAAGCUCUACCAGCAAAUUAAUGAGAUUGCUCUUGUACACGAUUAAAAUAAUUUCAAUUUCAUCGUAUUUAUGUGUGUGUCUAUAUAUAUAGAGAGAGAGAUUGUACAUUGACGAAAUAAUGAUAAUUUAGCAAAUCUAAUUUUCAUUUAUAUUAUUAUGUUAAUUUAUGCUAUUUUAAUAAAGGCCACUCGAACAUUUAUAUAUCCAAUAUGUAAAAUUUUAAAACAAUAUUUGCCAAAGUUUGACGAAGCGACUACCAAAGCUUAGUUGUAAUUAAUCAAAUAAAAAAAAUGUUUGCUUUGCUUGAUGUACUGUUUGCUUAUGAUCUUUUCUUGAUUUUCUUGUGGGAUGUUUCUCUUUGGAUGUUUUGUUUAUUAUAUUAACAACAAUAAAGUGCGUUUUAUAAAUCAUGGUCCUACAGUCAGUAGUAAAAGAAAGGGGAUUCUCACUUUCCCCCUACAGUAAUUAAUAUAUAUCAUUUGUCCCCCUUCUGUUUUUAUAAUGGCAUAAAACUCCCCUGACAACAUAAGUUUACAGUAUUACCCUUAUUUUUAAUUACUUUUUUAUUUACAUUUAUUAUAAAUUAAAUAAAUUACAUGAAUAGAAAUUAAAUAAAAAAAUUAAGUAUUAAAAACAAGAAAUAUAUGUUUUGAUAUGAGCAAAAAAAUUAAUAAUAAUUUUUUUUGUAAUAAUUUAUUUUGUGAACAUUUUCUUAUAAUAAACAUUUUGUAAUAUUUUAAAAUUAAAUGUAAAAAGUAUAGGCAAAAUAUUUGAUUAUUUAUCUUAUAAUAAAUUUUUAUUUUUCAUUCAAAUUUUCUUAUAAUAAUUUUUUUAUCAUUUUAUAAUAACUUUCUUAUAUAUUUAUUAUAAGAAAAAUAUGCACAAAAUAAAUAAGUACAAGAAAAAAAUUUUAUUAUUAAUUUUUUUCUCAUAUCAAAACAUAUAUUUCUUGUUUUUAAUUCUUAAUUUUUUAUUUAGUUUAUAGUCAUGCUAUUUAUUUAAUUUAUAAUAAAUAUAAAUAAAAGAGUAGUUGAAAAUAAGGGUAAUUUUGCAAACUUAUGCUAUUAGGGGGGUUUUUGGCCAUUAUAAAAACAGCAGGAGGAAAUGGUAUAUGUUGAUUACUGUAGGGGGGAAAUUGGCAAUCUCCCUAAAAGAAAUAAUGAGCUUGGUUUUUAUUAAUAAAAAUUAGAAAAAAAAUCUUUUUCUCUAGAACUUAUUAUGGAUUUUAAGCUAAAAAAAAAAAAUACUACCCCAAUUUCUAAAGAUAUUCCCUCUUAUUUCAUAUUGAUUUGUUAAUGCGAAGAUUCAUUGCAAUUAUAACAGUUUUGAUGAAUUUAAAUAUUCAAUAACUGAUAAAUUCUAUUUAUAAAUAUUAAUAGCAAUGACACGGAAACAAUUAAAUCAAAUUAAACAAUUGUUCUACUCACCGCUUUUCCUUUUGUUUCCAAAACCCAUUAACCACCGACAUCGAACCAUAUUAAUUUAAAAUAUUGUUCAACUGAGAUUUGAAUUUUAAAAUUACAUACACAAACACACCCGAUUUUUUUUAAAAAAAAAAGAAUACUGCUAAUAAAAUAUUUCAGCCAUCAAAAGCCACAUACCUAAGGUAUGAUGAGCAAAUCCUCCCAAUGAUCCUGAAAUUACUCUCGCACCCUAUCAAAAUAAUUUUAAUUUCAUCAUAUAUGCACACAGACACACACACAAAAUGUAAAUAAUUUUUGUAUAUAAAAUAUUUGAAAUAAUCACUAAACAACAAUUCACAAGGUAGAUUAUACCCAGACGAAAUAAUGCCAUUUUAAUAAAGAACGCUCGAGCAUUUAUAUAUCUAACAGGUAAGAUUUCAAAACAAAUUUUGCCGAAGGCAAAGUCUGGUGAAGAGAAAUGUUAUAUGUAUAUAACCGUACAGGCGCAGCAGAAGGAUAAGUAAAAAAAAACGAAGUUUCAAUAAGAAAUUAAUUCAUUACUUUCCAAAUGAUCAUCUUAAGGCUCAUUUGGAAAAUGGUGUUCUGAGGAUCACUGUGCCAAAGCUUGCUGAGGAGAAGAAGAGGCAGCCCAAGGUUAUUAACAUUGAUGAAGAAUCUGGUAAUUCUUCCGGUGAAGAUAGUAAGGCCACCAAGGCUCAAAUGUAAUUGAUUAAAGAAAGAAGUGCUUGCUUUGCUUGAUGUGCCAUUUGUUUUGUGAUCUUUUCAUGGUUUUGUUGUGUGAUGCUUCUCUUUAGAUGUUCUGUUUAUUGUAUUUUGAUGGGUUUUUGAGGAUGGUUGUAUGUAUUAACAACAACAAGGUGCUUUUUAUAAAUCCGGUUCCUAAUUUUGUAAAAGAAAUUAAUACUCUUGGUUUAUUUUUAAUGAAAAAUUAAAAAGAAAAAGCUUUUUUCUAUGGCAUAUAUUAUGCAUUUUAAGAAAAAAAAAUAUCACAUUCCAAUUGAUGAAGACAUUUCUUCUGUCAUAUUGAUGUGUUAAUAGAAAGAUCUAUAUGAAUUAUAAUGAUGAAUCUAAAUAUUCAAUAACUGAUAAAUUGUAUUUAUAAAUAUUAAUAGUGGUGGCAUAUAAACAAUUAAUUCAAGGACUCGCCUAUAAUGAAUUAAUUUAAAGAGUAUAAAUAUUUUAAUAAAUCAUACUCGAUUUACUAUUAAUUAAUCAAAUUUAAUUUACUCAAAUUAUUCCUCUACAUGAUCAAAGUAAUUUCAAAUAUACACGCACAGACACAAAAAAUGUAAAUGACUUUGAAAUAUAAAAUAUUUAAAAUAAUCACCAUACUAACAAUUCACAAGUCAGAUUAUAAAUGGUCGAAAUAAUGAUAAUCUAGUGAAUUCAGUCAUAAUAAUUUGAUUUUCAAUUAUAUUAAUUAUGUCGAAUCAUACUAUUUUAAUAAGAAAGAGCACUCGAGAAUAUAUAUAUCCAACAACUAAAAUAAUAGAAUAUAUAUAUAUAUAUAAAAACACGCGCACGCACAUAUAUAUAAUCGUACUGCAGAAGGAUAGAUAAAACCAACAGCUGAAUAAUGCAAACUGACUUUUUUCUUUGAAAAAAAAGGCAUUUUAUUGUUUAAUUCGAAAACCCAUUAUAUACAUGAUAAAGACUCACCGACACCGAACCAUAUUAAUUUAAAAUAGUUUUCAACUGAGAUUUAAAAUUACAUACACAAACACACCCGAUUUGUUUUAAAAAAAACUACUAAUAAUAAAAUACUUCAGUCAUUCUCUGUUCUGCCAUCAAAACCCCAUUUAUAUAUCUAACAUGUAAGAUGUAAAAACAAAUUUUGCCGAAGGCAAAAAGUCUGGUGAAAAGAAAUGUUACAUCUAUUUAACCGUACAGGCACAGCAGAAGGAUAAGUCAAAGAAAAACGAAGUUUCAAUAAGAAAUUAAUUACACAUUUACACUCAAUAAGAAAUUAAUUCAUUACUUUCUACCACUUUUAUUUAAAAAAACGUAGUCUAUUAUUUAAUAAAAAUUCGAAAACCCAUUUACAUGAUAAAAACUCACCUACACCGAACCACAUUAAUUUAAAAUAAUUUUCCACUAGGACUUGAAAAUUACAUUCACAAACGCACCCAAUUGAAAAAAAAAAUUAAAUAAAAUAUUUCAGUCGUCCUCUGUUCAGUCAUCAAAAACCCAUUUAAAAUCUAUACAGACAUAAGAAGUCCCCAUAUUGUCCUCUAUCCUUUCUGCACUUCUCUUUCAUCAACGGACAUUCCGAGAUCCAUAAUUGCAAAAGUGAGGAAGGCAGUUAAGUGAUCAAUUGGUAUUUGUAAGCGUCGUUGUAGUACAACAACAUACUAAUCAACUACUACGCUCUGCCAGCCAAUUAAUCAGCAAAUCCUCCUCAAAUUGGGCUUGUAUACGACCGAUUUUAAUUUCAAAUGAUAGAUGUAUAUAAAUAUAUAUCUAUAUAGAUACACACACAUACACAAAAUGUAAAUAACUUUCAAAUAUAAUAUUCAAUAAUCACUAAAUUAACACUUCGCAGGUUAGAUUAUACAUAGACCAAUGGAUAAUGCUAAUCUAUUCUAAUAAAUUAAGAACACUCGAAUAUUUCUAUGUCCAGUCGGUAAAAUUUCAAACCAACUUUUCCCAAGCUCCUCCUAUGCUGAAUUAAUUAAUACAUUAAAAGGUCCGUCUCUGCUAAAUAAUGCAAUUGCGCUAUUCUGCCCUUUUUUUAAAAAGCAUUCUACUAUUUAAUAAAAAAAAAUUCGAAUGCUCAUCAUAUACAUGAUAAAAACUCACCGAUACCGAGCCAUAUUAAUUUAAAAUAGUUUUCAACUGAGAUUUGAAUUUUAAAAUUACAUACACAAACACACUCAAUUUAAAAAAAGAAAAAAAAAAGAAAAUACUAAUAAUAAAAUAUUUCAGCCGUCCUAUGUGUUAUCGCCAAAAACGGAUUUACCAUCUAUUUCAACGCGCGGUAUAUGGGUUAACAAGUCCCAAUAUUGUCCUCCAUCCUUUCUGCACUUCUCUACUAUCAACGGACAUUCCCAGAUAAUUAAUAGCAAAAGUGAGGAGGGCAGGCCCUUCUCCGGAAAGUAUUUGAGCCUCGGACAAUCCCAGAGUCGCAAAAGUGAGGAAGGCAGGCCCUUCUGUCAUAUUGAUGUGUUAAUAGAAAGAUCUAUGUGAAUUAUAACAAUUUUGAUGAAUCUAAAUAUUCAAUAACUGGUAAAUUGUAUUUAUAAAUAUUAAUAGCGGUGGCACAUAAGCACUUAAUUCAAGAACUCACCUAUAGUGCAUUAAUUUAAAGAGUAGAAAUAUUUAAUAAAUUAAUCAUGCUCGGUUUACUAUUAAUUAAUCAAAUUUAAUUUACUCAAAUUACUCCUCUACAUGAUCAAAGUAAUUUCAAAUAUACAACACACAAAAUGUAAAUGACUUUGAAAUAUAAAAUAAGCACCCCACUAACAAUUCACCAGCAAGAUUAUAAAUAGUCGAAAUAAUGAUAAUCUAGGGGGUCCAGUCAUAAUAAUUUGAUUUUUAUUUAUAUUAAUUAUAUCAAAAAGAGUACUCGUGAUUAUAUAUAUAUCCAACAGCUAAAAUUUCAAAACAAUAUUUGCCAAAGUCUGAUGAAGAGAAUUACAUAUAUAUAACAUGCACUCGCACACAUUCUAUUGUUUAAUUAAAAAAUUUGAAAGCCCAUUAUAUACAUGAUAAAGACUCACCGACGCCGAACCAUUUUCAUUUAAAGGAUUUGUUUUCAACUGAGAUUUGAAAUUAUAUACACAAACACACCUGAUUUUUUUUUUUAAAAAAUUACGAAUAAUAAAAUAUUUCAGUCGUCCUCGGUUCAGUCAUCAAAAACCCAUUUAAAAUCUAUAGCAACACGCGGUAUAUGGGUUAACAAGUCCCAAUAUUGUCCUCCAUCCUUUCUGCACUUCUCUGCUAUCAACGGACAUUCCCAGAUAAUUAAUAGCAAAAGUGAGGAAGGCAGGCCCUUCUCCGGAAAGUAUUUGAGCUUGGGACAUUCCAAGAGAUACAAUGAAGUGAGGUAUUGAAGAUCAACAAUUGAAGAAGAUAGGCGUUCCAGAUUUGGAAAAUUGAAAAUCCACAGAGUUGUUAGAGAGGCAGGAAGAGGAAGCGUGGUCCCCGAUCCUUUGUCAUCUGCCUUUAGUGGGAAUGACACCACGUCAUCACAAUUAAUGAUUGUAAGUUGUCGCAGAGAGGAGAAUCUGUGAAAUCCCCGACCCCGCUCAAUCAUUGACUUCCAAAUCUCCUUAUUACUAUUAAUCUCCAGUGAAUGAAGGUUGGUGGGAAGGCCAUCUUCUUCAAGGCUUGGAAGCUCAACUCCUUUUCCUAUUCUUAAUUGUUGAAGAGAGGUCAGAUUGUGCAAUCCCUUGGGUAAGACCUGUAGUCUCUUACAAUAAGAUAUCUCCAGCCUCGUGAGUUUCGCACAAGGCAAUCCCCCUUGGGGAAAGGACACCAGAUCACAUUCCCAUAUCCCUAUCUCUUGAAGCUGGCGGAGAUUAUGUAAAGCACUCGGUAAAAUUUUCAGAUUUCUACAAAAACUAACUGCGAUUGUUUCAAGAGAUGUGUUGUUGUCCAACCUUUCUGCUAUUGACUCCAGCUUUGAACAUCCACCAACACGAAGGGACUUAAGAGACGGAGGUAGAUUGCCAACUUCAAGGGACUCAAGCGUGGCAGGUAACUCGUUUUUUGAAAAUAUACAUGUCAGUGAUAGACAACCACUAAUUUCCAACUCCUCGAGAAGAGAUGAGGCGUACCUUCUGCUGCUGCUACACUGGAUGCCCUCUUCCACUGUCAAAGUCCUUAGAUUAUAACAAAGGUAGAUCUCCAACCUCUUAAGGCUCGGUGGUAGCUGGACUCCAGCAAUAUAUGUCAACGAAUGGCAAUCCCAAAUCUUCAAGAUCUCGAGAGAGGAAUUGUUGUCGCACAUCCAUGC